AAUCAUAGAGAGAUAUGCCAUGGUCAGCCUCUUUAAUUCAAGGGAUUGAAGUACUCAAAUCCAUUUCUCUGUAUCCAUCUUAGUUCUGCAUUCAUGUCUCAUGGUUAACCAAGAAGAUCCAGCCUCCAUCCAUGAGAUCAGCAUCUGCAGGUUUAUGACACCACCCUUCCUUGGCAUAGGAAAGGGAUCAUUAAGCCGUGUGUCGGAUGACAGAAGUCAUCAUUCAGGUUAUCUUGAGAACUAAGGAAGUUGGAAUUCUAAUUAUUGCAUAUGGUUCUUGAUGUUUAGCCAAUAUACUAUAGGAUUUUAAGCAUCAUGCUCACGUGCAUUGUGGUUGUUUAUCAGCUAUAUGGUUUAUCAAAAUGAGGGACUGAUUAUGGUCAUAAGUACCUUUUUCCCAUUAAUUUCUUGCAUGUGCUCUGCUGAGAUUAUGUUUUUGACAGUCCAAAUCAGGGCAAACCAACAAACAGCUUUAUGUUAACUUUUACAAACUGCCACAUUUUCAGGUUAAACAAACAGAGAUAAAUCUUGGUGAAACUAGAAGUAAUACAACCUGUUCUGUGGAGAUAAAAGAAAGGGCAGCAGUACUGGUGGCUGCAGAAAUUGAGGCAUGUAGAGACGAUAGAACCCCCAAGAUACCUCUUCAUGAGAAAGUCCAGAAAGAGUGGGCUUGUGCUGUAUGCCAGUUCACAACCCAAACUGAAGCGACCUUCAAUUCCCACCUUCAAGGGAAGAGACAUCAGGCCAUUUCUGAGCAGCUGAGAGCCAAAAACCAGGCAACCAAAACCAAUUGUUCCCCAUCUGCUUCAAUGGCCAAGAAAUCUGAUCAGUCCACCAAAGAGGAGCAACCAAAGUGUACUUCCAACAAUCUGAAUUCCAAAAACAAUGGAAUCUCAGCUGCUUCAACAGUGAAGAAACUUGAUGAGACCAAAGAUGAUGAGCAACAAAAGUCUGCAUCUAGCAAUGGACCAAACCAGAAGAAUAACAAAAAGCAAGAGGUACAGACCAAUGAGCAAGGCCAUCAGAAGAACUCAAGGCAAACUGGUGAUGGAAUGAAAGAGUUGAGAUCAUGGUGCAAUAUCUGUAAUGUAAGCUGCACAAGGGAGCUUGACCUGGCCUCUCAUCUCAAUGGAAGGAGGCACUUUGAUAGGAUAAAGCAGCUGUCUGAAUUAUGGUGCAGUAACUGCAAUGUAAGGUGCAACAGUGAGGUUGAUAUGGCCUCUCACCGAAAUGGGAGGAGGCACUUGGAGCAGCUGAAGGAACAGUUAGGAUUAUGGUGCAGUAUCUGUAGUGUGAGUUGCAACAGCAAGGUGGACAUGGAUUCUCACCUAAAUGGGAAGAGUCACUCGGAUCAGAUCAAGGACCAGUUAAGAUUAUGGUGUGGGGCAUGUAAUGUAACCUGCAAGAGUGAGCGCAACAUGGCCUUUCAUCUGAAUGGGAGGAAGCACUUAGAGAAGAAGGGGAAUACCUGAUUUGCUCUUCAGAUUAUUGAUACUUACAAAUGGUUUUAGUUAGAAGCAUACAGACCAGUGGGUGGUGCUCACAGAUGCCUCUAUUUUGUUGUAUGAAGUAAAAACAGUAUUUCCAUGUCCAGAAAUCAACCACUUGUUUAGUGCAUGCAUGGCUGGUUCAAAAUUAAACCUAAUUGUGAAUGACUAGGAGCAGGGAGGGAAAAAUUGAAGUGAAGAAUGUAAGAUUAUGGCUUCAUUUUUAUUUUUUCCUCUUCUGAAAAUUGUAAGAUUGUGUUAGGAGGAGCUGGAAUGGGUUCAAAUCAGGAAUUAAGACCCAGUUCCAAGACAUGGAAAGUGUCUUUAGAUUAUGUUAAGUUAUUUCCAUUUUUUUUUCUUUAUUUACGGUAAGAGGGAGCAUAAGGAACGAAAAUGAAUAUUUUUUUUUUUUCGAAUAAAAAUGAAUUUGAUAAUUUCAAUUAUUGUGUUUGGAUGUAUUUCGGAAUGUAAGAUUAAAAUAAUUAUUUGUUUUCAUUUUAGUGUUUGAUAAUAAUGAAAGUAUGAAUUAAAAAAUAAAUUGAUAAUAAUAUUCUUAUAUUUAAUUUAAAAUAUAUAUAUAUUUUUUAUUUUAGAAGAAUAUGGGUUAAAAGUUUUUUUUUUUUUUUAAAUAAUAAGCUUAAGAAAAAUAAUUUUUACUCAAUAAAUAAAAUUAAUCAUACAAAGUCAUAAAAACCAAACCAAAAUAUAAGGGUAAAAUAAUAAUUUUAAACUAUUCAUUUAAGUUAUCCAAAUGCAUUCCGACUCUUCAUUCUCUUAUACCAAAUACCGUCUUUAAGUAUUUGUCAAACUUAUUUUUUUGCAAAAUAUCAAUAUUUUACUAAUAUUUUUAUCGAUUAUUUGCCGAUAUUUAUCGCCACGUCACCAAUUCUUUGAGUUUGACUUUCAAAAUUUUGAAAUGAUCUUUGAAGUCCAGUUCAGCCCAAAUCACUACACCCAUGAACUCAUCUACAAAAGGGAACGGCUGGGCCACCACACUAAUAUGGCCCAUACAUGGGACCUCGUAAAAGAAUACCCAUCUUCAAAAAUAGGGACCAUAUUAAAUUAUUAAUGUAGCUAUAGGAAGCAUUUGAGGACAAGGGUUAUGAUUUUUCCCUUUUCUUUUUCUCCUUAAUUUUCACAUCACCCAACAACACCACUCUUAAUUCACACAAAUUUGAAGGUUUGGAAUGAGACUUCUUCAUAAUUAUAUUGUAAUUAUGUUAUAAUAACCAUGUCGUUUUUGGAUUUAUUUAUUCAGUCCAUCUAAAUCUUUUGUUUAUUCGCGUCAAAACAAUAUAUUUAUAAUCGAAUCCAUUUAUGACAUGUUCAUCUUUUAUAAAUUCAUUAAUUUUAUAUAUUUAAAAUUUAUAAAAGUUAAAUAUAUUUUUUCAAUUAUGAAUAUCAUAUUACUAAAAUAUUAAAUAACUAAUUAACUUGAAAUGUUUUAUAUUUCAUUAAUUAUUUUAUAAUUACAAAAUUAAGUGAAAUAAUAAAUAGGUUAAAAUAUAUAUUUUAUUUUAGUUAAAAAUUAUAAAUUGUUAUUGAGACACAUAACUACUAAAAUUCUACCCAUUUGACUAUCAAACAAACAACUUAAGUUUUUAGUCAUAAUUUAAGCUUAUGAUAAACUCUAUUUACAAAAAUUAGAAACCAAAAUCAAAUUCUUCCUAGACUCAAAAAUAUAAAGACAAUCUUUUAACUUUAGAAGAGAACUAUCAUCUAAGAUAAGGGUAACACAUCCCAUUGCCUGUACAACAAUUCUUGCUUCAAAAGCUAAUGUUAGGUACAUAUCCCUAUCAUUCAACCUUUCCCUUAGCUAAAACCCCUAUAAAGAAUUAUAAACAUGAUCAAUGGCUCCAAAAUUUAUCCACCAAGAGUUAGUGGAAUCUAAUACUAAACAUGAUUCAACUAAAAGAGAAUGAUGCAUACCUGACUGUCUCUUUAAGAACUAAGGGCAUUCCUUUUUCUAAUGGCCUUUUUUACCACAAAGGAAACAUUUGUCAUGACCCUUACUCUUCUUCUUCUUCUCUUGCCCUUGAACUUUCCCUUCUGUUUGGUGAAUUCUAUAAUGUUCUUAUUUUGGUUAGAAGAACCUAAAGAACACUUAACUGCCAUAUAAAUACCUCUCUGAUCCUUGAGAAUUCCCUCAAUCAUUUUGUGUUCUCUCAUCAGUUCGGUUAUAGUUUAAGAAAAAAAUUGUUUUUUUUAUGUGACUAAACUUGGAAUGAAUGUCCAAGUUGCAUACAUACUCGGGUUGAGAUCAAGUCAUAAUGUAGUUUAAGAAAAAUAUUUUUUAUUUUUUAUUUUUAUUUUUUAUCUGAUUGAACUUGGAAUGAAUUUCUAAGCUACUUACGUAUCCAGGAUGGGAUCAAGUUCUAACAUAGUCACAAUGCAGUUCAAGAAUUAUUUUUUUUUCUUUUUUUGUGCUCCAACUUUUGCCAAGACUAAAGAUCUUAAUUUUGCGAGCAUGUCCUAACUUUUGCCUAGGUCGCCUUUCCAAGUUUUCAAUUUAGCAAACUAGGUUUUUUUUUUUCUUUUUAGUUCUCUAACUUUUGCCAAGACUAAAGAUUUUAAUCUUGUAAGCAUGUCAUAACUUUUACAUAAGUCGAAUUUUUAGGUUUUCAUAGUGCUGGAUUUUUUUUUUGUUUUUUGUUUUUUUUUUGUGUCGUAGUCAAUUUAAGCUCAUAUGGGUUGGAAGCGAUGUGUAGUUUGUUGGGAUUGAGCCCUUAAAAGCAAGACAUGAUGUAAUAAAGUUAAACUUAACUAUCCCCUUACUAUCCUUUUGGUGUAUCAACAUUGAUUUAAACAUUCAACCCAUAUCUCUUACAUUGUAUAUGAUUUAGAAGCAUUAGGAGUUGUACAGAAGAUACAAGUUAUGUGUUCUUUGUAAGUAGGUGAGUUAUCCAUAGUCAUUUCAUGGAUUUGGGCAAUCUAGUAGAGACUAUAGUGCACCACCUCCUAAUUGAAGGGAUGACUUGUCUUGGCCGUUGGGAUGAGUUUCCUAUGGUGAGCGUACUAGUGUAUAUGAUGCACAUUGGAUAGGACCUAUGACAAAUCAUGAUGCAAGGCUAUCAAUUGUCAUGAUUCACCAAGUUACUAUACUACAUGGACUCUCAACCUUGAGAGGACAUUGAACCUGUGUCAAAAUCAAUAGAAAGUUUUGACCUAUGGGCGAGACCCUAAAGUAGUCAUAUAUCCUUAUGAAUUAGGUCAUUGUUGAUGGAGGCUAGUGAUAAUAGGCAUUCUCAAUAGAGGCACCAUGAUAUGUCAUGCGAUUGAGAUGGUGUGUCCCUUUGGGUGAUCCAAGGAACAUGUGAUCAUGAAAUUUGUGGCCACAGUAAUUCCUUUAGUGGAAUUUGACAUAUGCUCAAGGAUUUGAGAGAUAAUAUUGAUAGGUGAUAACACUAUCUUGUUAGAUUAUAGACACCAGUUUCAUGGGGAAUCUGCAUGUAGUGGAUAGUAGGUCAUGAAUGCGAGCUUUGUCUCGUUGUUAUUUACAUAAGGUACUGGAGUGUAGUUGAUUCUCUUUAGUAGAAUGUUAAAUCAACUUCAAAAUUGGAUUAUGAGGGAGCCAGUACUCCUAUGGGUCUCAAUGGUCCCCACUCUAAGCUUAUAUACCAUGAUGACAUAAUUUAUGAGGGUUGGAUUGGCUUUAGGUUCAUUCUUAUGCAUAAGGGCAUUUUGGUAAUUACUCAAGGUUGCAUAGGGGAUAAUAAAUAAGGUCUCUAGAUUGGACUAAUUGAUUAAUUAGAUGGCCUUAUGUGGUUAAUUAAUCAAUUAAGACAUGUUAGGGCUAGAUUAAGUGACUCAAGCCUUGAUGGGUUCAAGUCACUUAAGCCUAGUGGGUAACCGUAUAAAUACCCCCUUAUGGGUUAGGGUUUUCUAAUGACUUUUAGUUAGUCAUCUUCCACUUUUAGAAAAAUAGAGAGAGUCAAAGCUUCCUCCUUUCCACUGCCCACACUUUGGAAUGCCAAGAUCGUGGAUCGAGUCAUCGAACGAAAGAUCUUGGGUGUAUGAGACCUUCGAACUCUUUAGGCUUCUUCUUCGUUGGAUGGAUUUUGAUCUAGGAACAUCUAGAUCACAUGUAUGUGUUAUAAAAUUUGGUUAAUUCAACCUAAGGUAAUCAUCCUAGAGAAGGGGCGAAUAGGGUGAUGAUCUUUUUUUGAAAAUUUAAAUUAUGUGAAUGCAAGAGACAAUUAUAUGCAAAAUAUAUAGCAAAACCAUAUAAAAACAAUUGCAUAUAAAGUAAAAGGGUAAGGAAGAGAGAAAAUAAACACAAGAUUUUUAUAGCGAUUCAGUGCAACCCGACCUUCAUCCAUUCUCCUCUAGCUUCAAUCCCAAACUUGAGGUUCCACUAAUUUAAGGCUUCCAACCCAAGCCUUCAAGCAAUACAAUCGGAUUAUGGUUCCAAUCAAACCUCUUGAAAUUUUAGUUCUAAGCACAUUUUACAAUCUUCAAGAGAUACCUCACUCUUAAACAACUCCUUAAGUGAUACCCCACACUUGAGAAUCCCUAAGUGAUACCUCACACUUAGAUUUUUCAUCUCAAAGAUUUAUAAAUGAAGAUAGGAAAUUGUUAGCCCAAGGGCUCUCCUAAUCGGGUUUUGAUGAUAAAAAAUCAUGGUUAAAUGACUAAUUGGUUUAAUGGUUAAGAAUCUCAGGCAUAAACUUGAAAAUUCAUCAAAAGACCAAAUGGAUACAAGAUCGAGACGUUUGGAAGACUUGUGAUCAUAGGAAACUAAUGUAAGAUGAAUGCAUGAGUACACUUAGGAUUUUCAUACCGUUUCAUGCAAUUUAGAAAACUCGGUUUAUUCUUUAAAACUUCAAUUUCAUUAAAACUUGAGUUUUAACAAAUGUACCUUAGGCAAAAUGUUUUAAAAUUGGCAUAAUAAUUCACCUAAAAACCUUGCUUAAGUGUUAGAAAAGAAAGGAAUUGAAAAAUAUAGGUUUUCGGGGCCAAAAGGCUCAACCGAUCGAGGCUAUGACCAACCUGCUCAACCGGUUGGGGAAUCGGUCGACCGGUUGCCCCUGUCCGGUCGAGGUUCGAUAGAGGGAUGCACAAAAUUUUCUUUCUCUCCCAGUAGCCUUCUCUUCUCGGUCGAGGUCUGGUUGAGGACCGAUCAAGGUUCGAUCGAGGCAACGGUAACCUGUCAAGCAUUAAAUGUUCCAACGGCUAGUGAACCGGUCAACCCCUAGCUCGACCAGUUGAGGUUACCUUUUGCUGUUUUUGGCUCCCGAGCUUAGAAACCUAUAAAUUGAGAGCUCCACUUUAUUUAUUGACGAGAGAACACUUGCAAUCAAUUGUCUACCUACCUGUUCUUGAUCAAAAAACUCUCAUUUCUUUCUUUGUGCAUUAAAUCAUCACUUGCAUAUCCUUUAGUGCACUCUUAUGUGUCAUCCUAGCUUUGUCUUAUAUUUGAGCUAUCCUUAAGCUAGGUUGAGGGAUUCAUUCUUGUAAAAACUGAGUGUCAAAGCCUUCAAGAGGUUUAAAUCUUGAAGAGAUUGUGUAAGAGCCCAUUGGAGCCAGAAUCCAAGUGUAAGAAGAUUGGAAGCUUGGUUGAAGCUUCAAGUUAGUGGAACCCUCACUCGGUUAAAAGAUUGAGGAGAGUGGAUGUAGGGAAGGAAGUGUCGAACCACUAUAAAACCCAAGUUUGAAUUCUCUAACUCUAUCUCUUUAUUUUGCUUAUAUUGUGCUUGAACUCGUUGUGAUUGAAAAGAAUUUAAAAAACCCAAUUCAUCUCCCUCCCCCCUUUUAGGUGUUUUUCUUAAUUAAGCAUAGCAUUUAUUUUCUCAAUUGGUAUCAGAACUAGACCUCUUGUUUUUUUUUUUUUUUUAAAAAAAAAAAUUAAUCGUCUAAGAGGAUAUGACUAUUGCAUCAAGCUCAUCUCAAGCUAAAAUUUUUUCAAAACAUAGAGCUUCAUUCUUUACGGGAUCCGACUAUCCCUAUUGGAAAACUAGAAUGACUUGGUACUUACAAUCUACUGAUUUAGAUGUAUGAGACGUCAUUGAAGAUGGCCUAACUUUUCCCACUAAACUAGUUGAUGGAGUUUUGGUUCCAAAACCCAAGCAAGAAUGGAAUGAGCUUGAUAGAAAAAACUUUCAAUUAAAUGCUAAAGUCGUUUUUACUUUGCAAUGUGCUAUGGAUAGAAAUGAAUAUAAUAGAAUAUGUCAAUGCAAAUCGGCUAAAGAAAUUUAGAGGUUGCUUGAAAUAACUCAUGAAGGAACUAAUCAAGUGAAAGAGUCAAAAAUUAAUUUACUUGUUCAUAACUAUGAAUUGUUUUCAAUGAAAAAAAAUGAUACUAUUGUUGAGAUGAUUACUAGGUUCACCGACAUUGUCAAUGGUCUUGAAGCUUUGGGAAAAACCUACAAGGAAUCCGAGAAGGUGAUGAAGAUAUUGAGGUCUUUCCCAUCAAAGUGGCAUACCAAGGUCACUGCAAUUCAAGGAGCAAAAGACUUGACUAAGCUACCUAUGGAAGAGCUCAUAGGGUCAUUAAUGACAUAUGAGAUCAAUUUGACAAAGAAGCUACAAGAGGGUAAAGACAAAAAGAAGAAGAACAUAACCCUCAAAGCUAUAACCAAGGAAGAAGAAGAUGUUGAAGAAGAAAAACCAAGUGAUGAAGAUGAUGAUUUAGCCCUCAUCACAAGAAAGCUCAACAAAUACAUGAGAGGUGAAAGGUUUAGAGGAAGAAAGUUCACCUCUAGAAGAGAUCCUUCUAAAAAGGAAUCUUCAUCCCAUGGUGACAAGGAGAAAUGAGAAGAUAAAAGAGAUUUGAUAUGCUUCAAAUGCAAAAAACUGGGACACAUUAAAUAUGAUUGUCCACUCUACAAGAGUGAAGCCAAGAGAAGAAUGAAGAAGGCAAUGAUGGCCACUUGGAGCGAAAGUGAAGAAUCCUCCGAAGAAAAAAAGGAGAAGGAAGUAACAAACAUGUGCUUCAUGGCAAUAGAUGAUCUUGAUGAGGUAAACUCUAACUUUAGUGAUGAAGAUAUGUAUGAUGUUUUUGAAGAAUUAUAUGAGGAUUUUGAAAAACUUAGUUUGAAAAAUAAUUCUCUUAAAAAUAAAAUUCAAGAACUUGAAAAAGAACUUGAAGAAGUAAAAGAAAAAGUUUCAAUUGUUGAAAUAUCUAAAACUCAUCUUGAAAAAGAAAAUAAGAUUUUGAGAAGUGAAAAUGAGAUUUUGAAAAAGAAAAAUGAAUGGUUGACCUCCUCUCUUUCAAUUUUCUCUUGUGGAAAAAAAUAUUUUGAAAUGAUCUUAGUUAGCCAAAAAUGUAUUUUUGACAAACAAGGGUUAGGAUUCAAAUCUUCAAAAAAUCAAAAGUAUUUUAAAAACUACUUUGUAAAAGAAUCCGCAAGUGUAAGUCAUUCUACCACUUGCAACUUUUGUAGAAGAGGAGGAGACAUUAGUAGUACAUGUCUCUUAAGAAAUGGUUCUCAAAAGAAUUCAAAUGCUAAAGCUAAAAAGGUUUGGGUUGAGAAAUCCAAAGUCACUAACCCUCAAGGACCCAAAAAGAUAUUGGUACCUAAAUCAACUUAAAUUUUAUUUUGUAGGGUUCAAAGAAGGAUAAGUGGUUCUUGGAUAGUGGAUGCUCAAGACACAUGACCGGGGAUGAAUCCAAGUUUGUUUUCCUUACAAAGAGAAAGGGAGGAUAGGUUACCUUUGGAGACAAUGCAAAAGGAAGGAUCAUUGGUCAAGGCAACAUUGGUAAUGACACAUCCUCUCUUAUUGAAAGUGUUUUAUUAGUGGAUGGUUUAAAACAUAAUCUUUUGAACAUAAUUUAACUUUGUGACAAAGGUUUUAAAGUGAUUUUUGAAGCAUUUCAUUGCAUUAUCAAAGAUAUUCAAAAUGAUAAAACCAUCUUCAUGGGCCAUAGAUGUGAUAAUUUUUAUGCUAUAAAUAUUUCAAAUAUGAUGGCCAUGGUAAAUGUUUUUCAAGCAUGCAUGAUCAAAGUUGGUUGUAGCAUAGGAGGUUGGGACAUGCUAACAUGGACCUCAUUUCCCAACUCAACAAAGAAGCACUUGUUAGAGGCCUUCCCAAAAGAAAUUUUCAAAAAGACAAAGUUUGUGAAGCUUGUCAAAUGAGAAAGCAAAUCAAAAACUCUUUUAAAAACAAAAAUUUCAUUUCAAUAACUAGGCCUGCAUAUGGAUUUAUUUGGUCCCUCUAGGACACCAAACCUUGGAGGAAAAUCUUAUGCAUUUGUUAUUGUGGAUGACUUCUCUAGAUACACUUGGGUCUUAUUUUUAAGUCAAAAGAAUGAAGUCUUUUUUGAGUUUUCAAAGUUUUGCAACAAGGUUCAAAAUGAAAAAGGUUUUACAAUUUCUUGUAUAAGAAGUGAUCAUGGAGGAGAGUUUGAAAAUAUUGAUUUUGAAGACUAUUGCAAUGAGCAUGGUAUUAACCACAAAUUUUUGGCUCCUAGAACUCCUCAACAAAAUGGGGUAGUUGAAAGGAAAAAUAGAACUCUUCAAGAAAUGGCUAGAACCAUGCUAAAUGAAAACAAUUUACCAAAAUACUUUUGGGCCGAAGCAAUUAACACUUCUUGUUAUGUUUUAAAUAGAAUUUUAUUGAGGCCUAUUCUUAAAAAAACUCCCUAUAAGCUUCGGAAAAACAAGAAACCCAACAUUAGCUAUUUCAAAGUCUUUGGGUGCAAAUGCUUUAUAUUAAAAACCAAAGACAAUCUUGAAAAUUUUGAUGCAAAAUCGGAUGUUGGAAUUUUUCUUGGUUACUCAACUUUAAGUAAAGCCUUUAGAGUUUUUAACAAAAGAACCAUGGUUGUUGAGGAGUCCAUCCAUGUUAUUUUUUAUGAAUCUGACAAUUCUCUCCAAGAAAGAGAGAGCUUUGAUGAUGAUUUAGGCUUGGAGACCUCCAUGGGAAAAUUACAAAUUGAAGAUAGAAGGCAACAAGAAGAAGUUGUAGAGGAUCCCAAGAAAGAAGAAUCACCUUUGGCACUACCUCCUCCUCAACAAGUGCAAAGUGAAUCAAGCUAAAACCUUCCUAAAGAUUAGAAGUUUGUCAUCAACCACCCACAAAAUCAAAUUAUAGGUAAUCCAUCUAGUGGGGUAAGAACUAGAUCAUCUCUUAGAAACAUUUGCAAUAAUCUUGCUUUUAUCUCUCAAAUUGAACCUAAAAAUAUAAAUGAUACUCUAGUUGACGAAAAUUGGAUGAUUGCUAUGCAAGAAGAGUUAAAUCAAUUUGAAAGAAGUGAAGUAUGGGAAUUAGUGCCAAGACCUCAAAAUCAAAGUGUUAUUGGAACUAGAUGGGUCUUUAGAAAUAAAAUGGAUGAAAAUGGCAUAAUUAUAAGGAAUAAAGUAAGAUUGGUAGCCCAAGGUUUUAAUCAAGAAGAAGGGAUAGAUUAUGAAGAAACCUUUGCUCUCGUAGCUAGAUUGGAAGCCAUUAGGAUGCUACUUGCCUUUGCACGUUUUAAAGACUUUCUUUUAUAUCAAAUGGAUGUGAAAAGUGCUUUCUUAAAUGGCUUUAUAAAUGAAGAGGUAUAUGUUGAACAACCACCCGGUUUUCAAAGUUUUAACUUUCCUAAUCAUGUUUUUAAACUUAAAAAUGCACUUUAUGGUUUGAAACAAGCACUUAGAGCAUGGUAUGAAAGAUUGAGUAAAUUUCUUUUGAAAAAGGGUUUUAAAAUGGGAAAAAUUGACACAACUCUUUUCAUAAAAAUAAAGAAAAUGACAUGCUCUUAGUGCAAAUAUAUGUUGAUGAUAUCAUUUUUGGAGCUACUAAUGUCUCUCUUUGUGAAGAAUUUUCUAAAUGCAUGCAUAGUGAGUUCGAAAUGAGCAUGAUGAGAAAACUUAACUUCUUCCUUGGACUUCAAAUCAAGCAACUAAAGGAAGGAACCUUCAUCAAUCAAGCAAAGUAUAUAAGAGAUCUCCUCAAAAGGUUCAAUAUGGAGGAAGCGAAAACAAUGAAGACUCCAAUGAGUUCAUCCAUCAAGCUUGACAAGGAUGAGAAAGGUAAGUCCGUUAACUCAACUAUGUAUAAAGGCAUGAUAGGUUUUUUGCUAUAUUUGACCGCUAGUAGACCUGACAUCAUGUAUAGUGUAUGCUCGUGCGCUAGAUUUCAAUCUUGUCCUAAAGAAUCUCACUUAAGUGCCGUAAAAUGAAUUCUUAGAUAUUUAAAAGAGACAAUGGACAUAGGCCUAUGGUAUCCUAAGAGUGAUAACUUUGAAUUAAUUGGAUUCUUAGAUGCCAACUUUGCCAAUUGUAAAGUUGAAAGGAAAAGCACUAGUGGCACUUGUCAUUUCCUAGGACACUCACUUGUUUCAUGGCAUAGUAAUAAGCAAAAUUCGGUAGCCUUGUCAAAGGCGGAAGCAGAAUACAUAGCAGCUGGUUUAUGUUGUGCACAAAUCCUUUGGAUGAAACAAACACUUAGUGAUUUCAAUUUGAUUUUUGAGCAUGUUCCUAUUAAACGUGAUAACAUUAGUGCCAUAAAUAUUUCAAAAAAUUUGAUGCAACACUCUAGGACUAAGCAUAUAGAGAUUAGACACCAUUUUCUUAGAAAUCAUUUACAAAAAGGUGACAUUACACUUGAAUUUGUAAGCACAAAAGAUCAACUUGCCGAUAUUUUUACAAAACCUCUAAGUGAAGAGCAAUUUUUUUAUAUUAGAAGACAACUAGGGGUGAUUUCUUUAUAAUCAAAUGAUUACUUGAUGAAUUCUUGAUUGAAUAUACCUUAUGAUUGCGUGAAUUUCACAUCAUAUGCAUCAUAUAGAAAUAAUCUUAGGAAAAAGGUCAAAUUUUGACCAAAAAUCAAAAUUCCCUUGGCAUUGGAUAUCAAAAAUUGGGGAUUUCAACUGAAAAGGGCAAGGGAAGGAUCACGAGACAAGCAAAAGCCAAAAAAUUAGAGCGUUGACCAUUGACCAUUGACCAUUGACCAAGCGGUUCGUCGGGGCUGGGAAUUUAAAGAGACCCCCGCGCUUUAUUUUUUUCACUAUUCCCCUCAAUUCCUUGAAAACUCUUCACAUACCUGCUUCCAGAGACCACUUUGGGUUGAAUCUUGGACCAUUUGAAGGGCUUGGAGUUGUUUUUGGGACGUUUUUAAGACUAGGGUUUCAAUCUGAAACCUAAGGUUUCCAUUUUUAGGAGCAAUUCCUCUCAGACCACGUGCAUCAGCCAGGCUCAACUCCUUCUCCUUGCGCUUAGGGCUUCCGGUUGGAUUUCAUUCUCUCUUGUUUGGUUUCAUUCUCUCUUCAAACUUCUUUUUCUUCAUUUUCCGUUCUUUGGAUGGCGCCUAGGAGAGAGACAACUACCUCUAGGGCUCAGGGCAAGCGCCCUGCUGAGCCAUCUCAACCUGAGCAGAUGGAGGCUCACCGAAAGGCGAGGUAUGACACGACCCUCUGUGGACCCGCAUUUUUCACGUGCGUCCCCACUCGAUCGGCGAGACUCGCUUUUUAUUUGUGAAAAAUUGAUCUUUAAAAAAAAAAAAGUUGGAGUCGCCACCUAUUUUAUUUUUAUUUUGAAGGGAAAAUAAAACAAGAAAGAAAAACCCUAAAAAGUGACUCCAUGGUUUUGGAAAAAGCAUGUCUUUGAGAAACCCGAGUCUAAGUCCGGGGAUCAGGUUACUUAUUGGGAAGGUACCUCUAGGAGGUAGCACCCCUCUAAGCCCUAAAAAGGUCUCUACUGACUAAGUUAAGGGAAGCGUGGCAAUUAAAUGGUUGAUCAUGGAUACCUAAGUAGGCUAGGUGAUUCCAAAAACAUAACAUAUCAAACAAGAUCAAAUCACAAUUAAGGAGAGUUAAAAAUGCGUACCUGGACGGCUUCCCAAACGCUAUCAUAAAACAUAAGAGAUUAGUUUGGAGAUACAUCACACAACAUUUGUUUUACUCAAGCAAAUCAGGCAUAUAUCAAGACAUUCAAGAAUCACGUCAAAUAUGGAUAUGGUCAUCAAUGACAUACAAGUCCAUAGAAUUCUCGAAAAAAGGAUGAAAAUGAGCGUACCUGGAUAGCAAGCUAGAGCGCCUUUAUGGGAAACAAGGUUAACCCAAUAACAAAUUCAAGCAUAUCUCCAAGAAGAAUCAAAAUCAAUUGAAUACCAAAAAAUCAUCUUUAAAAUCAAUAUUAGUGAAGAUAUUAGGAAUGUAGGACCCCCCACCAAAGUCCAUAUUACUUUUGCACGAAUUGAUUCAAUGAAUUCCAUUAUUUGGAAUCGUGAAGCUUAUUCAUGCUUGUCAAAAAUCGAGAAAAUCAUAAAAUAGUUGAAGAUGAUGAAAAUGCAUGCCGGAAGGGAAAAUGGCAGCAAAUAGUAUGUUAAAAUUUGGAUUUUAUGCCUAGAGACUUCUCAGGAAUUUUAAAUAAAACUAGAAUUAUUUUUUACGGGAAAAGAUUUUGAAAUCCAGAUUUAAAAUGUGUAAGAUAACAAAAAGAAUAAGGAGAAACAUUAGGAGUAUGGUGUGUGGCAAGGUGACCACUAUAUGAGUGAGGUCUGGAGGUGCACUUGAGACUAAAUGGUUGAAACAGAUUGCAUAGGGAGCAUUCUGUACACCACUAGUUGUCUAGAAAGAAACUGAAUGUGUUCGUUUCCGAGCCCAUGUUCACCGGAGUUUAGGGUGCCACCUCAUUUAAAAAAAAGGGCUUCAAUACAACUCUAGUUUCUCAAGAUCACAAUCUGAAUUAUCAACAGAAGCUUCUGGUGAAGACAUAAUGCUCAAUUUCAGAUUAAAUUUCCUGUUCUAUAACUCGUUUUCUCUGAAUUUUCCUUUAAUGUCUGUGCUUUCUGAUCAUAUAAGUUGCCCGUCUGGUUCCUUGUUUGAGACUCUGCCGAACCUGGAAUAAUGCUUCUAGGUCUAGCUGAGGGGACCUACACCCCUUUUCAUGGAACCUGAGGCAUGCGUUAAUUCGAAACUCUAUUACUUUGCCUUCCAUUGCUUUAAGUCUUUUAGCCAUCUCAGCCACAAAUCUGGAGAUUCAUUUAUCUUUCUUUAAUAUUCAAGCCAAAUGUCAAUCCAGUCCGCUUAAACCCCGAUUUGAAUGAUUUUGAACCCUCUUUUUGCGCUCUUGAUGUUUUUCAUUUCAACUACAAUGACAAACCACCCUUCGAAAAAAGAAGAAAUCUGGACCAAAUCCUAAACUUUUAAUUCACAACUUCUUGAGCCUGACUCUGAGUCGACACAAUUGAAUCACCUUGGAUAAGAGUGCUUCUAAAAAUCCUCCAGAAUGUAGGCACAAGUGCAGCGUUCGUUAAUAAUGUCCAUGGCAUGUCACAAAGGAAAGCUUCUUUUUUUAUAAUCAUCAACGCAAAUUGACUCUUAAUGGACCCCAUUGCCAGCGUCACAUCAAAGACUGGACAGAUAGGGAGAUUCACAAUUUCGAUAGCUAUCUUUGCAUUAUUUGGGCAGGGCAACCAUGUUAUGGAUAUAUAGCUCGAAGGUGACUUGCGUUUUGUUCUGUAUCAUCAGUAGCAGCCUCAAACCCGCCAUAGGUUUGAGUGGUAUUAAAAGACUCAACAUGAUCAGCUGUAGGUGAUCGAGCAGCCAAUUCAUCAUUGAGCAAAUCAAUAAAAGCUUGGAUAUCGUUGCCGAGUGGCCUAAAAUCAUUAGAUAAAUCAUUAAAGUCAUUAAGUAUAUUACUGAUCUCCAUGAAAACCCUCCUCCUUGCUUCUGUAGAGCGAACACAAGCUGCCACUAAAAUUGGUUAGCCCGGAUUGCUAAUUUAUGCAUCCAAUCACCAUCGAUUUCUCUUGUCCUUUUUGGAACUUCUGGAAUAUGGAUGAAACCUGUGAAGAAUGUGGUGGAAUUGCGGUCUGCAAGCACGAAGUUUCCAGUUACUUGAAAUGCUUCGAAAUCAUGGUUCCAGUUUACAUCUACAGGCAUUGGCUCAAGUAAGUUCGUAUCAGCUUGGGUGGCUUUCGAUUCCAAAAGCUCUAACAACAACAUGAUUCUCAAAUAUCCGAACAGCAAUGUCCAAAAUUGAAUCAAGAAAAUUCUUUAGCAGCAGUAUGUGUUGUCCCUGCUGGAGCCAUCACAGGAGCAACUAAGCUAACUGCCAAAAAGGUUCUAGCCAGUGAGAUCCCAUUCUGACGUUUCGGUUUUGGUGACUGAUAGCUUUCUAAUUGUCCCUGCAAAUAAUGUAAACCAAUAGUUCCAUUGAAUGGAUUGUCAUCCAGAGCAAGGAUCCGAAUACUUGUAAGGCCAUCAACGAAAUCAGCGAGGGUGGUGUCGACUUCGUUGUAAUCGAAGAAGGCGAGUUGCAAUUCAGACAAUCUGCGAGAAGAAGGCAAUUUUCCAUUGAAGUGGUUCAUCUGAAACCCCAAAUUGCAGAGCAUUGAAAGCUGGUUGAAGUUUUGAGGGAGAGGUCCCUUUAAUCCCAAUCCCUUAACUUGAAUCUGUGUAACUCUGUCACCACUAUAAAAUACACGAGGCCACAAAUUUGACUCCACCCGUUGGCUCCUUUCCUUCAUUCAUUCGCUUUAACAAGUCACAUUUAAUUCCAAAGAAUAUUAUAUAAUCUUCAAGUAUGUUCAAAUCAGAGGGCUCUAGUCCGUUAACCUUUACACUCUCUAGCAGGUUCUGUUCUUGUCUCUUCCUAUUAUACAGAAGUUCAAGCAAGUUUCAUAAAGCCUGAAUUUCUACACGUAGCCACUACUGGGGUCAGGUUUAUCCAAGUGUGCUGCUCCAACAGAAUUAUCGAUGUGUCAGUUUCUCUAAAAAUCACCUUGUGAAUCAAUCCACAAUACCGAGGCAUCCCAUCAUCAGAACUUCCUAAGCUUUCAGCAAGUAGGCAAGCAUUUAUGCUUGAGUCAACUCUACCGAUGACAACAAACCCAUCCAAAUCAAACUUCAUAGCUGUUUCUUCUUUUCCAUUAAUAUCAACUGGUAUCCUUUCUAAAAGAAUGCUUUUCUUAUGACGACAUGACAGUAAAACCCUUUUGCGAGAAUGGCUCAGAGUUUUGAUCAUCAUCUGAUUCUAUUGUAUUACUGGAAUGAUUGCUUUGGUAAAUGGAAUUCAACAGAAUCCACACAUUCAUGACUCUAAAAUUCAGCUUACUAGCAACCAGAUGGAACACACAUUUUCUGGUUCAGGCAUUCGUUUCUGGUCAGAUUCAUGGUAUCUUAGCGGUGCAACAGACGAUGCAGCAACCUCUUCUAGAGUGCCUUUUAUGAGCCUCAAGAGCAAAGGCCAAUGAUAGAUGAAGCGGUCCCUCUGCACUACUUGGGCUUCUGAUUCAGAAGUUAUCAUGAAGCCAACGAACAAGCAGAGUGAACGCAUUUGCAGUCAACCUUAAAAUUUCUAAUAUUGUCAGCAGGCCUGAUGGUAAAAAAACGAAAGUAGGGGAGCCUUAUUCAAGAGGAUCAUUGCGAACACUGUCACGUGUUAUUGGUGAGCUUGUUGGCAUCUUGUUUUGGGCAGAAUAAUGAGAUCCUUCAGUUAAUUAGAGAUCCAUAUCAACUAAACACCAGAAUCAUGGAUUUCCCAUGCUUUCUACUGGACAACGAUUGUCAGUUCUUUCUCUUGUUCACUUCUACUGGCAGUGGCUUGACUCUCCAACAAAACCCCUGAUGCACCCUGUAGCUCCUCAUUUAAUUCUGGAUUCUUAUCAGCAUCGCUUUCUUCUCCCUUUUGAGACUCUUGGAGUAUGAAAAAGAAAACUUGUGAAGAAUAAGGUGGAAUAUCCCAGCAAUGCAGUAUGGUAGGACCCAUUUGAGGGGGAACCCUGCAUUCAUCACUCUCACCUCCAGUAGCAUUAGAUGCUUGCUGGACCCAAUUCAGCCAGUCUCUGCAUAUUGACUCUCAAUAUAAACGUUUAGAAAUAACAAUGACUUCAUUUCUACUGCCUUGUUUAGACCUUCCUUGAUCAAUGUCUACCUUCAUUUCUCACAAAUUCUGGUUCUACUAUUAAAGUUCUGCCCCCAGUCCGUUUUGCAAAGCAUAAGCUAAUUUUAUAUUUGUAUAAUUCCAUCUUAACACACAAGUCCGUCGUAGCCUUUCCUGAGAAGUUAGAGAAGUUGCUUUUCUGAUAUAAAAAAGCCUUUCAGAACCAUGCUGAAGCUCUGAAUGUUGAUAGUUUUCCAUUGCAACUGAUAUGAGCUCCUCAUCGGUAGUGUCACAAGAAUGAUUCCAUGAGAAGUUUCUUGUUGCAUCACCUUUUUUAUGUAUUCCAACCCCAACUGUUGAGUUUCUUGAAAUUGAAACUACGGAACUUAGUUAUUUUGAAUUGUUUGCAUCUGUAGUGAUAAAUCACUGGAAGAGACAAUCAUAAUUUAGGCACUUGAUUUCCGUUUCGGUCGAACUAACAGCUUCGUAACUGUUAAUCUCAAGGUCAGAUUCAUGCUCUUGUUUCUCAAUUUCCUCUUCCCAUGAGAAUUUUUUUCAUAACAAUCGAAUGAAUUCUUAUAACUCCCAAAAGUUUCUAGCUUUUGCUGAUCAUGGAGGUGCCUCACAAUACUUGUCAUUAUACUCACUUUGGAAUUUUUCUGGUCCAUGUUCACUUUGAAUGAAUGUAUCCCUAAAGGGGGUAUUCAAUGACUGCCCAUAAUGAGUUACAAGUUCCCCAAAAUAGAAUAUAAUGAUCGUCGGCCUUACAGUACUGCUGUUUUAAAAUUUUCUGCUCGCUGAACAGUCAUAGUUCAAACCAUCAAUAUCAAAAGGCUUUCCCAGGCACUCAUCUUCAGAACCAUAAGGCCAGCAAGUCUGCAACCGUUUGAGUUGGGUAAAAAAGAAAGUCCUAAGCAGUGGAAGUGCACAGCAUGAUGCUGUCAAGUUUCAAUAACUUAAAUAUUGGCCAACUUAAGCCAGACCAUAUUCCUCAAAAAUCCAUUCUUCCUCUGCUCAUGUAAACUUGUAAUGCUGUCAGAAAUCCUGUCUUCAGAAUAGCAACCCUGACAAUUGAGUAUGGAAAGCAGAAUACCCAUGUGCUUCCAACUAAGCUUUUUACAACCAUCCUCAUAAACUGAGGCGUGCCAUUCUAAAGAAAAGGCAGAGUCUUUUAGAAAUCACAAUACUUCUGAAGCAGCUUGAAUUAGCAUAUUGCAGUAAUUGGAAGUCGGAUUGACUGAAACAGGGGCUCGAACGCAUCCAUCUGUAAAUCUUACAGACCGACCACCCUCAGAGAAAAGGUCUCCAAAAAAAAGGCUUCAGCUUCAUGACAAACAGCAUUCUCUGUUUCAGAGUUGCAACUGCCCCUGUUAUACUACUCCUGUGCACUUCAGCAUUUAUUCUUUAGUUAUACCGUCCCUUUAGAUAGCAUCUAUCCCACACCGUGAAGCAAGCAAGGUUCACUAUAAUAGGAUCUAGUAGCAGCAACAAACGGGUGAUCCUGGAGAUAUUUUAAACUCAACUUCAUCAACAUCUUCAGCGUGCACUUCUGUUGGAACACAAGCGAUAGUAGCAGUGAAAAAAAAAGUGUUGUACUGAUCCCGUUAGGAUUGCAGCCCAGAAUACCACGAACAGAGAGCCCCAAAAAUUGAAGCAACUCUGCAUCCAACUAAAUCACAUCUAGAACCCGGUUUAACGACUUUCUUGUCUUGAAGAGGAAAUACCCAAUCUGACUCAACAAUCUGUUAUCAUGUGCCAAACCCCACAAACAGCCCACAUUCUACGCAGCCUUUAUAAAGUCUCUACCUUUCAUGAAAUACUCAUGCCAUCAUUGUCUCCAUAGCCCAGAACACCAAAGUAAAGAAGAGGAAGAAGCGUAGAUAUAGAAGCACAAAAAAAGAAACCGAACAAAGAAAGAAAAAAAAAAAAAAAAAACGAAAACAGGGGAAUGGAAGGCAAUGGGUGGGAAAUCUGAAUAAGUCACAUUUCAUUAUUUUCAAAAGGGCUUUGAAGAAUCUGAACACAUUAGGACAAGCUUAGUUAAAAUUAUAUCAGGAUUCCACAAACAUUAAAAUUCAAACAUAAGUCUCUGUUUCAGCUAUUUAUAAAAAGAAUCAAAGAAAUCAAGAACACAAUCAUAAUAGAGCAAGUUUGAAGGAAAUUUCGAUUCAACAACGCAAAUAAAUGGCCCUCAAUGUCCACUCCAAUCAGCAAGAACAACUUCCCGAAAACAGCCAGAGAAUCUCAAGUGAAUGUAAACGGGAAUACCAAAAUAAUAAAAAAAAUAACAGGAAGCGUACCUGGCAGAACCUUGGCUGCAAUCUCCCUCUCUUUCUGCUCUUCUCUCCGCACUUUUUCUUCAAGAUCUCUCUUUUUCUCCUUUUUCUCCUUUCUUUCUUUUCUUUCCUUCUUCCUUUUCUUUCCUUCUCCCUCUCAAGCCCAAAAAUCCUAUCUCUCCCUCCGGAUCUCUCCAAAAAAAAAUCCCCAUGCGUGCUGCCAGUCCCACUUUUCAAAAAGAAAACAUCUUGCUGAAAAGGAAAAUCCUACUUCCUUUUCUCCUUUCUUUCCUUUCUUUCUUUUCUUUCCUUCUUCCUUUUCUUUCCUUCUUGUAGCCGAUCCCCACAUGGAAGAAGUAUAUGUGCUGUCCCUCUAAAAAUCAAAAUCUCCUCUUUUCAAAAUUCCGUUGAUUUUCCUUCCAAAUAAAUGGCGGUUCGUUUCCUCAUGCCCAAAAAAUAAAUAAAAUAAAAAAAUAAAAAUAAAAAAAAUAAAAAAUAAAAAAUUAAAAAAAUUAAAAACAAAAAUAAAAAAAAAUCAAUCACAUGCAAGCCAUACGAGCUAUGUAACCACCAAAGGAAUAUGAGUUAUGCAACCAUGCAAAAACACGAGCCAUGCAACCAUGCAAACCAUGCAAAAACAUCUAAAGGUGACCUAGGGUGUGUCCUAGUGCGCUAGGGCAAACGAAAUGGACUAAGUGUGCUUAAAAGCUAUCCUAAAAAAAAGAAAAGCCUACGACUAAGUUAGGGCUGCCAAGGGUCACAAUAAGGGAUCAAAUAAUCCCUCAACCAAAAUCUCCGAGGUGACUCAGAAAAAGGUUAGUGGUAUGAGUAGCCAUGGGCCACCAAGGAACUAUGGGGCACUGAAAACGAAUUUAAAGACAUGUGCUAAAGGGACAAAAUUGAGGGUCUACACCCUCUUCAGUUCUGUUGAAGAUUAUCAAAGAUACAAGCAAAAAUUCUCCCAGAGGAAACUAGGGAGAAAUAUCAAUUUCUCCCAACUUUAGUACUUCGGGUUUGAGGGACUCUUUAGUCGGAUGGGAUAACUGCCAGUUGUGAUGAUUUUCGAGCCGAUCUUCCUGACUCUGGUGCGGGCAUUUUAUUCAUAGGUGACUUAUGGACUUGGAGGACCAGUCAUGUCCACUAUUAGAGGUGUUGAGAUCAGACUGAGCCCGGAGAGCAUUUUCCGCAUUCUCGACAUUCCUUUAGUUGGACUCCGGGUGUAUGAGUCCAAGGUUUGGCCCACUGUGCCGGGAUUCGAGCCUAGAGAGGCUAUUCAGAGGCUGUGCGGACUUGUAGAUGCUGAGGGGAUGGACAAACCAUCGGCACAUAGCCUGACCGUGACCAGCCAAGUCCUUCAUCACAUGAUUUGCUCCUAUUGCCACAAGGCGGGUAUCGAGAUGAGAUUUCCUACCUGGAUGCUUUCAUAGUGGACACCAUUCUAAUGGGGAGAUGGAUUCAUGUAGGGUAUUUGAUGAUGAUGCAUAUGAUAUCCUACUAUGAGAGCACGACCCGAGUACUCCCCUACAGACGCUUCCUCACUCGAGUAUUCAAGGAUGUCGGGGUCGAUUUGAGUAGAGAGACGAACUUCGAGGCCCUUACUAGCUAUGAUACUUACGAUGAGCAGUCCUUGGAGCGGAUAAAGUUUGAGAAGGCCCUCGAUGGCUCCUGGAUUAGGAGAGUUGAGCGAGCUCCAGCAUAGGCCCGGGGACAAGGAUAGAUGCAUCCCGGAGUAGAGGAGGAGGCUGAGAUCAAAGAGAUGGAGGAUGGGUUAGACCCAAGGAUUGAAAUAUCGAUAAAUAUGGAUAUAUCGGUACUUGGAUUUUACGGAUAUAUCGGAAAUAUCGGAGAAAUAUCAAUGGAUAUUUUUCAUCAAAUAUCGGUGAGACAAAAAUUAUCCAAAAUUGAUGGGAAUGCUUAGAAAAAUCCAAAGAAUGAUAAAAUAAGCAAGAAUAUACAUGUUAAAGUUAUUUUAUGAGUGUAAUUGACAUAAAUAUGGUAUAAAAAAAAUAUAUAUCGGUAAACAGUUUACGAUACUUGGAUUUUAAGAAAAGAAAAUAUGAAAUUUGGAAUUGUACACUUAAAAAGUUAGAAUUGAGUUAAGAAAUAUUUGAUUUUAUUAAAUGAAAAAAAUUUACACAUAAACAUAAUACAUAUGACAUUGCAAUGGUCCUUAAUACCAAAAUGAAGAUCGAUGUGGUUCCAUCAUAUUGUUAUUGUUAGAUGAAGGGAGCCCAUCUUGUUGAAGACAAUAUUCAUACCAGGACAUGGAGUUUCGAUAGUAUUGAUUGUAUGUACUAACAUGCCAUGCAUAAAUUUCUUGAGUCCUACCGACAACCUGUCCAUGGAUGGGAAAUCCAGGGUUUUCCCAUGUGCUCGUUUGAAAUCCUUGUUGUUGCAGCUGAUGUAGAAGGUAGUAUGGAAUUUGUGUGGAAGAAUGAUAGUUAUACCUUUCAUACUCUUCAUCAGUGGAACUUGAAAGAUUUUGAGGAGGCUGACCAUAACUCAUUGCAUAAGGGGCAUAAAUGUUGGCUUCAUUUGAUGAAUCACUUAAUUGAGUCUCUACACUCAUCGACUCAAAACUGGCCGACAAUGAGUCCUCGUUGUAUGGCAUCAUCCUUCGUUGUCUUCCUCUAUAUGGCUUUCCAAUGGCUCCAACACCUGGACCGGCUCUUCUAGAGCCGUGGUCUUCAUCUUGAGUACAAUGUGUGAAAUCAUCUUCACUAAUAAAUGCCAAUGGUUGUCCACUUUGUUGAUGUUGUCUAACAUCCCCUUCAUCAUUUUCAGGGUCGCUACCAUCAUUGGUCCCCUCUCCUCUUGAAUCAUCAUAACCGGAAGCGGAAGUACCAGUAGCACUAGGUCUACUACUAUGUUCAACACUCGUGGGGUCAAAAGAAGGUCGAGAAGUGACUACCAGCUGAGAAAUUCCUUGUCGAAAUGAAUCUUUCGUGUCUUGGUUGAAACUAUCAAUAUGAACUUCUUCGGAUAACACUUGAUCAACAUCAACACCUGCUUCUCGGACAUGUGCGGCAAUUCGUGGGUCGAGAUUUCCAUCUUCAUCAUCUAAAUGAAGAGGUCUAACCCAUUGAAACAAUUGGUUAUCUUCUUCUUCACCAGCCUCAGUUGCAAUAUCAAGUAAAUCAAGGUAAUCUUUCUCUGAAACUUUGUCAUGUUCUGCUUCCAUGUCACGUAUCUUUAGUUUCAUGUUAUAAUAAUAGAAAACUAAUUGUUAGAGCAUCGGGUAAGCAAGCUGAUUUCUUUGUUUUGUAUGAAUUAUGGAAAACAUGCUCCAAUUUCUCUCACAAGCUGAAGAUGAUGCAGUUUGCGAUAAAACCUUGAUGACCAACCUUCUUAAUGUAGGAGUGUGAUUUCCAUACAUGAACCACCAUUCAACUACAACCAAAUAAAUGAUAUCAAUACUUAUAUUGGAAAGCUAUAAUAAUAUGCUAAUGAAAUGAAUUAUUAAUUCACAAAUAAUACUCACCGAGAACCAUUUCUAACCUCGAAGCAAUCACUGUUUGAUCACCGAAUCCUCUUUUUGCAUCUCGGAAUAGUAUAAUCUACAUAUUAAAUAAUUGAAAGUGAAAAAGUUGAGUAAAUGAAAUUAAAUUAUUUAAUUUAUAUUAUAACUCUAAUAAUUUACCUCAUUUCCAAAUUGACUAAAACCUUCUGAUGUAGGAUCUAAUUUCGCAAAGACUUCAUGGACAACUUGAAGUAGAUCAGGAUCAGUACCAACUCCAUGUUUAUAUUGAAAUCUUGGAUUAAGAAAGAAUGCUACAAUAGUAAAAUAGAAAUGUAAAAUUAGAAUGUUAUGAAAGAAACAUAUUAAAUACCAAUAAAUUUCAAAGAUGAAUAAUACUUACCUGCUGCAUGAAAAGGAUGUUUAAAAGUUCUAUCCCAACGAUAUGCAAUUAUUUCUAACACCCAUUCUUUAGCAUUAAGUCGAAUAAGGUUCUCUUUCAUAACUCGAAUCAAUUCGUACACAAAUGGCAUUGUAGGAACAACUUCUGAAUCGACAAUGCGAAGAACUGUGUAUAGCGCCUCAUAUAUUGACACUAGCUUUCCCACUCUUUCCUAGUAUGCAUGGUCAAACAUAAGUGAUUCAACUUCUUUGCCGAUUAAUGUGCAACUUAAGUUGUGUUGUGCCCAUUCAUCACUGAUAAAUAUUUUCUUCAAGUUUAUUUUCUUUUUCAAAAGACUGUCGAAGGCUAUAUAAUUGGUUGCAAAUCUUGUUGCUCCAGGACGAACUAUGUCUCCACCACACACCUUCCGCAUCUGGGUAAGCAACCAACCAUGGUUAUAAAUGAAGUUGGUUAUCUUUCGAGCCUUUGUAAUCACAUCUGCAACACUCGUCCUUUUACCGAUAUCUUCGAACAUUAAGUCGAUGCAAUGUGCUGCACAUGGAGUCCAAUAAAGAUUGUAUUUCUUCAUUAACAACUUCCCCGCCUUCAUGAAUGCCGACCCAUUAUCUGUAACUAUUUGGACCACAUUUUGUUUGCCAAAUUCCUUGAUCACAUCCUUCAACAAACCAUAUAUGUAUUUGUUGUCCUUUAUAUUAUUUGAUACAUCAACAUAUUUGAGGAAGAUUGUGCUACCUUUUGAAUAUACCAUGAAAUUAAUUAUGCUUAAUUUCGUGGGCCCAGUCCAUCCGUCAGACAUAAUCGUGCAUCCAUAAGUCUUCCACUUUUCUCUUUGAAUAUUGACAUAAGCUUCUAUGUCUUUGUACUCCAUAUCCAAAUACUCGUGUUUGAUUUCAUAAGGAGACGGUGGUUUUAUACCCAUACCUACCAUCCAUAUAUAAUUAAAGCAUAUAAGAACAUUUGUGGCAAUCAUACUAUAUAAAUAGUAAUGAUAUUGUUAAAAUGAAUACAACUUUUAAAAUUAUAGUAAUUACCUGCUUGUUGUGCACCAACAAUCAUGUUCUUGAAGUGGUGAGAGUCUGUUUUACUGGGCGGAACACUCUCAUAUAUGAAGAACUUACUGAUCAAACGUCCCAUGGUUUCCUUGAUGGCACCACCUUUGAAAAUAUUUUUCAUAUUUUUAUGUCUUGCUACUGAAGAUUUGUACAAUGAGGGUGCAUCAGGCAGUGAUGGAUCUAAAUAUCGAACACUUUGCGAUUUUCGCAUUUGCCUUGUUGUUGGAUUGGUUGGAUGUGAAGACUUGCCUAUUAUAAUUAUUAAAAUUAAACAUAUAUGCUAAUUUAAUAUUAUUGAUAAAGUUGAUAAGAAAUAGUAAUAAUUCAAAUUAAUAUUAUACCUGUUUUUAUUUUGUCUUUUAUAAAAUGUUCUUCUUAUUGUCGAUUCCAUUCAGCAGCUUUUGAUGCUCGAACCGCCUCUCUAUAAGCAUGUCGCUCACCAAGGUGCAUGUCAGCCAGAUACAUAUACACAUCAUCAUCUCCAUCAUCAUCAUCACCACCAAGGUUCUCCUCAUCGUCCUCAUCAGUUACAUGCUUAUGUCUUAUUCCCAUUGUGUCUCGCAGUUCAGAUCGAAUCUCUUCUAUAUCUGUAGCUUUCUUCGCUUUUGCCUUAUUUUUUUGCUCUAGAAGUCGUCUUAUUUAUUGUUUCACUUCUGGAGGCAUGUUAGGACACUUUUUUGUAUUUGAAUUAGGGUCUGUAUGUGAUAGGUGAAAUUUAAAACGAGUAAUCCCACCACUCUUUAUUGCCAACCCACAGUAAUUGCAUACUGUUCCAUUUUUGUCCCCUUCCAUAGGUGUACAAUAUUUCCAACAAGGAUCUCGACCCAUGAUACCGCUUUCACUAGCCAUUUUCUAAAAUUGAAUUAUGAAACUAAUAUCAAAUUUAAAAUUAUUAAAGAUAAAACAUGUAAGAAAUUUAAUAUUCAUGAAAUUGAUAAGAACUAAUAAAAAUUGAAAUUAAAAUUAAAUUAUGCAUAUAUGAAAUAGAUAAACAUUACAAUAAAAUUUCAAUAUGAAUUAAAUUUAAAUUAAAUUAAAUUAAAUUUGUAUAUUCAUGAAAUUGAUAAGAAUCAUUACUAAUAAAAAUUAAAAUUAAAAUUGAAUUAUGCAUAUAUGAAAUAGAUAAACAUUACAAUAAAAUUUCAAUAUGAAUUAAAUUAAAUUAAAUUUGCAUAUUCAUGAAAUUGAUAAGAAUCAUUACUAAUAAAAAUUAAAAUUAAAAUUGAAUUAUGCAUAUAUUAAAUAGAUAAACAUUACAAUAAAAUUUCAAUAUGAAUUAAAUUUAAAUUAAAUUAAAUUAAAUUAAAUUUGCAUAUUCAUGAAAUUGAUAAGAAUCAUUACUAAUAAAAAUUAAAAUUAAAAUUGAAUUAUGCAUAUAUGAAAUAGAUAGACAUUACAAUAAAAUUUUGAUAAGAAUUAAAUUAAAUUAAAUUUGCAUAUUCAUGAAAUUGAUAAGAAUCAUUACUAAUAAAAAUUAAAAUUGAAUUAUGCAUAUAUGAAAUAGAUAAACAUUACAAUUACAUUUCCAUAUGAAUUAGAUAAUAUCAAUUAAACUAUUGUAGACCCCCCUCUUUUGGUCUCGUUUCUUUUUUUUUCCUCUACAUAUAUUAUGUUUGUUUUAGCCAUUGCGGAAGCACCUGGAAGAGGUGUUAGUGCCUUGAACAAGUGGGGGGACCUGGCUGUUUGGAGAGAUGAGCUGCGUGGAACACGUGGUGGAGCAGUUGGCCACAGCCAUGGUGGUGGUUGGGGCUCCAGUUUGCUGAGCAGAGGAACAGUAUAGUAGCUGAUGGCUUGCAGGAAAAGCUUUGACGGAGAAGGAGGACAGAGGAUUUUUAAGAGGAUCCUUUUGAGAGUGCUGGCAGGGGGGGAUCUUGGAGGGAAAGGGAAGAGGAGAAGUAAGUUUUGAGGAGAAAGGGGCUUUCAGGUAUGGCCAUUUAUGAUUUUUCCCGAAUAUUCUGAUCUUUCAUAUCUUUCCCAUCUUACUCUCCAUGAUUCCAGUUUUGCUUGAUGAGUUGUUUUGUUUUGAUGAUUGUUGGUUUAACAUUAAAAAAGAUGGCUGUUUUUUUUGUGUUUUACCCGUGCAAACCUCUUCCAACUUAACCCUUUGAUCGUUAAGCUCAUGGAUGAAAGAAUGAAACGAAGUUAGCACAUUCAUCAAAAGGUUCCCUGCUAUGUUUCUCCAUUUGUUCCCUUUGCUUGAGUAUGUGAGUAUUGAUGCUAAUAGUAGCAAGGUCCCAGCCAACUUUGUACAAUAGAGCUCAGAUGUUGCUCUAGGGGUUCAUGAUCAUCCUGUCAAGUGCCUAGGAGCAAAUGAUGCCCUUGAGCUUACGUUUCUAAGUCGUGUUCUCCCUACCAAGCUGGAUACCCUCCUUGCUAAGGACGGGGGGACGAAACCUAUUAACAGCCGAAACCCAAUGAUAAGAUCCAAGUCACUGUCGAGUAUCUCAAUGAGAAGGAUGCCAUGGUUCUUUCUUCGUGUACAUGUUGUUCCCAUCUCCACCCAAGUUGACUAAACUGUCAUCAGUGAUGAGAUUGCUGCCUACACUAAAUAAUACAUCAUCCAGCCGGUUAUUCAUGAGAAACAUUAAGAUGAGAAGUCCACCUUCCAACACCCAUUAAGCCACUCUUCACACCCAUCUUCUCUCAUUAACAUCCUCAUACCCCUCCCACCACUUCGUGAUUCAUAUCCCCAUCAUCCCCAGCCGUCCAUGCUAUCAAUAAUAUCCCCACUUAUCUUCAUACCCAUUUGUUCCACUAUUCGGAAUCCCCAUGCAUGCGAAACUGGACGCGGAAGCCAUGAUAGCAGAGAUUGUGAUGAAGAACGUGGAAUGCGGUACCCUGUUGCAUGAAGUGAGCAUGGUGGAGCGGCGGUUUGAGGAGUCGACGAGGAAGAUAGAGCUGUAGAAGAGCUUGCUGGAGGUGUUGGAGUUGGAGAGGACGAUAUUGCUGAAUGAUAACGUGCGGCUGGGGCGCGAGAUGAGUGCGCUGAUUGAGGAGAACAAGGGGCUGUGGAGGUCCCGGCUCCUGCUCCGACGCUGGAGGCGCUGAGUCCUCCAGCACCGCCGGCCGAAGCUCCUAGGCCACAGCUAGAUGCGAUCCCAUCCAUCUCCAUCUCUGCCAGGUGAGAGUAGGGCAGAGAAGAUCACGUGCGUGAGGUAGAGGGUAGAAAUGGAUAAAGGGCAUAGAAAAUGGGCUACAGCAAUGCAUGGAAUUGUUUGAUAAAAGAAAAGAGAAAUGGGUUUGUUGACACGUGAAAGAACUAUGCACUUUAAAAAAACUCUCCCUGUUUGUUUUACAUAUUCUCAAACAAUGCUUAAAAAUCCCUUAAAAUUUUAAAGUUAAAAAUUUAUUCACUUAUUCAUGUUUUUCUAUUCACUUCAAAUUCUCGAAACUCAAUCCUAAAAUUUAAUUUCUUCAAAGUUCAAUCUCCAAAAUAACUUUUUUUUUAGGUUCUAAUUUUAACUUUAAUUCUCCAAAGAUCCAAAAUUUUAAAUUUAACUUUCCAAAAAUCCCACAAUUCCGAAUUUAAUUUUAGGUCUUGUAAAUUAGUAUUAUUAUCCCAUAUUUAUUUAUUUAAAGUCCAAUCCUUCAAAAAUCUCAUUAUUAUUAUUAUUAUUACUUCAACUUUCGAAAUCAAUUUAUUCUUAUUAUUAUUAUCAUUAAUCCAAACUUUCAAAAUCCUAUUAUUAUUAUUAUUAACCCAACUCUCAAAAUAUUAUUAUUAUUAUUAUUAUUAUUAUCAUUAAUUCAGACUUUCGAAAUCUUAUUAUCAUUAUUAUUAAUUCAACUUGCAAAACCUUAUUAUUAUUAUUAUCAUUUCAAAACCUUAUCAUUAUUAUUAUUAUUAUGAUUAUCAUUAUUAUUAAUUUAACUUUUAAAAUAUUAUUAUUACUGUUUUUAUUAAUUCAACUUUUAAAAUCUUAUUAUUAUUAUUAUUACUAAUUCAAUUUUCAAAAUCUUAUUAUUGUUAUUAUUAUUAUUAUUGUUAAUUCAACUUUCAAAAUCUUAUUAUUAUUAUUAUUAUUAUCAUUAUUAACCUAUUAUCAUUAUUAUUAUUAUUAUUACUAUUACUAUUAUUAUUAUUAUUAUCAUUAUUAUUAAUUCAAUUCCCCAAAUCUUAUUAUUAUUAUUAUUAUUAAUUCAACUGUCAAAAUCUAUAUUCCCGUAGUUUAAUUUCUCAAAGUUCAUUUCUUAUCAUUACUGUUAUUAUUAAUUCAAUUUUCAAAAUCUAUAUUCUCGCAGUUUAAUUUCUCAAAGUUCAUUUCUUAUCAUUACUAUUAUUAUUAAUUCAGCUUUCAAAAUCCAUAUUCUCGCAGAUCAAUUUCCUAAAGUUCAUCUCUCAUUUUCUUUGACGAAUUUCAAUUUAAUUACCGAAGCUCUAAUCUUUCAAAGUUAAUUCCAAAUACUUCAAUUUUCAAAUAAAGUCUAAUAAUCCAGUUUUCACUCGAAUGGUUUUAAUCCCAUUUCAGUCCCUAAAUAAUCUUCUGGUAUUCUUGAUUUUAUAUAAGCAAUAGUGAAUUCUUCAUAAUUCUAAAACACGGAAUUUGUGAGACUGGUUCAUGAAUAAUAAAUUGGGUUUUGGUGGGAGGCACUAUGUUUGAUCCCUAUUGAUUGUCAACUGUUGUGCUUAAUGUAUUUUUGCUUGAUCUUCAUUUUGCACCCUGAUAUGCAUGAGUUAUAAUUUGUAUUCAUUAAUUAUGCACUAAUCCUGUUUCUUGAUAGCAAAUUGCUGUUUGCUACCCAGGUACGCAUUCACUCAUUCUGAUCAUUCACUAUACGUAUUCUGAUUCUCAUAUAUGCAUGAUUAAUGUGAGUAUCCAUUGACUUUCUUAUUCGAUUGCCACGUCAGUUUCACUUUAUUAGUAGAGACCCGACUUUAGGGACUUUGAGGGGUGCUAUGGUCUCUACCGUACCUUCCCGAUAAGUAACCUGACCCUCGAACCCGAUCCGGUUUUUCACAGACCACCUUUUCCAAAACAAGGAGUCGCACUUAGGGUUUUUCUUUCUUAUUUUGUUUACCCUUUAAAAAUAAAACAAAAAUAAGUGGCGACUCCAAGUCAUUUUCAAAUAAUCAAUAAAAAUCAAGUUUUCAAAUAAAAAUCGAGUUCGUCAUCGAGUGGGAAACGCAUUGAGCCGAAAUGCGGGGUCCACAACUAUAUAUAACAAAUAAAAUUGAAUUAUGCAUAAUAAAAUAAAUUUUAUGAAAGGUAAGACAUACCUUAAUUAGCUUUGACUUGGAGUUAAUCCCUUUCACCAACAAAUUUUCAAAAUAAAAAAAUUUUGCUAGAUCAUAUAAGAAUUUUGAUGUAUGAAAUGGAAUGGAAUGUGGGUAUUUAUAGGAAUUUUUUGGUCAAACUACUCGUUGGAUGGUCAAAUAGCCGUUAUAAAUUAAUUUUAACCGUUGGAUCAAAAUUUGGUUCAAAUUUCACCAUUAGAUCUUCAUAUAACCGUUGGAAACACUCCAUAGCCCUUGGAUAAAGUGAAGAUUGAUUUUCCACCAUUGGAUCACAAAUCUGACCAUUGGAGGCCUUUAUAAACACACGGGUGAAAUUUGGGCCAUCAGAUCCUCAAAAAUUCAAAUUUGGCCGUCAGAUCAAAAUCCUUGAAGCUGUAAAAAAAUCACCGAUUAAUCGCGAUUUUCUCGGCAAAAAAUCGUUGAUAUAUCGGUAAAAUAGCUGAUUUUUUGGGCUCCUCCUCCGGCUUCUUCGUGCGUGCCUCUACUCGCGAUUUUUCGUCGAUUUAUCGGUGAAGCACCGAUAUUUGGCCGAUAUAUCGGCGAUUUUGCCGAUUUUUCCGUCGAUUGAUAAUCGGUGACGAUUAUUAUUUCGGUGCCGCCCAAUAUCCGAUAUUUCUCCGAAAUAUCGAUGAUAUAUCCCGAUUUUUCAAUCCCUAGUUAGACCCUUAGAGGGAUUUUAAGUAGAGAGGGCCCGAGCUUGACAUUUCUCCUCCACCUCAUUCAGAUGGUAUUCAUGUUGAGACCACUUUCUUAGAGCCUAUGAUGAUUGAGUCGUCUUACACUACAGGAGCAUCAUCUCAGCCAUCAUUCACCGAGCUUCCUCACACAGAGAUACCAUCUCAGGCACCUCACGCUUCUGAUCAUGCCCCUUGGAUGGAUGUAUCAGCUCAUAUCAGCUUCCUUGGGACUCCUAUGGAGGAGCUUGCUUUAGUCAAUGAUACUCGAUUCUACUCUAUGGAGGAUCACAUAGAUCAGUAUCAGACUGGCUUCACUUCUCGUUUUGAGCACUUCCAGCAGAGAUUUGAGCGUAUAGAGGAGCGUAUGGAUCAACAGCAGGCUACAGUUGAGCAUCUCCAGCAAAGUAUUGAGCGCAUUGAGAGUCGCCAGGCGAGUUAGCAUGAGGAGAUGAUGGCUUACCUCCGCUCCGUGUUUCCAUCUUCACCCCCUCAGCCUUGAGUUUAUCUAGAGUUCCCCCUCAAUUUCUUUUUUAUGUUGCUAAAGGGGGAAAAAUAUCUAGGAUCUAGGAAACCCUCAUGCAUAUCAUUGUCAUAUCUAUCUUGAUUAGCAUAUAUGUUAUGUUUUCGUGUACAUGUGAGGUUACCAUAUAUAUGAUAUGCUAUUUUCAUGAUCCAUUGUUUCCUAUUCAAUUUUUCAUGCUUUACAUUGUUUCCUAUUGAAAAUUGAUUGAUUGAUCCAUGAUUGGUUUGAGGGGGAGAUUUUUUUUCUCUCCUAGAUAACCAAGGUUGGUCAUCAUAAAAAAUGGGGAGAUUGUUAGCCUAAGGGCUCUCCUAAUCGGGUUUUGAUGAUAACAAACCAUGGUUAAAUGACUAAUUGGUUUAAUGGUUAAGAAUCUCAGGCAUAAACUCGAAAAUUCAUCAAAUGACCAAAUGGAUACAAGAUCGAGACAUUUGGAAGACUUGUGAUCAUAGGAAACUAAUGUAAGAUAAAUACAUGAGUGCACUUAGGAUUUUCAUACCGUUUCAUGCAAUUUAGAAAACUCGGUUUAUUUUUUAAAACUUCGAUUUCAUUAAAACCCGAGUUUUAACAAAUGUACCUUAGGCAAAAUGUUUUAAAAUUGGCAUAAUAAUUCACCUAAAAACCUUGCCUAAGUGUUAGAAAAAAAAUGAAUUCAAAAAGAUAGGUUUUUAGGGCCAAAAGGCUCAACCGGUUGGAGAACCAGUCGACCAAUUGCCCUUCUCCGGUCGAGGAAUGCACAAAAUUUUCUCUCUCACAGUAGCCUUCUCUUCCCAGUCGAGGUUAUUCUCUUCCCGAUUGAGAACUGGUCAAGGUCCGGUCGAUGACCGGUCGAGGCAACGGUAUCCUGUCAAGCAUUAAAUGCUCCAACGGCUAGUGAACCGGUUGACCCCUAGUUCGAUCGGUCGAGGUUACCUUUUGCUGUUUUUGGCUCCCGAGCUUAGAAACCUAUAAAUUGAGAGCUCCACUUCAUUUAUUGACGAGAGAACACUUGCAACUAAUUGUCUACCUACCUGUUCUUGAUCAAAAAGCUUUCAUUUCUUUCUUAGUGCAUUAAAUCUUCAAUUGCAUAUCCUUUAGUGCACUCUUGUGUGUCAUCCUAGCUUUGUCUUAUAUUUGAGCUAUCCUUAAGCUAGGUUGAGGGAUUCAUUCUUGUAAAAAUCGAGUGUUAAAGCCUUCAAGAGGUUUAAAUCUUGAAGAGAUUGUGUAAGAGCCCAUUGGAGCCGGAAUCCAAGUGUAAGAAGAUUGGAAGCUUGGUUGAAACUUUAAGUUAGUGGAACCCUCACUCAGUUAGGAGAUUGAGGAGAGUGGACGUAGGCAAGAAAGUGCCGAACCACUAUAAAAUCCGAGUUUGAAUUCUUUAACUCUAUUUCUUUAUUUUGCUUAUAUUUUGCUUGAACUCGUUGUGAUCGAAAAGAAUUUAAAAAAUCCAAUUCACCCCCUUCCCCUCCUUUUGGGUGUUUUUCUUAAUUAAGCAUAGCCUAUAUUUUCUCAUAAAUAAUCUCACAAAAUCCUAGUACAAACUUUAGCCUCAAAUUAUACAAGAUAAACUAGGAUUGAAUGGUGCACUAAUGAUAUGUAAGUUUUAAAACAAUGUGUACUAAAAAACACUCCCCUAAGGCUCAAUUAUAUUCAAGAAAGGUUUAAGAAGGUUAAACUCUUGAAACUAUAAAGAUUGAAGCGUUUUUAUAGAAGAGAAAAGCCAAACUACCUAUUGGGGGUUCGUCUGGUCGAGCUCUGGUUCGACCAGUUCACUAGCCAUUAGCAUUUAAUGUAUGAUAGGUGACCAUUGGGCCUUGACUGGUACUCAAUUGGAUGAAGUUCAACCUUGAUUGAUCGAAUAAGCAUUAUGGAAAAGAGAUAAGGUUUUUGCACCCUUCAACUGAGUAAGUUGAAUAAGUCGACUAAUUCCUCAUUCAAUUCAACCAAUUAAGUCAUUUUUUGCUAAAAAAACCAUCAUUUUCAACUUAAAACCUUUUAAACAAGUUUGGAAAGCAUUUGACAUAAGGUUUUAGUUGAAAACAUGAAAUCAUCCAAUUUUUAAAAGAUUUAAAACAAAAUAACUCUUGAAUGAUUUUAGUGUAUAAGUAAAGAAUGUAAUGCAUGAAAAACCCCAUGCACUAACAACCUUACAAAGAGAUCCUAUGAGGCUUAGGUCUUGAAAAAACACUUAUCUUUAAGGUUUUCUUCUUCUUAUUGAUUUUAUCUUUGUGAUUGCCACUUUGGAAAUCAUCUUGCCUAGUCACACUUAAAAUAUAAUCAUUAGUUCUAAACCUUGUUUUGUUAUCAUCAAAACUAAGAUUAACCAAACCUUGGUUUCACAGUAUGAAUAUUGUAUCUUUAGAUCUAUAGUUAAUAGUGGUUUUUAUAGUCAUAUGUUUCUAUUGUGAUAAAUUUAGAGAUGCCUAGGGAUAGAUGAAUGCACCCUAUGAGAUCUAGUGCAUAUGAAUGGAGUAAUCUGGGGUUCCUAACAUAGUUUAGGCUUGUGCUUCAUAGAGCGAUAACAAUUCUUCAAGCAUAGUUAUGCUUUAGAAAUUUGUUAUUGAUUGGUCCAAUUUUUAGACCAUCUUUAGCAACAAUCUUGUGGGCACCAUUGAUAUAAACUUGUUAUACAAAAUAUGAUCUAUCACAUUUUUGGCAAGAACUUUCCACUAGUUUUGUGCAUGGUAAUGAUCAUGCAUGCAAACUUAACUAAGUUAUACACUAGAUGCCAAACUACUACAAUUCUUAUACACCUUCCCAUUUUGUGCAACCGAACAAUUCAACAUCAUAACACCAAAGUUCUUGCUUAGAUUUCCUACAGUGCUAAAAUUUUGAAAUGAUUAAUUUUUUUAUUUUCCUUUCAAUACCAAGACCCACAUACAUCAUGUCAUGCCCUAAGACCCACUCUAAGGGCAUGACAAUCAUUUCACAUCUCAAGGUAGAAAGCUCAAAGUGUAAAUUGACCUUAACAUUCAUUUUGUAACUGGAAAAUUAUCAAUUACCAAAUUCAUAUUCAAAGUAGUAGAAUAAAAUUCUAUAAGUUUCAAAUCUCAACUUUAAAGCUAACACAUCAACUAAAGUGUUAUUGUCCAAACAACUUCAAACUUAACAAUUCAAGCAAUCAUUAAAUUCUAGCUUUCAAAAAAAUAAAGUUUUAACCAAAAGUCUUAAUAUUGCCAAAAUAUCAUCCUAACGAUCACUCCUAGCCCGAAUUAAGGUGCCUAAAAAAUUGUCAAUGAAAGGAAAUGAGAUCAACGCUCAAUAAGGAAUAUUAACAAAGUUUCAUGGAUCAAACAUUUUUAAUUAUAAUUCCAAAUAGGAGAUAUAAUAUAUAAUCAUUUUCAUAAAAACUUUUGAGUUUAAAUAUAAUAAUACAUUCAAAAAUUUUUAGCUAAACAUUUUCAUAUCUAUGUCAAAACAAUUUCAUAUCAAAUUCAAAUCAAAUAUAUACAAAAUAUUUUUAUUUUGGUUAUCAAAUAUCACAUGGUGUCAAGUUAGGUGGGACUUUACAAAUUGGUGUCUAGCCUCAAAUUUUUUCAUUUCAAGGUGGAUGAAACCAAACACUACUAGUAUUAUUAACAUCUAACCAAAUGCCUAAAGGGUGGAAUCUAAAGCAAUUACAUGCCCCGCCAAGAAAUAUAAGGUCAACAAUUAUAACUAGUUAACUAAGGACAAAAAUAAACUAGAGUCAAACACCUUAUUUCAUUAAUUCAAACUUACAAAACAAAAACAUCAUAUCUCCAUAAUUUUCAUUUUUUAUAAACAAAAGAAAUGUUCUAACAUAUUUUUUUCAUGAAAAAUAUAUAUUUGAUCCAUGCAUAAAAAUAAAAAUAAUUUUUUUUAUUAUUCAAAAUAACAUAUAAAAGUAAAUAUGUUCUUUUGGCCAAAACAUGUAUUAAUUUUUCUUACCUCAAAGAAACACUCAAAGACCUUGAAGCAAUUAAUCCUGAAGAAUUUCACCCCAAAAAACAUAUUUCAUACCUUACAAAAAAAAAACAAAAAAACAAAAUUACUAUUGAUUAUUUAUCUAAUAAUAGUUUCGUAUCUCAUAUCACCUAUAUUAUUUUUAACUUCCUAAUAAAUAACAAUUUAAUAAGUGAUUUUCCAAAUUUUAAAAAGUUAUGUUCUUUCCAAAAUUUAUUCAUAAUAUUCUAUUAUUAUUAAUUAAAUCUCUCAAAAAUAUGUUUUUUCUAUUUAUUGCAUUAAACUAUUAUUAUUAUUAUUCAAUUUCAAUUUGAUUAAUUGGUUUUUUCUUUUAAAUUUUUAAUUUAUAUAAGAUUCUUGUUUUGAAAAUCUUCCAUAUUUACUUAUUUGUUUAAAGUAAAUUUCUCCAAAACUUGUUCCUUUUUGUUAAACAAAUAUCUUUUCCUAUUAUUAUUAUUAUUAUUAUCCCUAAUAUUAUAUUCAAAUAACUAAACAAUAAUAAUUUAAAUUAGUGAGUUUCCAAAUUUUUAUAAAACUCAUAUUCAUUCUAAAUCUUAUCAUAUAUAUCUAUUUCUUUUAUAUAAUUAAAUUAAAUUAAAAAUUUUACUUAAAUAUAUAUAUAUAUAUAUAUAUAUAUAUAUAUAUAUAUAUAUAUUAUAUUAUAUUAUUACUUUCAACAUCCUUCUACCACCGAAACAAUUACCUCAAGUAAAAGUCAUCUAUCCUUAUUCUACUAACUACCCUCUCUCUUGCAAUAGCACACUUAGGGAUGGCAAUGGGGCGGGUUCAGGAUAGGUCACCCCCAUCCCAACUCCACCUUGUUUAUUCAAAAUAAUUAUCAUCCUCGUCCCAUUUAAAAAAUUAAAUGAGACGGGGCGAGUAUGAUAAAUUCUCAUACUCGCCUCGUCCUGCCCCGUUUAACUUUUUUUUGAAUUUAUUUAUUUAUUUAUUUUUAAAAUUACUUUUAAAAUUUUUAAUUACAUUAAAAUAAAUAUAUUUUAUAAAUAAUUAAAUAAUUAUAUUUUUUAUUACUUAUUUUAUUAAAAAUAUUUUAUUAUUAUCUAUAUAUUAAAAAUAGUAAAAUAAAAAUUAAAUUAAAUUAAUUUUAAAAAUUAAUUUUAUAUAUAAUUGGGGCGGGGUGGGACGGGGCAAUACCCAAACCUGCUUCGGGUUUUAAAAAAAAUUCUCAAACUUGUCCCAAACCCGUUUAUUAAAAUUGAACUCCGUCCCAUUAGGGACGAGGCGAGUACCUCGAAAAAACCUGCCUUAUUGUCAUUCCUAAGCACACUUUCAUUUUUUUUUUUUCAUUUUUAUUGCUUUUAUCUUUUUCCUCCCUAAGAUCAAUCAUAUUGUAAGCACCCCUUUUUUUUUUCUACCACAUCUUGUUGCAAUCAACCUUGUAAGUUUUUUUAAUUUAAAUUUUUUUUCCACUAUGGAGGCACGUACAACCAUAAAACCCCAUCUUUUUUUAUUUUAUUUUUACAACUCUCAAAUCUCUCAACCUCCAUACUAUUAGGUUUUAUUCAUUCAUUUAUUUAUUUAUUAUUCCAUAUCCAAAACUAUAAUUAAUUUUCUUUUAUAUUUUUUUAUUUUAGAUCUAUUAAUUUGAAUAUUCAAAAUUUCUAAUCUUUACUAAUAACUCUAAAGCAUUCAAAACUAAUUAAUAAAUAUAAAAUAUUAAUCUAAGGAUUAAAAUCUUAUAUAGAAAAUUGAUCUUCAAAUCUUAAACCCCCAAAUUUUCAACCUUACAUUGCGUUGUCUAAUAUCUCAAAUCUCCAUGUAAAAGGGCUUUUGAAUAGAGUAAAUAAGAAAAAUUUAAUUUAUACCUAAAAUUUUUAAAAUAGAGAAAAAUCUUUCUACCCUUAUUAAUUUAAUUUAAUUAAUUUUUUAAAAUUAUGUUUUUACCCUUUAAUUGGGUUUGGGCAUCACACAUCAUACUAAAAAGUUAUCAAUAACCGUCCUUUGAGGCAUAUUAGCAUAAAUUUGCAACUUUAGUUGUGUUCUAGGUGCAAUUCUAUUAUGUUUAAUUGAAAAAUAACACACAUAGCACAACCAAGCCUAAUUGAAAGCAUUUGGGCAAAUAAAUGGUAAAUUUCUAAAAGUUCACCAAAACAAAAAAAAAGAUCAUAGAGGGCAUAUUUUUCAAGUCAACCUAGUUUUGGGAUAGCCACUUUCAAGCCUAAUGAUGUUAAGAUGUCUUAUUGCAAUCCAAUCUAAGAAUGCAAUAAUAGCUCUUUAAUUCAUAAUUUUAAAUUCACAAAAGAUAUCACCAAAAAUUACCAUAGGUUACCAAAGCAUCAACAACAUACAGAAAGCUUAGAAAUGCUUGGAACCUAUCGGAUUUUCACUUUUUAGGAAUAAAAAAAAAAAUCAACUUUAAGGAUUUUAGGGUAAUACUUGCUUGAACCAUCUUUCAAUCCUUUUGUUGGUGGUGGGCCUUUUACCUAUAGGAACAGGAAUAAGAGGUGAAAAUGAGGGAGCCUUAUGAAAACAGAUCCCUAGGGCUUAAGAAGGGGUUUUCAAUUUUAGGGUUUGCCUUUUCACCAAGGAUGUGAAUGGGAAGAUCAAGUGAAGUUAAGAGAUUGGUGAAGCAAAGUGAGGGCAUGGUAGGGUUUGAAUAAGGGAAAUUCUACACUAUUAAUGAAGAUGAUAAUCUCGAGAAAGCAAAGCUAAGGUAAACUAGGGUUUUAAUAACAUUUUUCAAUCUACACUAGUGAAGACGAUAUCUUCGAAAACCAAAGCUAGGGUAAGCUAGGGCUUUAAUAAUGAAUUUCAAUCUACAAUGGUGAAGAUGAGAAUCUUCGAAAACCAAAUCUAUAAUGGUGAAGAUGAUUGAAAACUAAAUCUAUACUGGUGAAGACGAUUGUAAAGCAAAUCUACACUAGUGAAGAUGAUAAUCUUCGAAAACCAAAUCUAUAAUGGUGAAGAUGAUUGAAAACUAAAUCUAUACUGAUGAAGAUGAUUAGAAAGCAAAUAUUCACUGGUGAAGACAACGAAACCAAAGGUAGGUCUUCUAAACUAAACCCUUUUAGGGAUUUUCCAUUUUUUUUCCUUUGUUUUCAAGAAAGGUAAACUCUCUUGAAAACCAAAAAACUAAUGCAUUCUUAAAUCCAGAUCACCAUUUUCAACAUAGUAUUUGGAUUUCCACCUUGCAUUUUUUAUUUUUUAUUUUUUUUAAUAGUCAAGGGCAUUUUAGGGAUUAUUGAAGGAUAAUAUCAAUAAGCUCAAUUUCCUACAUUAGUUAGGUCUUAGGCUCAAAUGUGAAACUUAUAGGGAUGUUAGGCCAAUUAUCAAACUUACUUGCCUAAAGCAUAAUUUCCCCUUUUCAAAAUAGUUGUUAAACAUCAAUCCCAAACAUGUGUAACCCUUUGAAGUACUUGUAUGUCAACCUUGUUUCCUUUCCCUCAUGCAACAUGACUUAUUGAUGGUUGCAUUGAAUCAUUAUCAUUCACCAAAUCCAUGCAACUAUGGACUACCUUUCAAAUCCCUUGAACAUAAAUGGUAAUUCCAAAACAACUCAAGUAUAAUCUUUCCGGCCUUUCAAAUGAUUUAAUUAAUUGAUGUUUGAAUAUACUUCAUAUAUUUUUUUAGAGCAAUUUUUAGGCAUAUGACAUAAAUCUCUAAUUUUUUUUAUUUUUAUAAAAGGUUUUAUAUUUUAUAUUACAAUUUCCUCUCUUUUUUUUCAUCUAAAAAACAAAAUAUAAAACCUUAAUAAACGAGUUUUGUCACAAUCCCUUAAAAGGUAAUCUAUUUUUAAAAAUUACUUUAACCAUUUUAGAUAUAUUGAUUCAGUCUAAUUUAAUUUUAAUAUUUUUUAUAAAAUAUUUUUAUUUUAUAUGAUUAUAAAUUAAUUACCAUUGAUUGCAUAUUAUAGAAUAUAUAUUCUAAAAUAUAUCCUAUUGACAAUAAUAUCAUAAGAUAUUAUAUCCAUAUCCUAAUAUAUUAUAUACUUUUAUUUUGUGCAAUUAGCAACAGGGUGGAAGACGGCUUAGGCGGGAGACGGCUUAACGGAAAUGUCGUCUGCCAUGCGUGUCCCUUCCCUUAGUGAGUCUGAACAGCUCCAACAUUUCUGACACGCCCUUCUUCGGUUAGCUCUUAAGUAUUUUCGUUAACCCCAUCACAUUUCGCCAUGUGGAUCUAAGCCUCAUGGUCCUUUCGUUCGUACUAUGAAUAUAUUCCUUAUCUAGAGUCUGGAUCCUUUAUCUCUGCACGUGUCUAUGGCUCUUCACCCCAGCAAGUAUGGCAUUACAAGGGCAAUAUCGUCAUUAAAGACCCAAAAGGCAAACGAAUGGCAUUAUCUUCCUUUUGGGUCUAUUCUAUUUAUAUUUAUAUUGCAAGUUAUUCGUGAUGACUUCUCUCAUAACAGCUAAAAACCACUCCAACAGAGCACACUUCACUUCUUCGUUUUUGUCUUUCCUCUUUUUUUUCCAGAGAAGCUGAGAAAGCCCAGCUUGCCCUCAACUCCCCGAUGGGUUUGAUGAAUGUUCUCAAAUUCUCAGCUGCAUGCUUUGAUCUUCUUGGCUGGUAUGUUGUCCACGGAUUUUCUCGUCAUUGGAAAAUGAAGUGGAAUUCUAUGUUUGAGGACAAAACUGGGAUUUGCUUUGAUUUCUCCAUGUUGGUUUUAUCCCUUUCCUUUGAAUUGUCCACAUUCUUGUCAUUGGUUGUUAGUUAUUUGUUUGGAUUUCUACUUGCAGGCCUCUGUUUGCACUGGGUUAUCCUCUGUAAGUCUUGGUCUUACACCCCAAGAUAUGAUCAUUCAUUUACUCUUUUCUUGUUCUAUGAAUUCUUAGUUCUGUUACAUUUAUUGGGUUGGAUUAUUAGUUAUUAUAUUAAUAAUCAUCAACGUCAUCUCGGUUCUUCACAGAUGUGCUUCAAUUCGGGUAAUUGAGACUAACUCAAUCUCAGACGUUCGGAAGUUGGUGGCGUAUUGGGUUCUAUUUUCCUUGGUUUCACUCUUUGAUCAUACUUUUGCCAAGCUCCUUGAAUGGUAAUUUUGCUCAACUGCAUUCCACUAUAUGUGGCUCUAUUUCUUUCAUUUCUCUGCCCUUAAGGAAUUUGGAGUUGCUUUUUUCAGUUUUCUUCCCUGUGAAAAUAAUCGAGAUGUUUAAUGUUCCAGGCCUGCAUGCUCAAGGAAGUGGUGUCAGCUUUGGAAAUAAGAUGGAUCUACUAGUUUUUAUUUCUCAUCUUUAUAGGGAACUUUCCAUAAUCACAGUGAUGAAUAAUUGUCUUGUUUGAAAGCAUGGUUGCACUUAUUUCCAUGGAAUUUGUCUGCUGAGAAACAAAUGGAAAUAGAAAAUUCAGAAUCUGACAAGUUUGUGUAGGGCAACUGGAUCUAAUCUCUUAGUCGAAGCUUAAUUGGGGCAAAUGCUGAUCAUCUUUGGACCAUUGAAGGCUCUAAUCUGUGCACAAUUCUAAUGUUUUUGUUUUCUUCAUUUCUUUUUCAACUGUUCAUAAUAGAUGUCAAAAGAUAAAACCGAACUUAUGUAGUCCAUCCAAGUGGAUGCAUAUAAAUUUAACAGAAACUGAAAUUCGAAGAAAUUUAUUUAUUUUUUUAAAUAUUUUAUUUUCUUAUAUAAUGCAUGUCAGGAUACCAUUCUGGCCUUACAUAAAGCUGAUGGUCAUCUGCUGGAUGGUGAUACCGCAUUUUGAUGGUUCAUAUUAUGUCUAUCAACACCUAGUUCAUCCAUGCUUGUCCAUUGAUCCACAAGUUGUCAUGAAUUGGCUUUUCAAUGAAUCAAAAAAGAAGUUUCAUAGCAGAGAAAACUUUCUUGUUUCAGCAGACCAAUAUAUUAAGGAGAAUGGACCUGAAGCUUUGAAGAAACUACUUGCUAGGAAGGUAUGCCAUUAUAAGUAGGAUUAUCAACAAGUCAAACAGAGUUUUAUUUGAGAUGUUCAAGUAAAAAAUGACUAUAGCAGGUCAUCUAGAAUUAUGUGGUCUAAAUUCAUGUAUAUAUCUAUAUAUAAUUGUGUUCUCUUUUUUUCACAUAUGCAUGUGCAUUUAGAUUUACAUAAUUAUAUAUGCAUAAUCAGAUUCAACUGUGAUAGCCCGGGAUUUAAUUCAGUAAUCAACUCUUCUGGGAACAUGUUGGUUAUGGUUUCUCUCUCACUGUCCUCUUAUUUAUACAUGACUUUGGCUUCAGUUGAGGAGCACAAAGCCUAAUGUUGAAGUGAAAGAGAUCAAAGCACCUGCAGCACCGGAGAAAAAAGGGGAAGCGGUAUGCACUCUAAUGUGGCUAUUUUAUUUCUAUGGAGGCAGAUCCCCAGAAAAAUGUUGCUCAUGUAAAUUAGUGAUGCAUUUAAAAGAAAAACCACUUUAUGUAUGUUUCUGUGAAAAAGAGAACAAGUUUAUGGAUUAAGUGAUAUUUUUUAUGGUGAAAUAAUCAAUAAUUUUCAAAAUAAUAAUAUAUUCGUGCAUGUUUUUGCAAUUCAUGAAUUCCUUUUACGAUUGAUUCUUCUCACCUCAGUGGAAGUGUGAAGAGCCUAAUGUUGCAGAAAAGGAGAUCCAAGUAGUCAAAGUAACAGACAUAAAAAAUGGGGGGAUGGAGCAAAGAGGGUAAGUUUUCCUUUUUAUUUAUAAGGAAGGCUGUCUUCACACAAGGAUUAUUGUUAUUAUUUUUAAGACAUGAAUGUUGAAUGCAUUUGGAAUUGUCGUUGAAUCAUGUGAAGUGUGAAGGUGCAAAUGGUGCUAAGAAGGAGAUCAAAGUGAUGGAAGUAACACAGAUAACAUUUGGUGAUACAGAACAGUGGGUAAGGUUUCUUGUCAUACUUAAACGGCACCUCAUAUUUCACUAGGAUUAAUUUUGGCCUACAAACAUAUUUGGCUACAAGUUGAAGACAGAUUUCCAGAUACUGGUAGAAGUUGAGACAUAAGUAAUGAAUGAGUUUAGAAACAUGCACAACUCUUGUGUGAAACACAAUGAGAGUGGAAAAUAGCUAAGUUGAAAAAUGGCCAAAUACUAUUUUGUAGUUCCCCCCACCACUUAAGUAAUUUUUGUCAUCCUUUGUGAAUGGACAAUGCAGUCCCUUCAGUAAUUCCGCUAUAUUCAUGACUUGGUGAAGCAUAUAACCAUUAGUGUCUUGUCCUAAGUUGACCUUUAAUGAUGAUCCAUUGAGAGGGAUCUGACUUUUGUCAACCCUCUUAGAGGUUAAACAUACGGGGCUUAACCCACUUUUCAAUCUCAUUGGAUAUAUGGCACGUGGUAUCCUCUUCAUCUUGAAAGAGUGAAGUGGUCAUACUCUUUCCUCCGAGUCCAUCGUGGCCAUGCACUUCUGGCUCAUUGGGCUGAGUGAAAGGAUUCCCUUCUGCUUCAAAUCAUAGAGAGAUAUGCCAUGGUCAGCCUCUUUAAUUUGAAGGAUUGAAGUACUCAAAUCCAUUUCUUUGCAUCCAUCUUAGUCCUGCUUCCAUGUCUCAUGGUUAACCAGGAAGAUCAAGCUUCCAUCCAUGAGAUCAGCAUCUGCAGGGUUAUGACUCCACCCUUCCUUGGCAUAGGAAAGCGAUCAUUAAGCCACAUGUCGGAUGACAGAAGUCGUCAUUCAGGUUAUCUUGAGAACUAGGGAAGUUGGAAUUCUAAUUAUUGCAUAUGGUUCUUGAUGUUUAGCCAAUAUACUAUAGGAUUUUAAGCAUCAUGCCCAUGUGCAUUGUGGUUUUUUAUCAGCUAUAUGGUUUACCAAACUGAGGGAUUGAUUAUAGUCAUAAGUACCCUUUUCCCAUUAAUUUCUUGCAUGUGCUUUGCUGAGAUUAUGUUUUUGACAGUGCUAAUCAGGGCAAACCAACAAACAGCUUUAUGUUAACUUUUACAAACUGCCACAUUUUCAGGUUGAACGAUCAGACAUAAAUCUUGGUGAAACUAGAAGUAAUACAACCUGUGCUGUGGAGAUAAAAGAAAGGGCAGCAGCACUGGUGGCUGCAGAAAUUGAGGCAUGUAGAGACAAUAGAACCCCCGAGAUACCUCUGCAUAAGAAAGUCCAGAAAGAGUGGGCUUGUGCUGUAUGCCAGUUCACAACCCAAAGUGAAGUGACCUUCAAUUCCCACCUUCAAGGGAAGAGACAUCAGGCCACUUCUGAGCAGUUGAGAGCCAAAAACCAGGCAACCAAAACCAAUUGUUCCCCAUCUGCUUCAAAGGCCAAGAAAUCUGAUCAGUCCACCAAAGAGGAGCAACCAAAGUGUCCUUCCAACAAUCUGAAUUCCAAAAACAAUGGAAUCUCAGCUGCUUCAACAGUGAAGAAACCUGACGAGACCAAAGAUGAUGAGCAACAAAAGUGUGCAUCCAGCAAUGGACCAAACCAGAAGAAUAACAAAAAGCAAGAGGAGAAGGUGCUAGUUCUUGAGACCAAUGAGCAAGGCCAUCAGAAUAAUUUUGAUCCACGAUCCCACAUUUAUUUUGGGUCUCACAAGUUUCAAAUUUGCAGAAAAAUGAAAGAUGUUUGAGAGAAAAUUAAAUCAUAUUGCACUACUGUUAGGAAAAAUAUGGCUGAAUCCAAUUGCUUUUCUUCUCCAAGUCUAUUAAAAAUAUAAUUUUUUCUCCAUUCCUGACAAAAUUUAAAUUUUUUCCUUAAAAAAAAAAAAAUUAAGUUUGAUCACCUAACACAUCUUUCUAAACUCAAUCUCAACUUGAAAAAUCAAACCUUAAUGGAUGGACUAUAGAAAUAGUGAGAAAACACUUCUGGGGUUUUUUUUUUCUUCCAACAUCAAAUUUUUCUAUAUAUGGGAUUUCACAUGCAAAAGCAGGAGUAGAUUUGCUUGUGUUUGAUGUAUGUAUUAGAAAAAUUUGUCCCUUCUGGGAUGUUUAAUACUUUUCUAUUCUUUUAUAUGCAUGUUUAGCUAGAAGAUAUAGAAUCGAUACCAUUCCUUAAAAGUGAUAGCCACAACUGUGAUAAUUAAACACCAAAGAAUGUGAAGAUCUAUAUAUUCUUUUUUUUUUCCUCUCUCUUUCAAUAAUGAAGCUAAGAUGUGUUGUAAGCAUCAAAUGCAUUGUCUCUGCUUGAAUAUAUACAAAGCCAAGGACCACAAGAUGGAUAGAUAUGGGGACGCACAAAACUUCUCAAACAUGAUUAUAUUAAUCAAGAAUUCAACUAAGCUUAAAUUCAAGAUGUUGAUUUCUAGCAUCUCUGGUGCUAUAGGAUGACUAUUGAUCCUGUACUGUUAUGUGCCCUACUGAUAUAUUCUUCGGGUUGUUAUGUAUAAAUAAAAUUUUUGGGAAAGUUUGCUUGGUGGUUACACUAUCACUAUUUAGGCCAGUAAAAAUUGGAAGCCUUUGUAAAAAACUGAUGGUCCAAGAGCUAUUCUACUUCAUCAUCCAUGUAAUAUGACGAUACAAAUUUGACUAAAUGCAGCUAUAGAAGGCUUAGGACCAUAAACCAAGCCUAGUCGAUGUCACUCACCUAAAUUUAUGCAUAAAGCUUUUGGAUGGCUCAGAGUUAUAUUUAAUUACUGUUAUGUUCGCAACUAUAUUUUCAUUGGAUUUAUAGUCCAGCUUGAGAACUAGUCCUCCAUUGCACAUAAUGUCCACACAAGGCCACAGUGCCCGCUCAAAGGCCAUAGCGCUACUCAAGGAUAUAGUGCUUACUCAAGGCCAUAGAGCCCACCUAAGGCUAACGACCCAAAAGGAGAAAAAGGUUGGUUCCACGUACUCUAAUAUUUACUAGAAAAGGUUCUUCCUAUUAAAGAACAAAAAAUUGCAUUCCCUUGUGACCAAUCCAAACAGUAGACCACUGACUUGUAUAAGGCAUUAUUCACCAUGCAAGCACUUUUUCAGCAACCUACCAUCUGGCAUGAACCAUUUUGGAUUGAUUCACAAAGCAAUGGUGUUAUAUUAAGCAUAUUCAAUAUAGAACCAAAUUGUGCCUCCUUAGAUUAACUAAAAUAUUUCCAUUGCAAGAUGUGCAGAUAGGCAUAUGAUCAUGAAGUAAUUUCCUGAUGAUAAUACCCCACAAAAUAUUUCUUUUUCUCACUGAUCUCUCCUAGAUUUUCAGUUCACCCAUCCAUGGCGCCUGACUAAAAAUGGGGGCAUUUUGGAUACCCCGAGCAGUAAGUUAGCCUGGUAGGCAUCCCGUUGCAAGCAAAGUCAACCCGAGCGGUCCAUUUGACCAAAGCUUAUCCAGGCAGUAAGCGUCCAUAUACAGCUAACUGUUAUGCACCAUCAACAGGUUGAGGUUACAAGAUUAAAGAGUCAUAAUGGCCAAAUGGAAGUUACACGACUCGGCCUAUAUAAUAACAGUAUGACAAAAAAUGCAGGUAUGAAGAACUAUCACUGAAAAAAUUUAUUCCUAAAAAUCCUUUAAGCUCCUUUAAGCUAACUUGGGCAUUGGAGAGGUCUCUCCGAAGCACACUCGAGCUUACCUUUUUGUAAGACAUCGAGAACAAGAGGCAUUGAAGUGAUUGUCCGGAGGGUUGAACUUGGUCGGGAACCAACAAUACACACUAUUCAAAAAUAGGGAUCAUAUUAAAUUAUUAAUGCAACCAUAGGAAGCAAUUGAGGACAAGGGUGUUAUUUGAUUAAAAGGGUAAUUGAAAACCUAAAUUUUGAAAUUUAACCCUCCAUUCUAUUUGGCCUUAUGUGAACAAAAAUGCCUUCAUUAUUUUCUUGUAAAAAUAACUCACCCAUUUAAACCUUACAUGAAAAUACUUAAAAUGGUAAAUGAUAUGUUAAAAAUUGAUUAUUUUUCAAAUAAAACAUAAGAAGGGUCAAAUUCAUGAAAGGAUUAUUUCAUCCCUUUUAAUCAAUUAAUUCGAUUUAUUUCUUUUUAUUUUUUUUCUCUCCAUGUUAAUUUUCACAUCACCCAACAACACCACUCUUAAUUCACACAAGUUUGAAGUUUUUGAAUGAGAUAUAUUCGUAAUUAUAUUGUAAUUGUGUUAUAAUAACCAUUUCGUACUUGGAUUUGUUCUUUCAGUCCAUUUAACCUUUUUGUUUAUUCAUGUCAAAACAAUGUACUUAUAAUCGAAUCCAUUUAUGACAUGUUGAUCUUAUAUAAAUUUAUUAAUUUUAUAUAUUUAAAAAUUAUAAAAAUUAAAUAUACUUUUUCAAUUAUGAAUAUCAUAUUACUAAAAUAUUAAAUAACAAAUUAACUUGAAAUGCUAUAUAUUUCAUUAAUUAUUUUAUAAUUAAAACAUUAAAUGAAAUAAUAAACAAGUAUAAAAUAGAAAAUUCUAUCUUAGUUAGAAAUUAUAAACUGUUAUUGAGACAUAUAAGUAUUAAAAUUCUACCCAUUUCACUACCAAACAACUUAUGUUUUUAGUCAUAAUUUAACCUUAUGAUGAACACUUAAAUAAAAUUUGUCAUCUUUUUCUAUUGAUUUAUAUUUAUUUAUUUAAAAAUUUUGUCUGGCAUAAACUAUCAUCUCACAAAAUCAUCAUUGAUGAGUAGGCUAUGCCCCAGUGUAAGCAUCUCCAAAUCAAACAUCAAUGAGAGGAGUACAACCAAUCAUACAUCAUCUUAUCAAAAUGAAUCUCCGCUUUUCAAAGUCAUCGUGGUAACGUGAAGAGAGUAUUUGACCUCCUCUAAAGAAAAAACAUGUCUUGAUGUGAAAAAGAUCAAGCAAAGUGGUAUGCCUCAACAAAAAUGUGCUCAAACAUGAUCAUGCCCCGAUGUAAGUUAGUAUCUCUAAGAUCAAUCGCCAAUGAAAAGGUUAUUCCCCAGUAUAGGGCAAACUCUGAAAUGACUAAACUCCGUUGCAAGCUCUCAUAAGUGUCUGUGUCAUGAUCCAAUCAUCGCAAAAAUUUGUCAACAAUGAUGAGAAGGCUAUGCUCCUAUAAUCACAUCAAAGAAAUCACUCGGUCAUAUUACUCCAAUGUGAAAGAAAUCUAAUCACCUCCAAGGAACAGCUAUGCCUCAAAACCAUCAUCGACUGAGAGGGGGAUGCCCCUGAUCCAAUCACCACCCUAACUAACGUACCCAUCAUGAGGAACACUUGUUUGAGCUCCAUAAUGGGGAUCAACCAUUAGAUGAACAAGAUUCGAAUAUUACUUGCUCCCCAUUUCAACCAAUGAAUGAUGUACCUGGAAACCUUGUAGACAACCAUAGUUUUCAGCCUUCUUCCUCGCGAUCAUCUAGAACAGAGUCGGUAAGCUUCACUCAUUUCUUAUAAUGGACCUUGACCCACAACGUCGAACUACCUGUAUGCAAAAUUAUCCGUCCAGAAAACCCAUCCAUACAAUUCAGGUUCAAAACCCACAAGAACCACCCUAUGAAUAAACUAAUUAUAGCUGGCUUCGUUGCAAUAGGCAUUAACUUUCUUAUGCUGACAGUCCUAGCAUCAUUUACCAAAGGAUCAACAACUUUUCCAUGUCAGAGAACAUUAUCAAUCACAAUGACACCCCUGGUCCUCACUAGUUGCGAUAGCAAUUUAAAGUAUUCUUGAUUCAAAGGGUAAACAAAACAAAAAAGAAAACCCUAAGUGUGACUCCUUAUUUGAAAAAUGUGGUUUAUGAAAAACCGGAUCGAGCUUAGGGGUCAGGUUACUUAUCGGGAAGGUACAAAAAAAACCGUAGCACCCCUCUAAGUCCCUAAAAUGGGUCUCUAUUGAUAAAAUGAAGCAAUCAUGGCAAUUGGUAAGGAAAUCAUUGAGUAUCAACAUGAUCACACAUUGAGAGUUAAAGCAUGCAUGAGGAAUGGUCAAAGUGAGAAAGGAUGCGUACCUUAGCAACGAGUCCCAAUGCGCUAUCAAGAAAUUGGGUUAGUGCACAAUCAAUAAAUAUAAAAUAUAACACACAUGCAUCACUAAAUAGGGUAAUAAAUCCCCGAUGACAAACCUUGCACUUCACUCAGGUUUAUUUCUACUUCUCUGAUGUUGGGCCCCACCAAAGCUCAUUUUAUUUUGCAUGAAUCAACUCCAAUAACUCCAUUAUUCGGAAUUACGAAAUUUAAUUCUUGCUUAUUUUAAAGCAUUUUAAAAAUAGAGGAGAUAUGAGAAUUGCUCGCCAGAAAAGAAGAUGGCGGCAAAAUUUUAAUGAAAAACGAGUUUUUGGAACCUAAGAAAAAUGUUAAGGAUGGAAAAUUUUGGAGGUUUGAAAUUAAUUAAAAAUUAGAAUUGAGGAAUUUAUUUACAAAAUGGGGUUUAGGAAAAUUAUUUUCAAAAAAAAAAAAUGAUGAAAUGAGAGAUGGCACGUGACACAAGGGUGGCCAUGCUGAAGGCGUUCUCUUCUGGCCCAAGCUGGAAAUGCACUCCAAUUAUCCUUCUUUUCUGGUAUAACACCUUCAUCAAAAUAAAUAGCUUUUGCACCAUACUCUGAUAGACAAGGACCAAUAACAAUGCCUAUAUUUGCCUUAAGUAGACAAAGUAAGUCACCCAUUGAACCUCCAAUAUAAAUUGUCAAGUGCUCUGUGUCAUUACUGCAUCCCUCCUUCAAGAUGUCCUUAGAAACCUAAAGCUUUUCCACGACAUACUCCAUCUUCUUAAUGAUUUCACCCGUGGAAAUGGAUUCUUCACAAGCCAACUCAUUUGAAUAUACUCUCAAAACACCCAUAUCACCUGAUGAAAAUGCUGAUCUAACGAAAUCGCCACACCAACAGUAUGAAAGUCCAUGAACAUCUGCUUUCAGAUUAUUAUUUUUAAGAAUCUUUUGGAAGAAACCUGUGCAACCAUCUUGAAGAAUUAGACCUUGACCAACCUGUUUUAUAUCAUCUGAAUUUAAACCCUUCAAUACUCCAGACUGAGUCACUCUUGAAUCUGCCUUUUCCUCAAAAUCAGAAAGUUGCUCAAGUGCUUUACAUAAGCCUUCAUAAUUGAAUUUUUCCACUGUUUCACUGGGGACGAUGCUUCCCAUGCAUUUUUCAAGCUCUUCAGUAUGCUGGGUAGAUAGAACACCCCAUGUGUGUGUCCAGAUCACCAUGAGUGACCAUUUGAACCUUGACGAAUGAGAGAGUACAUAACAUUUAAGCACACAGGACAUAUAUUAACAUUCUCCAUUAGCUUCUCUUUGCCUUUGUCCACCUCUUGACCUCCCAUGCAGCCAACUGUGAAGACCACGUCCAGGUGCAGUCACGUGGUGACACAUCUCAUGGUCUUCCUCAUCCAAUAAAUCACAUGCUCUGUUAAAUCUGCUACCCGAAUGGAUACCUCCUAUCCAUCAACCUGAAUAUACUCCGAGCUUUCUUCAUAAAACCCAAGAAACUCCAGAAGGCAUCAUGGUUCUCCUCCAUCAUUGAAAUGAUUAGGGAUAGUAAAUCACUCAUCCCUUAGCAAUAUCCCAUUUUUAAACCAUAGGGUGCGUAGGCUUCUAGAAUAGUAGCAAAGUGAGCAACACGGAAAAUCUUGCGUGGAUCCAAGUUCCAUGAUGGUGAUCGUAGCCUCACCUUUGAAAUCACAAGACCCAGAACCCAUUCGUUCUUCCUGGUAAUAACUAUCAGAUGCAUAGGAGGCAGGGUUCUUCAGAUUGUUGAUUUGGUAAAAGCCUCUUCUGGUUGAACCCCUGAAUGAUUCACUUUUCUCAGUCCGCAAACCUAGUUCAGAACAGCCCGCAAGAUCAGAACCUUAACCUAGGCGUGGAGAUCCAGUGUUGUAUAACGCCUCAAUUGUCGGAAGCAGCCAUGGCCCAAACAAUGAUAUAAUGGUCAGCAAGUUGUCCCCAAGGACCAUGACAGUGAUGAGCAUUUCCGGGCAGCGCGUCACCACGUUCCACGUCGCGACGGUAAUGGCUAUGGACUGAGUGUCAUGGUCAGGGAGCUUGAUGAAGCAGGUGAAAAUCUGGUGUUUUAGAUUCUGAGGCAAUGACUGCUUGAUCGGUCGGAUUCUAGUACCGGCGUUACAUUGGGGAGGCAAUCUUAAAGUUCCAACGGAGGUAGUAGUGGACUAAUAUUCCUCAAUAACCAAACUUGAGUUUCUCACUUUCCGCUUCUCAAGGCAUUCACCUGAAACGCUUCAGGCGCCCAAACCCUUUCUGCUCAUCAGUAUAAUCACGCGCAUGAAAGUCUUAACUGCCUUCUAAACUUCACAACUUCAUCUUGCAUCUGGGUCAUCGUCGGCACGAACUUAUCACCUGAUUCAGUUAAUAUCCCCAUAUAACAAGUUCCAAUGAAGUCGCAACUUUGCAUCUUCUUUUCUGCGAUUACUUUGAUUCUCAAAGCCGAUUACUUGUUGCAGUCCAUAGGAGAUUCAAUAAUCAAACAUCAUGCACAAGCAAAAAGGCAACAAAAUACAUCGGCAUGUGGCCCAUACACCCUCCAAAAUCUUCACUCAUUUAGUAAGUUUUAGAUUCAAAAGAGUUAGCCUUCUGGUGAGCAACCCGAUACCCAUAACGAAUGAUGUAUCUGAAACACCUUUCCCACGUGGCCCUUGAAGGAUUCACUAGAAGGUGACCAUGCAUAGUAGGUCUUCACUCGCAGGAGAAUGAGAAGGAAAUAAACCUAAAGGGGGGUUGACAGCGUAGUCUAGAAGGUGAUGAGCUGAGCGGGUGGGGGUAUUAGGGUGGUCAAGUUCAGUGGGUAUGAAGGGUGGAAAGAUGGCAUGAUAGAGGAAUAAGCAGCUGAUAGUGGGUGCGAUGAUAUAAGGUAGGUUGACUAUGGAGAGUAUGGCAUUAAAGGAUGAAGACUUAGAGAGAGAGAGGUGGGUUUAAGGGUAUGGUGAGAUGGAGGGUUGAGGGUGAUAGGCUUGGAUAGUUGCAUGAGGAGGAUGAAAGGUGGGUAUGGAAAAUGUGCAUGGGUAGGAAAUGGGUAUAACAAUGGGUGUGAAUAUUGAGAGGUAGUGAAAUGAAGGCAGCCUUGCUCGUAUGGAUCAGUGUCGGAUUGAGUUAAGAAUGGUGAGAGAAAGGGAUUCGAUGAAUAUUGAAUGAUGGAAAAUGGUGAUUGGUUAGAUAGGGAUUUGUGGUCGAAUGGAAAUAGGAGACAUGAACAUAGAGAUGAGUGUGAUGGAUGAUAGUGGGCAUGAAGGGUAUUGGAUUUGUUCAUGGGUAUAGUGGUUAAAAGAGUGGUGAGAAGAAAAAAAAAUGGCCAUGUAAAUAGCAAUUAUACAUGUGGGCCCGUGAUUGCAAACGGGACUGCAUUGUUGCAUCUCAUGCUGAACCCUCACCUCCUUCUAGGAUCAUUUUCUGCAUCAAAGCUAGAUAAACUUAGAUGGUAUUUCCUGCCAAUUUUGGAUGCCCCCCACUUUGGAAAUAUUUCCUUUUCACCCAUCAGAAUAUGCUUAUCAGGUGUACUUGACUCAGGUUCAUUCCCAUAUUGCCUCUCUGAUUUAUGAUCUUCAAAGGUUUUGCAUGAAGGAAGCCUUUCACUGCAUUCCCCUUCAUCCACCAGACCUUCAGAGCAUCGUUUCCAACAAAAGCAACCUUGACUCUUCUAGUCCCAUCAGAAAAAAGUCUGAAUAUCCUCAGUUUAUGUCAUCCCUUGAUGCCCAACUCAGAAAUGAUCCAAAAAACAGUCAUCUCCCAUAUUUGGCUUCCCAGAAACACCUCGACUCAGAUGGCCAGUCCAAAUGUGAUACCCAACAUUCUAAAAAUGCUAAAAACAGAGGAGAUGAUGAAGAAAAACAGAGCAUGUAUAAAAGAAAAAAAAAAGGACUGUUAAAUCUCACUCCAUUCCAUAAAUGCUAAUGGGGUGGAUAUGGUGGAAUCAAAAGGAAGCAAGAGCGUGAUCUUCAAAAUCAAAAGCAAUGAUGGAUCCAUAUUCAAAACGUUCCAGAAUAGAGAAAGACACAAAUAAGGAGCAGGGUUUUUUUUUGUUACUGGCAGGAAGAUAUUUUUUCUAGAGAGUAACUAGAGAGAAAAAUAGGAAGAAAAGGGAAGAGCAUAGAAGACAUCUACAUAGGAGAGUAUUCAUUGUUGUGAGGAGUAGUAGAGAGCUUAGGAGGAGUUACAAAGAGAGUGAGUUUGGUUAGAGGAGGAAGUUUUGUUGGUUUUUCAGAAAGGAUUCUAGCUUGAGUGAGAGCCAUUCUAGAGAGGGUUAGAGAGGAGAAAGGUGUGUUUUGAGCAGCAAAGACACGAAGCAAAAUAGAGCAGCCAGGAAAGAGAAGCAGAAAAUCAAAAUUACUAAAAAAUUAGUGAAAGCUGUGAAAUUUCAUAUUGUUACUAAUUAUUAUAAUUUUUUUUUGUAUUUUCAAUAUUUCAACCAAUAUUUUAUAUAAUUAAAUUUAAAUUAUAAGAAUUAUAUUAUUAAUACACAUAACUAUCUUAAUGUUUUAACAAUGUAUACUUAUUUAAAUUUAUUUCAAUUUUUUUAUUUUUUUAUAAAUAUCUAAUUAGACUUAUAAUUCAUUGAAAUUAUUCAUUUUUUUUUUACUUCAUAAACCAAUUAUAUUACUUUUUGUAUUUUCAAUAUUCAUUUGGAAAAAAUAAUUUCAAUUUAAAAUAAAAUAAAUUAAUUAACUCUCAAUUUAUAAAUUGUGUCAUUGAAUUAUUUUUUAUUUAUAAUAUUUAGUUUAUUUUAAAUUUAAUUUUUUUUCUUCACCUUUUGGUUUAUCACUUUAUAUUAAAAAAUAAAAUAAAAUUGAAUUUCUUUUAAUUUAUAUUUUCACAAAUUAUUCAAUAUUUUUUUAAUUUUUAUAAAAUAAAUCCUCAGAUUAUAUAAUUGGAUGUUGUAAAGAGUUAAAAUUUUUGUGUUGCAUUGAAUUAUUUUUUCUAACAAAAGUAUAUUUGGGUACCGUAGACAUUAUAUCCAUAUCUUAACGUAUUAUAUACUUUUAUUUUGUGCAAUUAGCAAUUGAGCGGAAGACGCGGAGCCGGCUAACGGAAAUACCGCGUGUCACGCGUGUCCCUUCCCGUACCAAGUCUCAACUGCUUCAAGAUUUCCGACGCGCCCUUCUUCGCUUAACUCUUAAGUCUUUUCUUCCACUCUUCCUUAAACCCAUCACAUUUCGCCGCGUGGACCUAAGUCUCAAUGUCCUUGUGUUCAUACGAUGUAUGUUCCCCCAAUUCCUCAUCUACACUGAAACUCCAUACUCGCCUACUCAAUCACUUCUCUACUCUAGAGUCUGGAUGCUUAUCUCUGCGCGUGUCGAUGGCUCUUCACCCCAGCGAGUAUGGCAUUACAAGGGCAAUAUCGUCAUUAAAGACACAACAGAGUGUCUAUUUUAUUUAAGCUGUACGUAAUCGUGAUUGACUUCUUAGUAUCCUUUUGCUCCUAGUCUUCUCCCGCGUCUCUUAUAAAAACUAAAGAAAACCACUCCAAGAGAGCACACUACAAGAAUCUUCUUCCUUUUUUUCUUUCCUCUUUCUCUUUACAGAUAAACUGAGAAAGCCCAGCUCAUCCCUCAAUUCCCAGAUGGGUUUCAUGAAUGUUCUCAAGUUCUCAGCUGCAUGCUUUGAUCUUCUUGGCUGGUAUGUUGUCCACGCGUUUUCUUGCCAUUGGAAAUUUUUGGGAAAUGAAGUGGAAUUCUCUGUUUGAGGACAAACAUGGGAUUUUCUUUGAUUUCUCCCUGUUGGUUUUAUCUAUAUUCUUUGAAUUACCCACAUUCUUGUCAUUGAUUGUUAGUCAUUUGUUUGGAUUUCUACUUGCAGGCCUCUAUGUGCACUGGGUUAUCCUCUGUAAGUCUUGGUCUUACACCUCAAGAUAUGAUGAUUCAUUUACUCUUUUCUUGUUCUACGAAUGGUUCAGUUACAUUUAUUGUGUUGGGAAACUGAAAAGGAAAAGGAUUAUUAGUUAUUAUCGUAAUAAUCAUCAACAUCAUCUCGGUUCUUCACAGAUGUGCUUCAAUUCGGGCAAUUGAGACUAACUCAAUCUCAGACUUUCGGAAGUUGGUGGCGUAUUGGGUUCUAUUUUCCUUGAUUUCACUCUUUGAUCAUGCUUUUUCCAAGCUCCUUGAAUGGUAAUUUUGCUCAACUGCAUUCCACUAUAUGUGACUCUGUUUGUUUCAUUUCUUUGCCCUUAAGGAAUUUGGAGUUGCUUUUUUCAGUUUUCUUUCCUAUGAAAAUAAUCGAGAGGUCUCCAUGUAUUUUAUAUUCCUUCAUUUCUCUGCUUUGACAAAGGCCCACAUUCUGAUCAGCAGAAAGGUUAUAACAUUUGAAAAAGAAGUGCUUUAUUUUUGUUUUUUGUUAGUACAAUAAUUUUCGUUUGGAUAAAUGGUCUGAAGGGUGUUUGUGUUUGGCUGAGUUCAUGGAAUUUUCUAGCUAAUUUGGGAUUUAUUCUCAAUUUCAAGAUCAUUGUGGAUAUGUCAGAAAUUAAUGAAAUAUAAACGGUGGAAUGUGAUUUUCUUGUUUAAGAAAAGUUUUUCUUUGAAAAUACGGGUGCACCUGACCUACCUUAUUGUGCUACUUGGAACACAAAACAUUAGUACAGGUAAUUUAUUAACUAAAUUGUACACUUUUUGAUAGUUCAAGGAGGUGGUUUUCUUCUUUUAGGGUGUCAGCUUUGGAAAUAGGAUGGAUCUAAAAGUUUUUAUGUCUCAUCUUUAUAGGGAACUUGAAAGCAUGGAUGCACUUAUUUCCAUGGAAUUUGGCUUCCUUGAAAUCAAAUUAAGCUUUAUGCAUCAUUUGGAUGCUGAGAAACAAAUGGAAAUAGAAAAUUCAGAAUCUGACAAGUUUUUGUAGGGCAACUGGAUCUAAUCUCUUAGUCGAAGCCUAAUUGGGGCAAAUGCUGAUCAUCUUUGGACCCCAUUGAAAGCUCUAAUCUGUGCACAAUUCUAAUGUUUUUGUUUUCUUCAUUUCUUUUUCAACUUUUCACAAUAGAUGUCAAAGGUUAAAACCAAAUUUACGCAGUCCAUCCAAGUGGAUGCAUAUAAAUUUAACAGAAACUGAAAUUCGAAGAAAUUUAUUUUCCCUUUUGUAAAUGGUGUUUAAAUAUUUUAUUUUCUUAUAUAAUGCAUGUCAGGGUACCAUUCUGGCCUUACAUAAAGCUGAUGGUCAUCUGCUGGCUGGUGAUACAGCAGUUUGAUGGUUCAUAUUAUGUCUAUCAACACCUAGUUCAGCCAUGCUUGUCCAUGGAUCCACAAGCUGUCAUGAACUGGCUCUUCAAUGAAUCAAAAAAGAAGUUUCAUAGCAGAGAAAACUUUCUUGUUUCAGCAGACCGAUAUAUUAAGGAGAAUGGACCUGAAGCUUUGGAGAAACUACUUUCUAGGAAGGUAUGCCAUUAUAAGUAGGAUUAUCAACAAGUCAAACAGAGUUUUAUUUGAGAUGUUCAGGUAAAAAAUGACUAUAGUAGGUCAUCUAGAAUCAUUUGGUCUAAAUUCAUGUAUAUAUCUAUAUAUAAUUGUGUUCUCUUUUUUUCACAUAUGCAUGUGCAUUUAGAUUUACAUAAUUAUAUAUGCAUAAUCAGAUUCAACUGUGAUAGCCCGGAAUUAUUUCAGUAAUCAACUCUUCUGGGAACAUGUUGGUUAUGGUUUCUCUCUCACUGUCCUCUUCUUUAUACAUGACUUUGGCUUCAGUUGAGGAGCGCAAAGCCUAAUGUUGAAGUGAAAAAGAUCAAAGCACCUGCAGCACCGGAGAAAAAAGGGGAACAGGUAAGUUCUCUAAUGUGACUAUUUAAUUUCUAUGAGGCAGAUCCCCAGAGAAAUGUUGCUCAUGUAAAUUACUGAUGCAUUUGAUUCAAUGGCAUGGUUUUAAAAGAAAAACCACUUUAUGUAUGUUUCUGUGAAUAAGAGAACAAGUUUAUGGAUUAAAUGAUAUUUUUUAUGGUGGAUUAAUCAAUAAUUUUCAAAAUAAUAAUAUAUUCGUGCAUGUUUUUGCAAUUCAUGAAUUCCUUUUAUGAUUGAUUCUUCUUGCCUUUUUUCUCACCUCAGUGGAAGUGUGAAGAGCCUAAUGUUGCUCAAAAGGAGAUCCAAGUUGUCAAAGUAACAGAGAUAAAAAAUGGGGGGGAUGGAGCAAAGAGGGUAAGUUUUGCUUUUUAUUUAUAAAGUAGGCUGUCUUCACACAAGGAUUAUUAUCUUUAAGACAUGAAUGUUGAAUGCUUUUGGAAUUGUCCAUGAAUCAUGUGUAGUGUGAAUGGCCUAAUGCUGCUAAGAAGGAGGUCAAAGUGACAGAAGUAACACACAGAACAUUCGGUGGUACAGCACAGUGGGUAAGGUUUCAUGUCAUAUUUAAAUGGCUCCUCAUAUUUCACUAGGAUUAAUUUUGCCCCUACAAACAUAUUUGGCUACAAGUUAAGACAGAGUUCCAGAUGCUGAUAAAGUUGAGACAUAAGUAAUGAAUGAGUUUAGAAACAUGCACAACUCUUGUGUGAAACACAAUGAGAGUGGAAAAUAGCUAAGUUGAAAAAUGGCCAAAUACUAUUUUGUAGUUCCCCCUACCACUUAAGUAAUUUUUGUCAUCCUUUGUGAAUGGAAAAUCCAGUCCCUUCAGUAAUUCCGUUAUAUUCAUGACUUGGUGAAGCAUAUAACCAUUAGUGUCUUGCCUUAAGUCGACCUUUAAUGAUGAUCCAUUGAGAUGGGUCUGACUUUUGUCAACCCUCUUAUUCCCUUGAUCAUAGAGGUUAAACUUAGGGGGCUUAACCCACUUUUGAACCUUAUUGGAUAUAUGGCACAUGGUAUCCUCUUCAUCUUGAAAGAGUGAAGUGGUCAUACUCUUUCCUCUGAGUCCAUUGUGGCCAUGCACUUCUGGCCCAUUGGGCUGAGUGAAAGGAUUCCCUUCUGCUUCAAAUCAUAGAGAGAUAUGCCAUGGUCAGCCUCUUUAAUUCAAGGGAUCGAAGUACUCAAAUCCAUUUCUCUGCAUCCAUCUUAAUUCUGCAUUCAUGUCUCAUGGUUAACCAAGAAGAUCCAGCUUCCAUCCAUGAGAUCAGCAUCUGCAGGUUUAUGACACCACCCUUCCUUGGCAUAGGAAAGGGAUCAUUAAGCCAUGUGUUGGAUGACAGAAGUCAUCAUUCAGGUUAUCUUGAGAACUAAGGAAGUUGGAAUUCUAAUUAUUGCAUAUGGUUCUUGAUGUUUAGCCAAUAUACCGUAGGAUUUUAAGGAUCAUGCUCAUGUGCAUUGUGGUUGUUUAUCAGCUAUAUGGUUUACCAAAAUGAGGGACUGAUUAUGGUCAUAAGUACCUUUUUCCUAUUAAUUUCUUGCAUGUGCUCUGCUGAGAUUAUGUUUUUGACAGUCCAAAUCAGGGCAAACCAACAAACAGCUUUAUGUUAACUUUUACAAACUGCCACAUUUUCAGGUUAAACGAACAGAGAUAAAUCUUGGUGAAACUAGAAGUAAUACAACUUGUGCUGUGGAGAUAAAAGAAAGGGCAGCGGCACUGGUGGCUGCAGAAAUUGAGGCAUGUAGAGACGAUAGAACCCCCAAGAUACCUCUUCAUGAGAAAGUCCAGAAAGAGUGGGCUUGUGCUGUAUGCCAGGUCACAACCCAAAGUGAAGCGACCUUCAAUUCCCACCUUCAAGGGAAGAGACAUCAGGCCACUUCUGAGCAGCUGAGAGCCAAAAACCAGGCAACCAAAACCAAUUGUUCCCCAUCUGCUUCAAUGGCCAAGAAAUCUGAUCAGUCCACCAAAGAGGAGCAACCGAAGUGUACUUCCAACAAUCUGAAUUCCAAAAACAAUGGAAUCUCAGCUGCUUCAACAGUGAAGAAACCUGAUGACACCAAAGAUGAUGAGCGACAAAAGUCUGCAUCUAGCAAUGAACCGAACCAGAAGAAUAACAAAAAGCAAGAGGUACAGACCAAUGAGCAAGGCCAUCAGAAGAACUUAAAGCAAACUGGCGAUGGAAUGAAAGAGUUGAGAUUAUGCUGCAAUAUCUGUAAUGUAAGCUGCACAAGUGAGCUUGACAUGGCCUCUCAUCUCAAUGGAUGGAGGCACUUUAAUAUGAUAAAGGAGGCGUCUGAAUUAUGGUGCAGUAACUGCAAUGUAAGGUGCAACAGUGAGGCUGUCAUGGCCUCUCACCGAAAUGGGAGGAGGCACUUGAAGCAGCUGAAGGAACGGUCGGGAUUAUAGUGCAGUAUCUGUAGCGUGAGAUUGUGUUAGGAAGAGGUGGAAUGGGUUCCAAUCAGGAAUUAAGACUCGGUUCCAAGACAUGGAAAGUGUCUUUAGAUUAUGUUAUCUCCAUUUUUUUUAUUGUGAGAGGGGAGUAUAAGGAAUGAAAAUAAAUAUAUAUAUAUUUUUUAAUAGAGAUGAAUUUGAUAAUUUUAAUUAUUGUGUUUUGAUGUAUUUAGGAAUGUAAAAUUAAAAUAAUUAUUUAUUUUCAUUUUAGUAUUUGACAAUAAUAAAAUUAUGAAUUAAAAAAUAAUGUGAUAAUAAUACAUUUAUAUUUAAUUUAAAAUAUUUUUUAUUUUAUUUUAGAAGAAUAUGGGUUAAAUUCUUUUUUUAAAUAAUAAGCUUAAGAAAAAUAAUUUUUACUCAAUAAAUAAAAUUAAUCAUAAAAAGUCAUAACAACCUAAUAAAAAUAUAGGGGUAAAAUAAUAAUUUUAAAAUAUUAUUUAAGUUAUCCAAACAAAUUUGACUCUUCAUUCUCUCUCUUGAACCAAAUACGGUCUUUUAAGCGUUUGUCAACUUAUUUUUUUUUGCAAAAUAUCAAUAUUUUACUAAUAUUUUUAUCGAUUAUUUGCCAAUAUUUAUCGCCACGUCACCAAUUCUUUGAGUUUGACUUUCAAAAUUUUGAAAUGAUAUUUGAAGUCCAGUUCAGCCCAAAUCACUACACCCAUGAUUUUUCCCUUUUCUUUUUCUCCUUAAUUUUCACAUCACCCAACAACACUACUCUUAAUUCACACAAAUUUGAAGGUUUGGAACGAGACUUCUUCCUAAUUAUAUUGUAAUUAUGUUAUAAUAACCAUGUCGUAUUUGGAUUUAUUUAUUCAGUCCAUCUAAAUCUUUUGUUUAUUCAUGUAAAAAGAAUAUAGUUAUAAUCGAAUCCAUUUGUGACAUAUUCAUCUUUUAUAAAUUUAUUAAUUUUAUAUAUUUAAAAACUAUAAAAAUUAAAUAUAUUUUUUCAAUUAUGAAUAUCAUAUUACUAAAAUAUUAAAUAACUAAUUAACUUGAAAUGUUUUAUAUUUCAUUCAUUAUUUUAUAAUUACAACAUUAAGUGAAAUAAUAAAUAGGUUAAAAUAUAUAUUUUAUUUUAGUUAAAAAUUAUAAAUUGUUAUUGAGACGUAUAACUAUUAAAAUUCUACCCAUUUGACCAUCAAACAAACAACUUAAGUUUUUAGUCAUAAUUUAAGCUUCUGAUAAACUCUAUUUCCAUAAAUUAGAAACCGAAAUCAAUUUCUUCUUAGACUCAAAAACAUAAAGACAAUCUUUUAAUUCUAGAAGACAUCUAUCAUUUAAGAUAAGGGUAACAUAUCCCAUUGCCUAAACAACAACUCUUGCUUCAAAAGCCAAUGUCAAGUACAUAUCCCUAUCAUUCAACCUUUCCCUUAGCUAAAACCCCUAUAAAGAAUUAUAAACAUAAUCAAUGGCUCCAAAAUUUAUCCACCAAGAGUUAGUGGAAUCCAACACUAAACAUAAUUCAACUAUAAGAGAAUGAUGCAUAGUUGACUAUCUCUUCAAGAACUAAGGACAUUCCUUCUUCUUCUAAUGGCAUUUUUUACCACAAAGGAAACACUUGUCAUGACCCUUACUCUUCUUCUUCUUCCCCUUAGCCUUAAACUUCCCCUUCUGCUUGAUGAACUCUAUAGUGUUCUUCUUAUUUUGGCUAGAAAAACCUAAAGAACCCUUAACUGCCAUAUAAAUACCUCUCUGGUCCUUGAGAAUUCCCUCAGUCAUUUUGUGUUCUCUCAUUAGUUCAAUUGUAGUUUAAGAAAAAUAAUGUUUUUUAUUUUAUUUUAUGUGAUUGAACUUGGAAUGAAUUUCCAAGUUGCAUACAUACUUGGGUUGAGAUCAAGUCAUAACGUAGUUUAAGAAAAAGAUUUUUUAUUUUUUAUGUGAUUGAACUUGGAAUGAAUCUCUAAGCUACCUACGUAUCCAAGAUGGGAUCAAGUUCUAACAUAGUCACAAUGCAGUUCAAGAUUUUUUUUUUUCUUUUUUUGUGCUCUAACUUUUGUCAAGACUAAAGAUCUUAAUCUUGCAAGCAUGUCCUAACUUUUGUCUAGGUCACCUUUCCAAGUUUUCAACUUAGCAAACAUUUUUUUUUUUUGUUCUCUAACGUUUGCCAAGACAAAAGAUUUUAAUCUUGCAAGCAUGUCAUAACUUUUACCUAAGUCAGAUUUUUAGGUUUUCAAUGUGGUGGAUUUUUUUGUUUUUUAUUUUUUAUUUUUUAUUUUUUGUGUCGUAGGCAAUUUAGCUCAUACGGCCCAGAAGCGAUGUGUAGUUUGUUGGGAUUCAACCCUUAAAAGCAAAACAUGAUGUAACAAAGUUAGACUUAACUAUCCCCUUGCUAUCAUUUUGGUGUAUUAACAUUGAUUUAAACAUUCAACUCAUAUUUUACAUUGUACAUGACUUAGGUGCAUUAGGAGUUGCUCAUAAGAUACAUGGAUUCCUUGUAAGUAGAUGAGUUAUCCAUAGUCAGUUCAUGGAUUUGGGCAAUCUAGUAGAGACUGUAAUGCACCACCUCUUAAUUGAAGAGAUGACUUGUCUUGACAGUUGGGAUAGGUUUCCUAUGGUGAGUGCACUAGUAUAUAUGAUGCACAUUGGAUAGGACCUACGGUAAAUCAUGAGCAAAGCUAUCAAUUGUCAUGAUUCACCAAGUUACGAUACUGCAUGGACUCUCAAUCUUGAGAGGACAUUGAACCUGUGCCAAAAUCAACAAAAAGCUUUCACCUAUAGAUGAGACCUUAAAGUGAUCAUAUAUCCCUAUGGAUUGAGUCACUAUUGAUGAAGGUUGGUGGUAAUAGGUAUUCUCAAUAGAGGCACCAUGAUAUCUCAUGAGAUUGAGACGGUGUGUCCCCUUGGGUGAUACAAAGGACAUGUGAUCAUAAAAUCUGUGACCAUAGUAAUUCUUUUAUUGAAAUUUGACAUAUACCCCUUCGAGCUAGAGUAUGUCAGUUGAUUACAUAAUAAGUGGCAUCUAUAACUUAAGGAUUUGAGAGGUAAUCUUGAUAGGUGAUAGCACUACCUUGUUAGAUUAUGGACACCAGUUCAUGGGGAAUCUACAUGCAGUGGAUGAUAUGUCACGAACGCGAGCUUCAUAUCGUUGUUAUUAACAUAGGAUACUGGAGUGCAAUUGAUUCUCUUUAGUAGAAUGUUGAAUCAACUUCAAAAUGGAUUAUGAGGGAGCCAAUACUCCUAUGGGUCUUAAUGGUCCCCACUCUGAGCUCAUAUACCAUGAUGACACAGUUUAUGAGGGUUUGAUUGGCUUUAUGUUCAUUUUUGUGCAUAAGGGCAUUUUGGUAAUUACACAAGGUUACAUAGGGGAUAGUCAAUAAGGUCUUUAGAUUGGGCCAAUUGAUUAAUUAGAUGACCUUAUGUGGUUAAUUAAUCAAUUAUGAUAUGUUUAGGCUAGAUUAAAUGACCCAAGCCUUGAUGAAUUUAAGUCACUUAAGCCUAGCAGAUAACCUUAUAAAUACCCUCUUAUGGGUUAGGGUUUCCUAAUGACUUUCAGUUAAUCAUCUUCCAUCCCUAGAAAGAGAAAGAGAGCCAAAUCUUUCUCCCUUCCAUUGCCCACACUUUGGUAUGCCAAGAUCAUGGUUCAAGUCACUGGGAGGAAGAUCUUGGGUGUACAAGACCUUCGGACUCUUUAAGUUUCUUCUUCGUUGGAUGAAUUUUUAUUUGGGACACAUCUAGAUCAUAAGUAUGUGUUAGAAAAUUUGGCUAAUUCAACUUAAGGUAAUCACUCUAGAGGAGGGGUGAAUAGGGUGAUGAUCUUUUUUUACAAAUUUAAAUUAUGUGAAUGCAAGAGACAAUUAUACUAUGCAAAUAUAUAGUAAAACCAUAUAAAAAUAAUUGCAUAUAAAGUACAAGGGUAGAAAAUAGAGAAUAUAAACACAAGAUUUUUAUAGUGGUUUGGUGCAACUCGGCCUACAUCCAUUCUCCUCUAGCUUCAAUCCCAAGUUUGAGGUUCCACUAAUUCAAGGCUUCCAACCUAACCCUUCAAGCAAUACAAUUGGAUUAUGGUUCCAAUCAAACCUUUUGGACUUUUGGCUCUAAGCACCUUUUACAAUCUUUGAUUCGUGCCUAACUGGUGUUUGCCCUGUUGAUUGGUGUUCAAUCAACUGAUGUGCUUUGAUUUCAGUCCUCAGACGAGAGUAAUCAACAAAAUUUAUAAACCUAUUUCACCAUAUACUAGGGUAGCAUUAGCUAGCAUAGCAUAGUGGCUCUAGGAUCGUCCACAGGGAUGGGUUUUCAAAUUACAAUUGAUAUUAGUUCAAAAACUGAAUUGGUGUUUUUUCUUUUCAAGGUUAGCUUUAAAAGAAAACAUAAGUAUGUGUGAAAAGGUUGGUUUUAAGUGAAACCAAAAAUAAAGUAACUGAAAUUACUUACAAAGAAAAGUGCUUCUUGGAGUUUUAGAUCACUAGGCUCAAGUUCCUUAUACAAAAAGAGAGAUUCCGAUCACUUGGAUCUUUUCCUAGCAUUGGGGAUUUAACAUAUAGUUAUUUCCCGAACCGGUGCGGUACAGAUGCUUCCCCUUAAUGGUUUCAAACACUAAAUCUCUAUCACUGAAUCAUCUUGUAAUGGUUCAUACCUCUCACCUGGUAUUGGUCAUUUAAGGUGAUCAUUAACCUUGGAUUACCCGUCAAAAGCUCGCAAAAGAUAACUAAUGAAUGUCUCCUAGGAGUCCAAAAGCUUACCAAGUGUUGGCUAUUCUAGAUAAUCCUACCUUUAAACCAUCUCCCAAAAGCUCGCAAGAGAUAAACUAGUGGAUCUCAAUGGACGGAGUCCACUUGCCUUACCAAGUGUUGGCCCAAGUGAUUUUAAGGGAUUUUAAGUUAACUAAAAAGAUAAAAACCAUUAACGGGUCACACUUUCUCUUCAUUAAAACCUGAAACAAUGAAACUUCCACUUUUGUAUACGAAACCUUACCUAGCUUCCUUCACUCCAAGAAACAAAAAGCCUAGCCACUCAUCCUCUAGGAAAACAUCCUCAGAGUUUGAUUUGGUAGAAAUAAAAAUAAAAGAGAAAACCAAAUGUGAAGGUAAGGCCGAGCAGAGCUCUGUGUAUUACUUUAUGAAAAACUAUACAAAAUUUGUCUCUAAGAGAAACUCCCCCGAGAUCUCUUUUAAAAGAAAAUUACAAUAGAUAUCAUAUAAAGAGGCUAUUCACCCCUCUUGCUAACUUCCCAACCAUGAAAACUUGUCAAUGGUGGGUUACAAGGAGAAAAUAGGGAUUUACACACAAAUAUUUGAAGAUAAACAUCAAACUGAGUCGGUGCGCAAAUAUCUCAGAUUACAAGUGGAUUUCGCAAGUUCAAACGCAACUUGCAAAAAUUUUGCAAGUUGAAAUUAUGGUUUCGCAAGUUGCGAAAUUGUCCUGCAACUAAUCAGCUCUCUGUCCUACAACAAUUCCUUUCCUCUUCCUAUUUCGCAAGUUGUGAGAAUUUCGCAAGUUGGAUUCCACAACUUGCAAAAUUGUUGGAUGGUUGAUUUCUUUUGUGAUUUUCUUCCUUGCAUCCUCAUUUGGCUUUGGCAAAGGGUUAUGAAGCUCCAAAGCUUAGUUUCUUCAUGAAUUUGAGCUUCAACUUGCUUUGCCAUGAACUAUACAAAGAUCUCCCUCAUUCUUGGAUUGCUUUGGUGAUAAAAAAGCUAUGAAAAACACCAAAACUUAACACAAUUUGAUUAGAAACGAUUGUAAGGGUCUUUAACAUGCCAAUUGAGUUAAAAGGUAAUAGCUACUACUCAAAAGUGUUUAAAAGAGUUAAUUACAAGCUAUAAAAUGACCCUUUUUGAAGUUCAACCCCUUAAGUGAUACCCCUUAAGUGAUACCCCUUAAUUCAAGAGAUGUCUUACUCUUAAACAACCCCUUAAGUGAUACCCCAUACUUGAGAUUCCCUAAGUGAUGCCUCACACUUAGAUUUUUCAUCUCAAAGAUUUACAAAUGAAGAUAGGAAAUAAUCUCACAAAAUCUUAAUACAAAACAUUAGGCUCAAAUGAUACAAGAUAAACUAUGAUUGAAUGGUGCACUAAUAAUAUGCAAGUUUUAAAACAAUGAGUACUAAAAAACACUCUCCUAAGGUUCAAAUAUAUUCAAGAAAGAUUUAAGAAGGUUAAACUCUUGAAACAAUAAAGAUUGAAACCUUUUUAUGGAGGAGAAAUGCCAAACUAGUUGUUGGGGGUUUGUCCAGUCGAGUUCUGGUUUGACCGGUUCACUAACCGUUAGCAUUUAAUGCAUGAUAGGUGAUCAUUGGGCCUUGACCAUCCCUCGACCAGUACUCAACCGGAUAAAGUUCAACCUUAAUCAAUCGAAUAAGCAUUCUAGAAUAGAGAGAAGGUUUUUGCACCUUUCAAUCAGUUGAGUUGAACAAAUAGACGGAUUCCUUAUCCAGUUCAACCGGUUGAGCCAUUUUUGGCUCAACAAUCAUCAUUUUCAACUUAAAACCUUUUAAACAAGUUUAGAAAGCAUUUGACACAAGGAUUUAGUUGAAAACAUUAAAUCAUCCUAUUUUUAAAAGAUUUAAAACAAAAUACCUCUUGAAUGAUUUUGGUGUAUAAGUAAAUAAUGUAAUGCAUGAAAAACCCAGUGCGCCAACAACCUUACAAAGAGAUCUUAUGAGGCUUAGGUAUUGAAAAACACUUCUCUUUAAGGCAGACAACAUCGUGUGAAUACCAAAGGGGAACUCUACGUUCCUAGGGAAAGAUGCCUCGUCAGUACGUCUUGAGGUUGUUCACUAACUUCGGGGUUACCGGCUUUGAGAGGAGCCCUUUGAUGACAUUUGGGCAUGCAACUCUUCAUUUUCUUCCUUGAUUCGCCUUGUUUGGUGGAUCAAAGAUUGCAUAUGCCAGUCAUUUUUGCACUAGGUUCUCUCCAUGCUUUCACGCCAGCCAAAGUAGCUUUCGUUACCCAUAGUUGAGGAUCGGCUUCUAAAGGGUACUAACAUCCUUAGUCAUUCCCACAGAUGACACCAAUGUUGGUUCUGAGUCGGCUGAAGUCAAAUUCAUCCAACUUAACGGAAGUUUGACAACCUUCCUCCAUUUUUUGUGCCUCUUAGAGAAUCCACCUAGCAGUAAUGAGAUUGGGCGAACUCCUUUCUUGCACAAAAGAAUGUUCAGAUGAGUACUUCGGGUACGCCCUUCGAAGCUUAAGUGAGGCAAAAAUAGCUCAAACUACUUAAUGAGAGAGAGUGGAUAGGUGAAUAUGUGCCUACCUUGUUCGUGCUUUUUGAGGGGUUUAUAUAAUGUUGAUGAGAAUGCCACUAUAGUGCUUACUAGACACUUUAACUUUCUUCUAUAAUGAUGAUUGUCUUGCAGGCGGUUGGGCAAUCAUCAAAAUUUUGGGUGGCUGAUAGGUGCCAUCAACUAACGUGCCAUGAUCUUAGACCAUGCAGUAACCUGUUCCCUCAGUCUGUUGAUGGCCUAAGGUUAUGUGCAACAAUUAAUUGACAUGGACUUGAGGGCUAGAAGAGGUCCCAUCGGCCGUUCACAUGUCAAGUGUGAAUGAUCACUCAUGCUAGUGGGUCUUGAAGAUUUGACUAGACAACCUUACCUAUUUGGGAGGUCCAACCUCCCAUUGCCGUUGUUUUGGCCUUAUAGGAGAAAAGGGCUUUCUCAUGUAUGGUGCUAGAGGGACUAGUCGUGAUCCAGAUGAGUUGCAUACCCAUGCUAGAUGGUCGAAGUGUCCGGGUUGGAAAUGGAGGGAAGCCUCCCACAAAUAUGAGGGAGCCUUAUGAAAACGGAUCCUUAGGGCUUAAGAAGGGGUUUUCAAUUUUAAGGUUUGCCUUUUCACCCAAGGAUGUGAAUGGGAAGAUGAGGCGAAGUUAAAAGAUUGGUGAAGCAAAGUGAGGGCAAGGUAGGGUUUGAAUAAAGGAAAGUAUACACUAUUAAUGAAGAUGAUAAUCUCUAGAAAGAAAAACUAAGGUAAACUAGGGCUUUAAUAAUAAUUUUCAAUCUACACUAGUGAAGAGGAUAUCUUCGAAAACCAAAGUUAGGGCUUCAAUAACGAAUUUCAAUCUACAAUGGUGAAGACAAUAAUCUUCGAAAACCAAAUCUAUAAUGAUGAAGAUGAUUGAAAACUAAAUCUAUACUAGUGAAGACGAUUGGAAAGCAAAUCUACACUGGUGAAGACAAUGAAACCAAAUGUAGGUCUUCUAAACUAAACGCUUUUAAGGAUUUUCCUUUUUUUUUUCCUUUGUUUUCAAGAAAGGCAAACUCUUUAGAAAACUAAAAAAACUAAUGCAUUCUUAGAUCCAGAUCACUAUUUCCAACAUGGUAUUUGGAUUGCCAGCUUGCAUUUUUUAUUUUUUUAUUUUUUUAAUAGUCAUUGGCAUUUUAGGGAUUAUUGAAGGAUAAUAUCAUUCAGCUCAAUUUCCCAAAUUAGUUAGGUCUUACACUCAAAUGUGAAACUUAUAUGGAUGUUAGGCCAAUUAUCAAACUCAUCUGCCCUAAAACAUAAUUUCCCUUUUUUAAAAUAGUUGUUAAACAUCUAUCCCAAACACGUUUAACCCUUUGAAUUGCUUGUAUGUUAACCUUGUUUCCUUUUCUUCAUGCAACAUGGCUUAUUGAUGGUUGCAUUGAAUCAUUAUCAUUCACCAAUUCCAUGCAACUAUGGACUACAUUUCAAAUCCCUCGAACAUAAAUGGUAAUUCCAAAACAACUCAAGUAUAAUCUUUUCAACCCUUUCAAAUGAUUUAAUUAAUUGAUUUUUGAAUAUAUUCAUAUAUUUUUUUGAGCAAUUUUUAGGCAUAUAACAUAAAUCUCUUUUUUAUAUAUAUAUAAAAGGUUUUAUAUUUUAUAUUACAAUUUCCUUUUGUUUUUUCAUCUAAAAAACAAAACAUAAAACCUUAAUAAACGAGUUUUGUCACAAUCCCUUAACAAGUAAUCUAUUUUUUAAAUUACUUUAACAUUUUUAGAUAUAUUGAUUCAAUCUAAUUUACUUUUAAUAUUUUUUAUAAAAUAUUUUUACUUUAUAUGACUAUAAAUUAAUUACUAUUGAUUGCAUAUUAUAGAAUAUAUAUUCUAAAAUAUAUCUUAUUGACAAUAUAAUCAUAAGAUGUUAUAUCCAUAUCCUAACAUAUUAUAUACUUUUAUUUUGUGCAAUUAGCAACAUGGUGGGAAGUGGCAAGCAGCUUAACGGAAAUGUCAUGUGCCAAUGUGCCAUGCGUGUCCCUUCCCUUAGUGAGUCUGAACUGCUCCAACAUUUCCGACAUGUUAUUUUUUACUUAGCUCUUAAGUAUUUUCGUCUCGUUUUCGUUAACCCCAUCACAUUUCGCCACAUGGAUCUAAGCCUCAUGGUCCUUUCGUUCGUACAAUGAAUGUUCCCCCAAUUCCUUAUCUACACUAAAACUCCAUACUCGCCAUCUACUCAACCACUUCUCUACUCUAGAGUUUGGGUCCUUUAUCUCUGCACGUGUCUAUGGCUUUUCACCCCAACAAGUAUGGCAUUACAAGGGCAAUAUCGUCAUUAAAGACCCAAAAGGGAAACCAAUGGCAUUAUCUUCCUUUUGGUCUAUUCUAUUUAUAUUGUAAGUUAUUCGUGAUGACUUCUCCCAUAAAAGCUAAAAACCACUCCAAUAGAGCACACUUCACUUCUUCAUUUUUUUUUUUCCAGAUAAGCUCAGAAAGCCCAGCUCAUCCCUCAACUCCCCGAUGGGUUUGAUGAAUGUUCUUAAAUUCUCAACUGCAUGCUUUGAUCUUCUUAUCUGGUAUAUUGUCCACGCAUUUUCUUGUCAUUGGAAAAUUUUGGAAAAUGAAAUGGAAUUCUAUGUUUGAUGACAAAACUGGGAUUUGCUUUGAUUUCUCCAUGUUGGUUUUAUCCCUUUUGUUUGAAUUGUCCACAUUCUUGUCAUUGGUUGUUAGUUAUUUGUUUGGAUUUCUACUUGUAGGCCUCUGUUUGCACUGGGUUAUCCUCUAUAAAUCUUGGUCUUACACACCAAGAUAUGAUGAUUCAUUUACUCUUUUCUUGUUCUAUGAAUUCUUAGUUCUGUUACAUUUAUUGGGUUGGAAAACUGAAAAAGGAAAGGAUUAUUCGUUAUUAUCAUAAUAAUCAUCAACGUCAUCUCAAUUAUUCACAGAUGUGCAUCAAUUCAGGUAAUUGAGACUAACUCGAUCUCAGACAUUCAGAAGUUGGUGGCAUAUUGGGUUCUAUUUUCCUUGAUUUCACUUUUUGAUCGUACUUUUUCCAAGCUCCUUGAAUGGUAAUUUUGUUCAACUUCAUUCCAUCAUAUGUGGCUCUAUUUGUUUCAUUUCUUUGCCCUUCAGGAAUUUGGAGUUGCCUUUUUUAGUUUUCUUCCCUGUGAAAAUAAUCGAGAUGUUUAAUGUUCCAAGCCUCCAUGUAUUUUAUUUUCCUUCAUUUCUCUGCUUUGAUAAAUCCCCAUGAUUUGAUCAGCAAAAAGGCUAUAACAUUUGACAAAGAAAUGCUUUAUUUUGGUUUUUUAAGUACAACAAUUUUCAUUUGGAGAAAUGGUCUAAAGGGUAUCGGUGUUUGGAUGAAUCAUGGAAUUUUCUCGCUAAUUUGGGAUUUAUUCUCAAUUUCAAUAUCAUUGUGGAUAUUUCAAAAAUUAAUGAAAUAUAUAUGAUGGAAUGUGAUUUUCUUGUUUAAGAAAAGUUUUUCUUUAAAAAUUUAGGUAACCCUGACCUACCUUAUUGUGCUACUCGAAACACAAAACAAAAGUACAAGUAAUUUAGUAACUAAAUUGCACACUUUUUGAUAGUUCAAGGAAGUGGUGUUAGCUUUGGAAAUAAGAUGGAUCUACUAGUUUUUAUUUCUCAUCUUUAUAGGGAACUUUCCAUAAUAUAGCUUAUAAAUACCAUAAUCACAGUGAUGAAUAAUUGUCUUGUUUGAAAGCAUGGUUGCACUUAUUUGCAUGGAAUUUGUCUGCGUUGAAAUUAAAUUAAGCUUUAUGCAUCAUUUGGAUGCUGAGAAACAAAUGAAAAUAGAAAAUUCAAAAUUUGACAAGUUUGUGUAGGGAAAUUGGAUCUAAUCUCUUAAUCGAAGCUUAAUUAGGGCAAAUGUUGAUCCUCUUUGGACCUAUUGAAAGCUCUAAUCUGUGCACAAUUCUAAUGUUUUUGUUUCCUUAAUUUCUUUUUCAACUUUUCAACAAAGCAUCAAUUUGCUAUAAUAAAUGAGAACCAACUUGACGAUGAGAAAAAUGACUGGUGAUGAUGUCAUAGAGAAUCGCAGAUGAGAACAACCAAAAAUACUAGGAUUGGUACCACUGAUGGUAAUGAAGAAAACACAAAAAUGGUGCAAAUGGUGAACAGGAAACUCAAAAUGGAAUGGGAAAAGAAACCUAAACAAUAGUCUCCUAUAUAAAGCACACAACAUGUACAUCGAGGCAUCUGAAAGGACACGCUGCCUGAGAAGUCACUCUAAUUGAUGUGACUCCUCAUGACGUGGGUGGUGGACAUAUGUCCCAUGGUGCCAAAAAUUUCAAACACUCAAGCAACCGAAUACUUUCACUUAGUCAUUUAAAGCCUAGCUAGACUCAAUUGCAAGAAUUAAGGGCAUUGUGGGAUGCUCACCACCGUCUAUCAUGGUCCUCAAACACUGUCUGGUGUGAGACAUAUUGGCACAAGAGCCAUGUAGCUUCUCUAUCCACCCCAAGAUACUCCUAGGGUAGCAAACGAACACAAUCCGACCAAACACUAUGCAUUCCUACCCUACAAGCAUUAAUUUCAAUGAGCAAUAAGUGUAUUAACACAUUAAUGAAUGCAACCGUUAUAACGCUAAAACGCCAUACUUUAAGGUUCAUCAAGACACAACAACCAUUAUGGGCCGACAAUUAUUGGCGUUAAAUAUGGUAAUGCGCAAUCAAAGGCUCAAUUAAGGCCCUUUAGAAGACGUUACUAUUGGGCAAAGAUAAAUAACCAUUUUUUACCACAAGAAAGUCUGAUGCCAUUUUUUUCACAAAAACUUUUGCUUAAGUCUUCCAUCUCUAACCUAAGCUUUGAAGGGGUGUACUUGGAAAACCUAUCCGAACAUUCCUUUAUGUAGGUGCAAUCAUCGUUUAUGUCACGCGAAGGCUAGUCAAAGACCUUUAUUGGUCGUGCACCAAUAAAUCUAUUUAGUAUAUCUCAUUUAUCCGUUCAAGUGAGAUGAAGGAGUGACCUAAAGAUAGAUUGGAAACAUCAUAGUUUCUUAUAUUGGUAAGGCAGCAACAACCUCGGCUAGUGCAUCAACCUGCUCGUUUUCCUCUAGGGGUACGCGUUUGAUAAACCAUUCAUUCAAUUUUUCUGUUCAAGUGUACCAAAGAGAGGUAAUGAGCCAUGCAUUCAUCUCAAGCUUCAUAUUUUAGUUAGAUUUGUUCACCCACUAGUUGUGAAUUGCUUUUGAUUUCUACUUUCAUGGUUGUGAGAGCUAAGGCUAGAUCGUCUCAUAAGAAUUGCUUCAUAUUUUGCCUCAAUAUUAGAUACUGGAAAGUUGAGACAGACGACUUGUUCAAUUUGCUCUCCUGUAAGGAAUUGUUGUGUUAGUCCUAUCCUAGCUUCUGAUGUUCUAGAGGCUUCGUCUACAUGGAGAACACGCCAUUGUUCUUCAUUGUUAGACCUUGUCCAUUUUUGGGGUGGUUCGACUAUGAAAUCAAUGAGAACUUGCUAUUUGAGAUACUAAUGAGGUUUGUACCGUAUGUAAUAUUCACUCAAUUUGAUUGCCCAAUUCACCAUUCGACUAGAUAGAUUUAGCUUGUGCAACGUGACCCACAACGGUUGAUUUGUCAAGACCGUUAUUUGGUGCGCCUGAAAAUAUGGACAAAGCUUCUUGGCAGCGAUCCGUAAGUUCAGAGCCAUUUGUUCCACUUAAGAAUAUCGUGUUUUUGUGUCAAUCAUAGCUUUUCUCACAUAGUAAAUAAGUCUUUGUUCAUUACUCUAAUUGUGUGGAAACAAUAUGACAUUGACAGCAAAGUUUGACACAACCAGGUACAUGUAUAACUCUUCUCUAGCUUCAAGACUACUUAAGAUUGGUGGCUUCGUAAGAUACUGUUUGAUGUCUUUAAAGGCAUGCUCACACUCAUCCAUCUAACUAGACAUCUUUGCUCCCUAGAGUUUGCUCAAGAAAGGUCUGAGCUUAUUUAUGAAGCGUGUUAUGAACCAACCUAAGGUGAUUAGACACCCAGUUAGACGUUGCACUUCCUUCUUGCUAGUAGGAGCAGGGAUUUCUAACACUACUUUCACUUGAGCCAGAUCGACUUCAAUACCCCCUUUGAGUCACCAUGAACACAAGAAACUUCCACUCACUUACUCUAAAUGCAUAUUUUAUUGGAUUAAGCUUCAUGUCAUACCUGCACAUUAAACUGAAUGCUUCUUCCAAAUGGAGGAGCUUCUUGGAACGAGUUAUUCUCUUAAUGACAAUGUCAUCGAUAUAGACUUCCAACGUUCGACCUAUCAAGGGCUUAAAAAUAUGGGUCAUCAACUGUUGGUACGUAGCUCCAAUGUUCAUUAACCCAAGCGACAUGAUCUUGUAAAAGUACAACUCCUUAUGUGUAAUAAAUGUCAUCUUCUCUUUGUCAUGUGGAAACAUUGGUAUCUGGUGGUAUCCAAAAGAAGCAUCAAGAAAAGACAACAUUCCAUGCCUGGUUGUGGCAUCGACUAUCUAAUCUAUCUAGAGCAAUGGGAAGCUAUCUUUCAAGCAGACUUCAUUCAUAUCCACGUAGUCUGCGCACACCUGCCAUUUUUCUCCUUUCUUGGUACCACUACCACAUUUGUUAACUAGUCCAAGUAGGUCACCUCCUUGAUAAAUCUUCCUUUUAAUAGCUUCUCAACUUCUAUCUAGAUAAUUUUUUGAUGAUCCAACUAGAAACGUCAGACUUUAUAUUGUAUGGGUCGUGCUGUAGGAAGAAGGUUCAACUUAUGAGAGCUCACCGCUAGGUCUAUUCCAAGCAUUUCCGAAUGAAUCCACACGAGGAUAUCCUUGUUUUUACAAAGCAUUUCACCAACAUUACCACAUUCAUCCCUAGUUAGCAAAAAAUUAGCGUAAGUCAUCUGCUUAUUAUUUUUCGACAAAGAUAGCUAUUGUAAUAGGCUGAUUGCCAAUGAGUCUCUAUCCUCUAGUUUUCCUUCGACCUAAUUCUAUAAUUGUUAUUAGCUCUCUCUUGAUGAUUUGAGUUCAUCUUUAGUUGGGCCUGAACUCCAUCGCCACUUAGUAACACUACUAGGUGGCUAAUUGGAUUCCAUGUGGAUCCACUUACCCAAAUUCUGUCAGGUAGCUCACCAUCUUAUGAUAGGUGGAUGGAAUAACUUUCAUCUUAUGUAGGUACGACAACCUUAUGAUGGUGUUGUACGACGGUAAAUCCUCUACUAUAGAAAAUCAUACGUUGAGAGUAGGCGGGUUGGCUUGGACAAGAAGUACCACGUCGCAUAGUGAUAUUGUGGCAACCCUAUUAAACCCAAACAAAAGUCGAACUAGAUUUUCUAAGGCAGAUGACGAACAUCCCAUUUUCCUGUAGGUUGACAUAUGCAAUAAAUUGGAAUGAUCAUUUUAGGAAGGAUCACUUGAUUAAUGUUAAUUGAAGGGAAAGUGAUUGGGUCAUUGACUGGUCGGGCACUUUCGACAGUAAAUGUGCACUGAACUGCACUUACUCUUUCCCUCCCUGUAGUCGCACAGAGCAUUCGUCUCCUUUGUUGUUUGGAGUGAUAUUUGUCAUCUACUAUUUCCCCAUGGAUAUAGUUAAUCACUACUCGAUGUGUUGUGGGAGAGUCAGGAACUCACUCUGACACUUCACGUGUCAUUUCUUUAUGUCCACCAGUUGCUCAGACAUACAACUUGAGAUGUCCGGUAAUGAUUAGUUUCUCCACCAAGUAGUGCAAAUUUUUGCACUCUUCUGUGGUGUGCCCAUGCUCCUUAUGAUAGAAUCAUCGCAAUCCUCGAUCAUGCUUGGACGAAUCAGUUUUGAUGGGCUCUAGCCACUUGAACUCGAGCAGCUCUCAAAUCAAGAGGAGAAUUCUAUCAUAAAAAAUGGUCAACGGGGUGAGCCUAGGCGAUUAUCAUUGUUGUUGUCUUUCUUGUCCUUGAUUAGUCUAUCUAGACUGGCUUGAGGGCUUUAAGCUCUUAGCCUUCUUUUUUAAUUGCUCGGUUUAUAACCAGGAUUUGUUGAGAGGUUACCUAAACAUCCUCCUCAAGCAUGACAUGUUUGCCCACUCGUCUAAAUAGGUCAUUCAUUGUAGUGGGCAACUUUUUGGCCAUGGACUUGAAGAAUUGAGUGCUUGGACUGAUGAUCCAUUUGAAGAUCUGCAGGAUAGCAUCCAUGUUGUAAGAUUCCAUCUAGAACACCGCUUGUCUGAAUCACUUCAUGAAGUCCCUUAGCGAUUCAUUCUCCUACAUCUGAAUGUUCUAUAAGGUGCUUAUAUUCUGCUUUUGGCGAGCAAAACAUAAAUAAUGGCCCACAAAGGCCUCUAAAACAUCUGUCAUCUGUUGUUGGAAGUGCAUCAGGUGAACAAAAGAGUCACCAUCCCAUAGUAAAUAGUAAAUUUGGGCACCGGAAACCCCUGGGCAGCUCAUAACUAAUGAUAUGUGGGUCAAACGACAUGAAGAGCAUGUCAUCCAAUCAUCUACUUAUGGAGUCAAGAGGGGCUUUUGUCAAUGGGUUAUUUGUCGAUUGUAGUUCUAGUAUUGAACAUUAAGGCAGACGGCUUGGUGAUGCCUCAUCGUUUGAUUGGCCUAAUUGUGCUUUCAAGGCCUCCAAUAUGCAUGGCGAUGCUAGUGUUCUUCUCUCCUGAUACCCAAGAUAGGCUUUCAGGGCAUCUGAGAGACGUAAGCCCCAUUCUUAACCCAUUUUCCAUUUUUCUCCAAUAGAGCUUGCAACCUCUUUCGCUUGAGUUCGAUCGACUACUGAAUGCACUAGUUCAAGUAAUGUUAGCGAACUGCUAGUAGACAAUCCCUCAUCCACUGUUUGUAGAGACGACUUAGUGUAUCAUUGAAGAACUUUCAUUGUUUGGCUUCAAACUACUCUUGAAGUCGUCUAUUGGUUGGAGGUACGAUGACUUUUUUAUCAGCACCCCAUAGCCACUUGUGCUCGUAGCUCUUGGUUCUCUUGCUGUAGUUGUUCUGCCUGUUGGACAGGGACUACAUAGGUUAUUCAUAUUCUUCUUGCUUUUUUUCUAUCUUUCCUUGCCAAGCUUGGAAUCGCUCGUCAACAUUUGCAGAAUGAGUUGCAGGAGGCGUGUUAACCAUCGUGUUUUUUAGGCAUUUGUGGUUGAUUCCCAUAGACAAUGCCAAUGUUGGUGCACGACCAGUAAAAAAAGGUGUUUGGCUAGUCUCCAUGUAACAUAGAUGACGAUUGCACCUGCACAAAGGAAUGUCUGAAUGGGUUUUUCAGGUACACCUUUCCAAAGCUUAGGUCAGAAAUGGAAGACUUAAGCAAGAGUUUUUGUGGAAAAAUUGGUAGCAUACUUUUCUUGUGGUUAAGAAUAACUAUUUAUCUUUGUCCAACUAUAAUAUCUUCUCAGAUGCCUUAAUUGAGCCUUUGAUUGUGCAUUAUCAUCUUUAAUGUCAAUGAUAGCCAACCCAUAAUGGUUGUUGUGUCUUGAUGAACCUUAAAGGUUGGCGUUUUAACCUCAUAAUGAUUGCAUCCAUCAAUGCGUUAAUGCACUAAUUGCCUAUUGCAAUUAAUGCUUGUUGGGCAAGAAUGCAUAGUGCCCGAUUAGAUUGUGUUUGUUUGGUACCCUAAGAGUACCCUGGGGUGGACAAAAAAGCCACAUGGCUCUUGUUCUAACAUGUCUCGACUAGACAGUGUUUGAGGAUCAUGUUAGAUGGUGAUGAGCAUCCCACAGUGAAGACGUAUGAUGAAAGCAAAGGUAGGGCUUCUAAACCAAACGCUUUUAGGGAUUUUUUUUUUUUUUUCAACAAAGUUGACCUCUUCAAGGAAAAAAAAAAAGGUUAAAAAAACUAUUGCUUUUUUGGAUCCAAAUCACCAUUUCCAAUGUGAUAUUUGGAUUUCCACCAUGUAUUUUUUUUUUUUUUAACAGUCAAGGACAUUUUAUGGAUUAUUGAAAGAUAAUAUCUUUCAACUUAAUUUCCUACAUUAAUUAAGUCUUAGGCUCAAAUGUGAAACUUAAGUGGUUGUUAGGCCAUCAAACCCAUCUGCCCUAAAGUAUAAUUUCCCAUUUUCAAAAUAUAUAGUUGUUAAACAUCUAUCCCAAACUAUUGUAACCCUUUGAAGUGCUUGGUAUGUUAACCUUGUUUCCUUUUCCUUAUGCAACAUGGCUAAUUGAUUGUUGCAUUGAAUCAUUAUCAUUCACCAAAUCCAUUCAACUAUGGACUUACCUUUCAAAUCCCUCUAACAAAAAUGGUAAUUCCAAAACAACUCAAGUCUAAUGUUCUCAACUCUUUCAAAUGAUUUAAUUAAUUGGUGUUUGAAUAUACCUCUUAUAUUUUUUUAGAGCAAUUUUUAGGCACAUAACAUAAAUUUCUAAUUUUUUUUUAGAAAAGGUUUUAUAUUUUAUAUUUUAUAUUACAACUUCCCCUUUUUUUUCCAUCUAAAAAACAAAACAUAAAACCUUAAUAACCGAGUUUUGUCACAAACCCUUAACAAAUAAUCUAUUUUCCAAAAAUUACUUUAACAUCUUUAAACAUAUUGAUUUAGUAUACUUUACUUUUAAUAUUUUUUGAAAAAUAUUUUUAUUUUAUAUGAUUAUUAAUUAAUUAAGAUUGAUUGGGUAUGGUAGAAUAUAUAUUCCAAAAUACAUCGUAUUGAGAACAAUAUCACAAGAUAUUAUAUCCAUAUCUUAACAUAUUAUAUACUUUUAUUUUGUGCAAUUAGCAAUUGGACGGAAGGUAGGGAGCCGGCUUAAUGGAAAUGUCGCAUCUCACGUGUGUCCCUUCCCUUACCAAGUCUCAACAAAGGAUGAAAAUAUCGGUAAUCACGGAUAUAUCGGUACUUCGAUUUUACGGAUAUAUUAGAUAUAUCAGAGAUAUAUUGACGGAUAUUUUGGAAAAAAAUAUCGAUAAGCCUAAAAUUGAUCAAAAUUUAUAAAAAUAUAAAAAAAACUUCAUAAAAAUGUAAUUAAAAGAAGGUCGUAUAAGUUACUCAUGUUGAUCAUGUGAUAUAUCACGAGAUAUAAUCGAUUUUUGGGAAUUUCUCACGAAAAUAUCGCGACAUUUCUUCCUUGUCUCGACUGCUCCAAGAUUUCCUAUACGCCCUUCUUCGCUUAGCUCUUAAGUCUUUUCUUCUCCUCUUCCUCAAACCCAUCACAUUUCGCCGCGUGGAGCUAAGUCUCAAGGUCCUUUUGUUCGUACGAUGUAUGUUCCCCCAAUUCCUCAUCUACCUUGAAACUCCAUACUCGCCAUCUACUCAACCACUUCUCUACUCUAGAGUCUGGAUGCUUUAUCUCCGCGAGUGUCGAUGGCUCUUCACCCCAGCGAGUAUGGAAUUACAAGGGCAAUAUCGUCAUUAAAGACACAACAGGCAAACCAAUGGCAUUGUCUUCCUUUUGGUCUAUUUUAUUUAUGCUGUAAGUAUUCGUGCUUGACUUCUCCCGCGUCUCUUAUAAAAACUAAAGAAAACCACUCCAACAGAGCACACUUCAAGAAUCUUCUUUUUUUUUUUCUUUCCUCUUUCUCUUUACAUAUAUACUGAGAAAGCCCAGCUCAUCCCUCAAUUCCCAGAUGGGUUUUAUGAAUGUUCUCAAGUUCUCAGCUGCAUGCUUUGAUAUUCUUGCCUGGUAUGUUGUCCACGCAUUUUCUCGCCAUUGGAAAUUUUUGGAAAAUGAAGUGGAAUUCUCUGUUUGAGGACAAACAUGGGAUUUUCUUUGAUUUCUCCCUGUUGGUUUUAUCUAUAUUCUUUGGAUUACCCACAUUCUUGUCAUUGAUUGUUAGUCAUUUGUUUGGAUUUCUACUUGCAGGCCUCUAUUUGCACUGGGUUAUCCUCUGUAAGUCUUGGUCUUACACCUCAAGAUAUGAUGAUUCAUUUACUCUUUUCUUGUUCUACGAAUAGUUCAGUUACAUUUAUUGUGUUGGGAAACUGAAAAGGGAAAGGAUUAUUCUUUAUUAUCGUAAUAAUCAUCAACAUCAUCUCGGUUCUUCACAGAUGUUCUUCAAUUCGGGCAAUUGAGACUAACUCAAUCUCAGACUUUCGGAAGUUGGUGGCGUAUUGGGUUCUAUUUUCCUUGAUUUCACUCUUUGAUCAUGCUUUUUCCAAGCUCCUUGAAUGGUAAUUUUGCUCAACUGCGUUCCACUAUAUGUGACUCUGUUUGUUUCAUUUCUUUGCCCUUAAGGAAUUUGGAGUUGCUUUUUUCAGUUUUCUUUCCUAUGAAAAUAAUCGAGAUGUUUAAUGUUCCAGGCCUCCAUGUAUUUUAUAUUCCUUCAUUUCUCUGCUUUGACAAAUGCUCACAAUCUGAUCAGCAGAAAGGUUAUAACAUUUGAAAAAGAAGUGGUUUAUUUUUGUUUUUUUUAAGUACAAUAAUUUUCGUUUGGAUAAAUGGUCUGAAGGGUGUUUGUGUUUGGCUGAGUUCAUGGAAUUUUCAAGCUAAUUUGGGAUUUAUUCUCAAUUUCAAGAUCAUUGUGGAUAUGUCAGAAAUUAAUGAAAUAUAAAUGGUGGAAUGUGAUUUUCUUGUUUAAGAAAAGUUUUUCUUUGAAAAUGCGGGUGCACCAGACCUACCUUAUUGNNNNNNNNNNNNNNNNNNNNNNNNNNNNNNNNNNNNNNNNNNNNNNNNNNNAUCAGAUUCAACUGUGAUAGCCCGGAAUUUAAUUCAGUAUUCGACUCUUCUGGGAACAUGUUGGUUAUGGUUUCUCUCUCACUGUCCUCUUCUUUACACAUGACUUUUCAGUUGAGGAGCACAAAGCCUAAUGUUGAAGUGAAAGAGAUCAAAGCACCUGCAGCACCGGAGAAAAAAGGGGAACAGGUAAGUACUCUAAUGUGGCUAUUUAAUUUCUAUGGAGGCAGAUCCCCAGAGAAAUGCUGUUCAUGUAAAUUACUGAUGCAUUUGAUUCAAUGGCCACGGUUUUAAAAGAAAAACCACUUUAUGUAUGUUUCUGUGAAUGAGAGAACAAGUUUAUGGAUUAAAUGAUAUUUUUUAUGGUGAAAUAAUCAAUAAUUUUCAAAAUAAUAAUACAUUCCUGCAUGUUUUUGCAAUUCAUGAAUUCCUUUUAUGAUUGAUUCUUCUCACCUUUUUUCUCACCUCAGUGGAAGUGUGAAGAGCCUAAUGUUGCUCAAAAAGAGAUCCAAGUAGUCAAAGUAACAGAGAUAAAAAAUGGGGGGGAUGGAGCAAAGAGGGUAAGUUUUGCUUUUUAUUUAUAAAGUAGGCUGUCUUCACACAAGGAUUAUUAUUAUUAUUAUUGUUAUUAUUUUAAGACAUGAAUGUUGAAUGAUUUUGGAAUUGUCCUUGAAUCAUGUGAAGUGUGAAUGGUCUAAUGCUGCUAAGGAGGAGGUCAAAGUGACAGAAGUAACACAGAGAACAUUUGGUGGUACAGCACAGUGGGUAAGGUUUCAUGUCAUAUUUAAAUGGCUCCUCAUAUUUCACUAGGAUUAAUUUUGCCCCUACAAACUAUUUGGCUACAAGUUAAGACAGAGUUCCAGAUGCUGAUAAAGCUGAGACAUAAGUAAUGAACGAAUUUAGACACAUGCACAACUCUUGUGUGAAACACAAUGAGAGUGGAAAAUAGCUAAGUUGAAAAAUGGCCAAAUACUAUUUUGUAGUUCCCCCUACCACUUAAGUAAUUUUUGUCAUCCUUUGUGAAUGGAAAAUGCAGUCCCUUCAGUAAUUCCAUUAUAUUCAUGACUUGGUGAAGCAUAUAACCAUUAGUGUCUUACCCUAAGUCGACCUUUAAUGAUGAUCCAUUGAGAUGGGUCUGACUUUUGUCAACCCUCUUAUUCCCUUGAUCAUAGAGGUGAAACUUAGGGGGCUUAACCCACUUUUCAAUCUUAUUGGAUAUAUGGCACGUGGUAUCCUCUUCAUCUUGAAAGAGUGAAGUGGUCAUACUCUUUCCUCUGAGUCCAUUGUGGCCAUGCACUUCAGGCUCAUUGGGCUGAGUGAAAGGAUUCCCUUCUGCUUCAAAUCAUAGAGAGAUAUGCCAUGGUCAGCCUCUUUAAUUCAAGGGAUUGAAGUACUCAAAUCCAUUUCUCUGUAUCCAUCUUAGUUCUGCAUUCAUGUCUCAUGGUUAACCAAGAAGAUCCAGCCUCCAUCCAUGAGAUCAGCAUCUGCAGGUUUAUGACACCACCCUUCCUUUGCAUAGGAAAGGGAUCAUUAAGCCAUGUGUCGGAUGACAGAAGUCAUCAUUCAGGUUAUCUUGAGAACUAAGGAAGUUGGAAUUCUAAUUAUUGCAUAUGGUUCUUGAUGUUUAGCCAAUAUACUAUAGGAUUUUAAGCAUCAUGCUCACGUGCAUUGUGGUUGCUUAUCAGCUAUAUGGUUUGCCAAAAUGAGGGACUGAUUAUGGUCAUAAGUACCUUUUUCCCAUUAAUUUCUUGCAUGUGCUCUGCUGAGAUUAUGUUUUUGACAGUCCAAAUCAGGGCAAACCAACAAACAGCUUUAUGUUAACUUUUACAAACUGCCAUAUUUUCAGGUUAAACAAACAGAGAUAAAUCUUGGUGAAACUAGAAGUAAUACAACCUGUGCUGUGGAGAUAAAAGAAAGGGCAGCAGCACUGGUGGCUGCAGAAAUUGAGGCAUGUAGAGACGAUAGAACCCCCAAGAUACCUCUUCAUGAGAAAGUCCAGAAAGAGUGGGCUUGUGCUGUGUGCCAGUUCACAACCCAAACUGAAGCGACCUUCAAUUCCCACCUUCAAGGGAAGAGACAUCAGGCCAUUUCUGAGCAGCUGAGAGCCAAAAAUCAGGCAACCAAAACCAAUUGUUCCCCAUCUGCUUCAAUGGCCAAGAAAUCUGAUCAGUCCACCAAAGAGGAGCAACCGAAGUGUACUUCCAAUCUGAAUUCCAAAAACAAUGGAAUCUCAGCUGCUUCAACAGUGAAGAAACUUGAUGAGACCAAAGAUGAUGAGCAACAAAAGUCUGCAUCUAGCAAUGGACCGAACCAGAAGAAUAACAAAAAGCAAGAGGUACAGACCAAUGAGCAAGGCCGUCAGAAGAACUUAAGGCAAACUGGUGAUGGAAUGAAAGAGUUGAGAUCAUGGUGCAAUAUCUGUAAUGUAAGCUGCACAAGGGAGCUUGACCUGGCCUCGCAUCUCAAUGGAAGGAGGCACUUUGAUAGGAUAAAGCAGCUGUCUGAAUUAUGGUGCAGUAACUGCAAUGUAAGGUGCAACAGUGAGGUUGAUAUGGCCUCUCACCGAAAUGGGAGGAGGCACUUGGAGCAGCUGAAGGAACGGUUAGGAUUAUGGUGCAGUAUCUGUAGUGUGAGUUGCAACAGCAAGGUGGACAUGGAUUCUCACCUAAAUGGGAAGAUUCACUUGGAUCAGAUCAAGGACCAGUUAAGAUUAUGGUGUGGGGCAUGUAAUACAACCUGCAAGAGUGAGCGCAACAUGGCCUUUCAUCUGAAUGGGAGGAAGCACUUAGAGAAGAAGGGGAAUACCUGAUUUGCAUGUUUCUUCAGAUUAUUGAUACUUACAAAUGGUUUUAGUUAGAAGCAUACAGGCCAGUGGGUGGUGGUCACAGAUGCCUCUAUUUUGUUGUAUGAAGUAAAAACAGUAUUUCCAUGUCCAGAAAUCAACCACUUGUUUAGUGCAUGCAUGGCUGGUUCAAAAUUAAACCUAAUUGUGAAUGACUAGGAGCAGGGAGGGAAAAAUUGAAGGGAAGAAUGUAAGAUUAUGGCUUCAUUUUUAUUUUUUCCUCUUCUGAAAAUUGUAAGAUUGUGUUAGGAGGAGCUGGAAUGGGUUCAAAUCAGGAAUUAAGACCCAGUUCCAAGACAUGGAAAGUGUCUUUAGAUUAUGUUAAGUUAUUUCCAUUUUUUUUUCUUUUCUAUUUUUUUUCUUUAUUUAUUGUAAGAGGGAGCAUAAAUGAAUUUUUAUUUUUUAUUUUUUUUUUCAGAAUAAAGAUGAAUUUGAUAAUUUCAAUUAUUGCGUUUGGAUGUAUUUCGGAACGUAAGAUUGAAAUAAUUAUUUGUUUUCAUUUUAGUGUUUGAUAAUAAUGAAAGUAUGAAUUAAAAAAUAAAUUGAUAAUAAUACUCUUACAUUUAAUUUAAAACAAUUUUUUAUUUUUAUUUUUAUUUUAGAAGAAUAUGGGUUAAUUUUAUUUAUUUAUUUUUUAAAUAAUAAGCUUAAGAAAAAUAAUUUUUACUCAAUAAAUAAAAUUAAUCAUACAAAGUCAUAAAAACCAAACCAAAAUAUAAGGGUAAAAUAGUAAUUUUAAAAUAUUCAUUUAAGUUAUCCAAAUGCAUUCCUACUCUUCAUUCUCUUGUACGAAAUACGGUCUUUAAGCGUUUGUCAAACUUAUUUCUUUUUUGGCAAUAUAUCAAUAUUUUAGUAAUAUUUUUAUCGAUUAGUUGCUGAUAUUUAUCGCCACGUCACCAAUUCUUUGAGUUUGACUUUCAAAAUUUUGAAAUGAUCAUUGAAGUCCAGUUCAGCCCAAAUCACUACACCCAUGAAAGGGAACGGCUGGGCCACCACACUAAUAUGGCCCAUACAUGGGACCUCGUAAAAGAAUACCCAUCUUCAAAAAUAGGGACCAUAUUAAAUUAUUAAUGUAGCUAUAGGAAGCAUUUGAGGACAAGGGUCAUGAUUUUUCCCUUUUCUUUUUCUCCUUAAUUUUCACAUCACCCAACAACACCACUCUUAAUUCACACAAAUUUGAAGGUUUGGAAUGAGACUUAUUCGUAUUUAUAUUGUAAUUAUGCUAUAAUAAUCGUGUCGUAUUUGGAUUUAUUUAUUAAAUCCAUCUAAAUCUUUUGUUUAUUCGUGUCAAAACAAUAUAUUUAUAAUCGAAUCCAUUUAUGACAUAUUCAUCUUUUAUAAAUUUAUUAAUUUUAUAUAUUUUAAAAUUAUAAAAAUUAAAUAUAUUUUUUCAAUUAUGAAAUCAUAUUACUAAAAUAUUAAAUAAUUCAUUAACUUGAAAUGUUUUACAUUUCAUUAAUUAUUUUAUAAUUACAACAUUAAGUGAAAUAAUAAAUAGGUAUAAAAUAUAUAUUUUAUUUUAGUUAAAAAUUAUAAAUUGUUAUUGAGACAUAUAACUAUUAAAAUUCUACCCAUUUGACUAUCAAACAAACAACUUAAGUUUUUAGUCAUGAUUUAAGCUUAUGAUAAACUCUAUUUACAAAAAUUAGAAACCAAAAUCAAAUUCUUCCUAGACUCAAAAACAUAAAGACAAUCUUUUAACUUUAGAAGACAACUAUCAUCUAAGAUAAGGGUAACUCAUCCCAUUGCAUGUACAACAAUUCUUGCUUCAAAAGCUAAUGUUAGGUACAUAUCCCUAUCAUUCAACCUUUCCCUUAGCUAAAACCCCUAUAAAGAAUUAUAAACAUGAUCAAUGGCUCCAAAAUUUAUCCACCAAGAGUUAGUGGAAUCUAACACUAAAAAUGAUUCAACUAAAAGAGAAUGAUGCAUACCUAACUGUCUCUUCAAGAACUAAGGGCAUUCCUUCUUCUAGUGGCUUUUUUUACCACAAAGGAAACACUUAUCAUGACCCUUACUCUUCUUCUUUUUCCCUUGCCCUUGAACUUUCCCUUCUGCUUGGUGAAUUCUACAAUGUUCUUCUUAUUUUGGUUAGAAGAACCUAAAGAACACUUAACUGCCAUAUAAAUACCUCUCUGGUCCUUGAGAAUUCCCUCAAUUGUUUUGUGUUCUCUCAUCAGUUCGGUUAUAGUUUAAGAAAAAAAAUGUUUUUUUUAUGUGACUAAACUUGGAAUGAAUGUCCAAGUUGCAUACAUACUCGGGCUAAGAUCAAGUCAUAACGUAGUUUAAGAAAAAAGAUUUUUUUUUUUUUUUUUUUUUUUUUUUUUUUGUGAUUGAACUUGGAAUGGAUUUCUAAGCUACUUACGUAUCCAGGAUGGGAUCAAGUUCUAACAUAGUCACAAUGCAGUUCAAGAAUUUUUUUUUUCUUUUUUUGUGCUCUAACUUUUGCCAAGACUAAAGAUCUUAAUUUUGCGAGCAUGUUCUAACUUUUGCCUAGGUCGCCUUUCCAAGUUUUCAAUUUAGCAAACAAGGUUUUUUUUUUCUUUUUUUUCUUUUUCUUUUUUUAGUUCUCUAACUUUUGCCAAGACUAAAGAUUUUAAUCUUGGAAGCAUGUCUUAACUUUUACCUUAAGUCGAAUUUUUAGGUUUUCAAUGUGGUGGAUUUUUUUUUUUUUUUUUUUUUUUUGUGUCGUAGGUAAUUUAAGCUCAUAUGGAUUGGAAGCAAUGUGUAGUUUGUUGGGAUUAAGCCCUUAAAAGCAAGACAUGAUGUAAUAAAGUUAAACUUAACUAUUUCCUUACUAUCUUUUUGGUGUAUCAACAUUGAUUUAAACAUUCAACCCAUAUCUCUUACAUUGUACAUGAUUUAGGAGCAUUAAGAGUUGCACAAAAGAUACAAGUUAUGGGUUCCUUGUAAGUAGAUGAGUUAUCCAUAGUCAUUUCAUGGAUUUGGGCAAUCUAGUAGUGACUAUAGUGCACCACCUCCUAAUUUAAGGGAUGACUUGUCUUGGCAGUUGGGAUGAGUUUCCUAUGGUGAGCGUACUAGUGUAAAUGAUGCACAUUGGACAGGACCUAUGGUGAAUCAUGACGCAAGGCUAUCAAUUGUCAUGAUUCACCAAGUUACUAUACUACAUGGACUCUCAACCUUGAGAGGACAUUGAACCCAUGUCAAAAUCAAUAGAAAGUUUUGACCUAUGGGCGAGACCCUAAAGUAGUCAUAUAUUCCUAUGGAUUAGGUCAUUGUUGAUGUAGGCUGGUUAUAAUAGGCAUUCUCAAUAGAGGCACCAUGAUAUGUCAUGGGAUUGAGAUGGUGUGUCCCUUUGGGUGAUCCAAAGAACAUGUGAUCAUGAAAUUUGUGGCCACAGUAAUUCCUUUAGUGAAAUUUGACAUAUGCUCCUUGGAGUUAGAGUAUGUCAAUUGAUCACAUAAUAAGUGAGAUCUAUAACUCAAGGAUUUGAGAGAUAAUAUUGAUAGGUGAUAACACUAACUUGUUAGAUUUAGACACCAGUUUCAUGAGGAAUAUGCAUGUAGUGGAUAGUAGGUCAUGAAUGCGAGCUUUGUCUCGUUGUUAUUUACAUAAGGUACCGGAGUGUAGUUGAUUCUCUUUAGUAGAGUGUUGAAUCAACUUCAAAAUUGGAUUAUGAGGUAGUCAGUACUCCUAUGGGUCUCAAUGGUCCCCACUCUGAGCUAAUAUACCAUGAUGACACAAUUUAUGAGGGUUGGAUUGACUUUAGGUUCAUUCUUAUGCAUAAGGGCAUUUUGAUAAUUACACAAGGUUGCAUAGGGGAUAAUAAAUAAGGUCUCUAGAUUGGACUAAUUGAUUAAUUAGAUGGCCUUAUGUGGUUAAUUAAUCAAUUAAGACAUGUUAGGGCUAGAUUAAGUGACCCAAGCCUUGAUGGGUUCAAGUCACUUAAGCCUAAUGGGUAACCGUAUAAAUACCUCCUUAUGGGUUAGGGUUUUCUAAUGACUUUUAGUUAGUCAUCUUCCACUUUUAGAAAAAUAGAGAGAGCCAAAGCUUCCUCCUUUCCACUGCCCACACUUUGGUAUGCCAAGAUCGGGAAUCGAGUCAUCGAACAAAAGAUCUUAGGUGUACGAGACCUUUGAACUCUUUAGGCUUCUUCUUCGUUGGAUGGAUUUUGAUCUGGGAACAUCUAGAUCACAUGUAUGUGUUAUAAUAUUUGGUUAAUUCAACCUAAGGUAAUCACCCUAGAGAAGGGGUGAAUAGGGUGAUGAUUUUUUUUUGCAAAUUUAAAUUAUGUGAAUGCAAGAGACAAUUAUAUGCAAAAUAUAUGGCAAAACCAUAUAAAAACAAUUGCAUAUAAAGUAAAAGGUUAAGGAAGAGAGAAUAUAAACACAAGAUUUUUAUAGCGGUUCAGUGCAACCCGACCUCCAUCCAUUCUCUUCUAGCUUCAAUACUAAACUUGAGGUUCCACUAAUUCAAGGCUUCCAAUCCAAGCCUUCAAGUAAUACAAUUGGAUUAUGGUUCCAAUCAAACCUCUUGAAAUUUUAGUUCUAAACACAUUUUACAAUCUUCAAGAGAUACCUCACUCUUGAACAACUCCUUAAGUGAUACCUCACACUUGAGAAUCCCUAAGUGAUACCUCACACUUAGAUUUUUCAUCUCAAAGAUUUAUCCGCUCUGCACCCACCUCCCGAGUAUAUGCUUCAACAGGAAUCACACAAGGGUAGAUUGAUACAAUAGAAACCUCUGGUAAAAUGCCCGCUCGUAACCCAGCAGAUAAAGUACAUUACAUAGUCCGUUUUAGGGAUUGGCUACUUACCCAUUCAGUGACUUUGGCACUGGACGUUCCCAAAAUGGGUACUAUCGGGUCGGGUGAAUUCAAUAAUAGACGCCUGUUGGCAUUCCAGCCUUCCUUCUCCUUUCAGGGCCUAUCCGAAAGAGAAUCCAGUACUUCUUGGUCAAAUGAAGAUAGGAAAUUAUUAGCCUAAGGACUCUCCUAAUCGGGUUUUGAUGAUAACAAACCAUGAUUAAAUGACUAAUUGGUUUAAUGGUUAAGAAUCUCAAGCAUAAACUCGAAAAUUCAUCAAAUGACCAAAUGGAUACAAGAUCGAGACAUUUGGAAGACUUGUGAUCAUAGGAAACUAAUGUAAGAUGAAUGCAUGAGUGCACUUAGGAUUUUCAUACCGUUUCAUACAAUUUAGAAAACUCAGUUUAUUCUUUAAAACUUCAAUUUCAUUAAAACCCGAGUUUUAACAAUUGUACCUCAGGCAAAAUGUUUUAAAAUUGGCAUAAUAAUUCACCUAAAAACCUUGCCUAAGUGUUAGGAAAGAAAGGAAUUGAAAAAGAUAGGUUUUCGGGGCCAAAAGGCUCAACCGGUCGAGGCUAUGGCCAACCAACUCAACCGGUUAGGGAAUCGGUCGACUGGUUACCCUUGUCCAGUUGAGGUCCGAUCGAAGGAUGCACAAAAUUUUCUCUCUCUCCCAGUAGCCUUCUCUUCCCGGUUGAGGUUAUUCUCUUCCCUGUCGAGGUCCGGUAUAGGCAACGGUAACCUGUCAAGCAUUAAAUGCUCCAACGGCUAGCGAACCGGUCAACCCCUAGCUCGACCGGUCAAGGUUACCUUUUGUUGUUUUUGACUCCCGAGCUUAGAAACCUAUAAAUUGAGAGCUCCACUUCAUUUAUUGACGAGAUAACACUUGCAAUCAAUUGUCUACCUAUUUGUUCUUGAUCAGAAAGCUCUCAUUUCUUUCUUAGUACAUUAAAUCAUCACUUGCAUAUCCUUUAGUGCACUCUUGUGUGUCAUCCUAGAUUUGUCUUGUAUUUGAGCUAUCUUUAAGCUAGGUUGAGGGAUUCAUUCUUGUAAAAACCGAGUGUUAAAGCCUUCAAGAAGUUUAAAUCUUGAAGAGAUUGUGUAAGAGUCCAUUGGAGCCAAAAUCCAAGUGUAAGAAGAUUGGAAGUUUGGUUGAAGUUUCAAGUUAGUGGAACCUUCACUCGGUUAGGAGAUUGAGGAGACUGAACGUAGGCAAAGAAGUGUCGAACUACUAUAAAACCCGAGUUUGAAUUCUCUAACUCUAGCUCUUUAUUUUGCUUAUAUUGUGCUUGAACUCGUUGUGAUUUAAAAGAAUUUAAAAAACCCCUAUUUGGGUGUUUUUCUUAAUUAAGCAUAGCCUUUAUUUUCUCAUAAAUAAUCUUACAAAAUCUUAGUACAAACUUUAGCCUUAAAUGAUACAAAAUAAACUAGGAUUGAAUGGUGCACUAAUGAUAUGUAAGUUUUAAAACAAUGUGUACAAAAAACACUCCCCUAAAGCUCAAAUAUAUUCGAGAAAGGUUUAAGAAGGUUAAACUCUUGAAACAAUAAAUAUUGAAACCUUUUUAUAGAAGAGAAAAACCAAACUACCUGUUGGGGAUUCGUUCGAUCAAGCUCUGGUUCGACCAGUUCACUAGCCUUUAGCAUUUAAUGUAUGAUAGGUGACCAUUGGACCUUGACUACCCCUUGAUUGGUACUCGACCGGAUGAAGUUCAACCUUGAUUGAUCGAAUAAGCAUUCUGGAAGAGAGAUAAGGUUUUUGCACCUUUCAACCGAGUAAGCUGAAUAGGUCGACUAAUUUCUCAUUCGAUUCAACCGAUUGAGUCAUUUUUUGCUCAACAACUAUUAUUUUCAACUUAAAACCUUUUAAACAAGUUUGGAAAGCAUUUGACAUAAGGUUUUAGUUGAAAACAUGAAAUCAUCCAAUUUUUAAAAGAUUUAAAACAAAAUAACUCUUGAAUGAUUUUGGUGUAUAAGUAAAGAAUGUAAUGCAUGAAAAACCCAAUGCACCAACAACCUUACAAAGAGAUCCUAUGAGUCUUAGGUCUUGAAAAACACUUAUCUUUAAGGUCUUCUUCUUCUUAUUGAUUUUAUCUUUGUGAUUGCCACUUUGGAAAUCAUCUUGCCUAGUCACACUUAAAAUAUAAUCAUUAGUUCUAAAUCUUGUUUUGUUAUCAUCAAAACUAAGAUUAACCAAACCUUGGUUUCACAAUAUGAAUAUUGUAUCUCUAGAUCUAUAGUUAAUAGUGGUUUUUAUAGUCAUUUGUUUCCAUUGCGAUAAAUUUAGAGAAGCUUAGGGAUAGAUGAAUGCACCCUAUGAGAUCUAGGGCAUAGGAAUGGAGUAAUCCGGGGUUCCUAACAUAGUUUAGGCUUGUGCUUCAUGGAGUGAUAACAAUUCUUCAAGCAUAGUUAUGCUUUAGAAAUUUGUUAUUGAUUGGUCCAAUUUUUAGACCAUCUUCAGCAACAAUCUUGUGUGCACCAUUGAUAUAAUCUUGUUAUACAAAAUAUGAUCUAUCACAUUUUUGGCAAGAACUUUCCACUGGUUUUGUGCAUGGUAAUGAUCAUGCAUGCAAACUUAACUAAGUUAUACACUAGAUGCCAAACUACUACAAUUCUUAUACACCUUCCCGUUUUGUGCAACUGAACAAUUCAACAUCAUAACACCAAAGUUCUUGCUUAGAUUUCCUACAGUGCUAAAAUUUUGAAAUGAUUAAUUUGUUUAUUUUUCUUUCAAUCCCAAGACCCACAUACAUCAUGUCAUGCCCUAAGACCCACUCUAAGGGCAUGACAAUCAUUUCACAUCUCAAGGUCGAAAGCUCAAAGUGUAAAUUGACCUUAACAUUCAUUUUGUAACUGGAAAAUUAUCAAUUACCAAAUUCAUAUUUAUAGUAGUAGAAUAAAAUUCUACAAGUUUCAAAUCUCAACUUUAAAGUUAACACAUCAACUAAAGUGUUAUUGUCCAAACAACUUCAAACUUAACAAUUCAAGCAAUCAUUAAAUUCUAACUUUCAAAAAAUAUUUUUUAAAAAUAAAGAUUUAACGAAAAGUCUUAGUAUUGCCAAAAUCUCAUCCUAACCUUCACUCCUAGCCUGAAUUAAGGUGCCUAAAAAAUUGUCAAUGAAAGGAAAUGAGAUCAACGCUCAAUAAGGAAUAUUAAUAAGGUUUCAUGGAUCAAACAUUUUUAAUUAUAAUUCCAAAUAGGAGAUAUAAUAUAUAAUCAUUUUCAUAAGAAAUUUUGAGUUUAAAUAUAAUAAUAUAUUGAAAACUUUUCAGCUAAACAUUUUCAUAUCUAUGUCAAAACAAUUUCAUAUCAAAUUCAAAUCAAAUAUAUACAAAAUAUUUUUACUUUGGUUAUCAAAUGUCACAUGGUGUCAAGUUAGGUGGGACUUUACAAAUUGGUGUCUAACCUCAAAUUUUUUCCUUUCAAGGUGGACGAAACCAAACACUACUAGUAUUAUUAACAUCUAACCAAAUCCCUAAAGGGUGAGAUCUAAAGCAAUUACAUUCUCCGCCAAGAAAUAUAAGGUCAACAAUUAUAACUCGUUGACUAGGGACAAAAAUAAACUAGAGUCAAACACCUUAUUUCAUUAAUUCAAACUUGCAAAACAAAAACAUCAUAUCUCCAUAAUUUUCAUUUUUUAUAAACAAAAGAAAUGUUCUAACAUAGUUUUUUCAUGAAAAAUAUAUAUUUGAUCCAUGCAUAAAAAUAAAAAUAAUUUUUUUAUUAUUCAAAAUAACAUAUAAAAAUAAAUAUGUUCUUUUGGCCAAAACAUGUAUUAAUUUUUCUUACCUCAAAGAAACACUCAAAGACCUUGAAGCAAUUAAUCCUAAAGAAUUUCACCCCAAAAAACAUAUUUCACACCUUACUAAAAAAAAAAAAACAAAACAAAAAAAUUACUAUUGAUUAUUUAUCUAAUAAUAGUUUUGUAUUUUAUAUCACCUAUAUUAUUUUUAACUUCCUAAUAAAUAACAAUUUAAUAAGCGAUUUUCCAAAUUUUUAAAAGUUAUGUUCUUUCCAAAAUUUAUUCAUAAUAUUCUAUUAUUAUUAUUAUUAAUUAAAUCUCUCAAAAAUAUGUUUUUUCUAUUUAUUGCAUUAAACUAUUAUUAUUAUUAUUCAAUUUCAAUUUGAUUAAUUGGUUUUUUCUUUUAAAUUCCUAAUUUAUAUAAGAUUCUUGUUUUGAAAAUCUUCCAUAUUUACUUAUUUGUUUAAAGUAAAUUUCUCCAAAACUUGUUCCUUUUGGUUAAACAAGUAUCUUUUCCUAUUAUUAUUAUUAUUAUUAUUAUCCCUAAUAUUAUAUUCAAAUAACUAAACAAUAAUAAUUUAAAUUAGUGAGUUUCCAAAUUUUUAUAAAACUCAUAUUCAUUCUAAAUCUUAUCAUAUAUAUCAAUUUCUUUUAUAUACUUAAAUUAAAUUAAAAAAUUUACUUAAAAAAUAUAUAUAUUAUAUUAUUACUUUCAACAUCCUUCUACCACCCAAACAAUUACUUCAAGUAAAAGUCAUAUAUCCUUAUUCUACUAACUAUCCUCUCUCUUGCAAUAGCACACUUAGGGAUGGCAAUGGGGUGGGUUCGGGAUGGAUCGCCCCUAUCCCAACUCCUCCCCAUUUAUUCAAAAUAAUUUUCAUCCUCGUCCCAUUUAAAAAAUUAAAUGAGGCAGGGCGAGUAUGAUAAAUUCUCAUAUUCGCCUCGCCCCGCCCCGUUUAACUCUUUUUUGAAUUUUUUUUUAAAAUUACUUUAAAAAUUUUUAAUUACAUUAAAAUAAAUAUAUUUUAUAAAUAAUUAAAUUAUUAUAUUUUUUAUAACUUAUUUUAUUAAAAAUAUUUUAUUAUUAUCUAUAUAUUAAAAAUAGUAAAAUAAAAAUUAAAUUAAAUUAAUUUUAUAUAUAAUUGGGGUGGGACGGGAUGAGGCAAUACCCAAACCUGCUCCGGGUUUUAAAAAAAAUUCUCAAACCUAUCCCAAACCCGUUUAUUAAAAUUAAAUCUCGUCUCAUUAGGGACGAGGCGAGUACCUGAAAAAACCUGCCUCAUUGCCAUCCCUAGGCAAACUUUCAUUUUUUUUUUUUUUUUUAUCUUUUUCCUCCUUAAGAUCAAUCCUAUUGUAAGCACCCUUUUUUUUUCUACCACAUCUUGUUGCAAGCAACCUUGUAAGUUUUUUUAAUUUAAAUUUUUUUUCCACUAUGGAGGCACGUACAACCAUAAAACCUCCUCUUUUUUUUAUUUUAUUUUUACAACUCUCAAAUCUCUCAACCUCCAUACUAUUAGGUUUUAUUCAUUUAUUUAUUAUUAUUAUUAUUAUUAUUAUUAUUCCAUAUCCAAAACUAUAAUUAAUUUUCUUUUAUAUUUUUUUAUUUUAGAUCUAUUAAUUUGAAUAUUCGAAAUUUUCUAAUCUUACUAAUAACUCUAAACGUUCAAAACUAAUUAAUGAAUAUAAAAUAUUAAUCUAAGGAUUAAAAUCUUAUAUAGAAAAUUGAUCUUUAAAUCCUAAACUCCCAAAUUUUCAACCUUACGUUGCCCUAUGUUGUCCAAUCUCUUAGAUCUCCAUGUAAAAGGGUUUUUUUUUUUAAUAGAGUAAAUAAGAAAAAUUUAAUUUAUACCUAAAAUUUUAAAAUGGAGAAAAAUCUUUCUACCCUUAUUAAUUUAAUUAAUUUUUUUAAAUUAUGUUUUUACCCUUGAAUUGGGUCUGGGCAUCACACAUCAUACUAAAAAGUUAUCAAUAACCAUCCUUUGAGGCACAUUAGCAUAAAUUUGCGACUUUAGUUGUGUUCUAGGUGCAAUUCUAUUAUGUUUAAUUGAAAAAUAACACCCAUAGCACAACCAAGCCUAAUUGACAGCAUUUGGGCAAAUAAAUGGUAAAUUUCUAAAAGUUCACCAAAAAAAAAAAAAAACAAAAAAGAUCAUAAAGGGCAUAUUUUUCAAGUCAACCUAGUUUUGGGAUAUUGCAAUCCAAUCUAAGAAUGCAAUAAUAGCUCUUUAAUUCAUAAUUUUAAAUUCACAAAAGAUAUCACCUAAAAUUACUAUAGGUUACCAAAACAUCAACAACAUAUAGAAAGCUUAGAAAUGCUUGGAACCUAUCGAAUUUUCACUUUUUAGGAAUAAAAAAAAAAUGAACUUUAAGGAUUUUAGGGUAAUACUUGCUUGAACCAUCUUUCAAUCCUUUUGUUGGCGGUGGGCCUUUUACCUAUAAGAACAGGAAUGAGAGGUGAAAAGGAGGGAGCCUUAUGAAAACGGAUCCCUAGGGCUUAAGAAGGGGUUUUCAAUUUUAGGGUUUGUCUGUUCACCAAGGAUGUGAAUGGGAAGAUGAGGUGAAGUUAAGAGAUUGGUGAAGCAAAGUGAGGGCAUGGUAGGGUUUGAAUAAGGGAAAGUCUACACUAUUAAUGAAGAUGAUAAUCUUUAGAAAGCAAAGCUAAGGUAAACUAGGGCUUUAACAACAAUUUUCGAUCUACACUAGUGAAGACGAUAUCUUCGAAAACCAAAGCUAAGGCAAGCUAGGGCUUUAAUAACGAAUUUCAAUCUACAAUGGUGAAGAUGAUAAUCUUCGAAAACCAAAUCUAUAAUGGUGAAGAUGAUUAAAAACUAAAUCUAUAUUGGUAAAGACGAUUGGAAAGCAAAUCUACACUAGUGAAGUCAACGAAACCAAAGGUAGGUAAAAAUAAUAAUAAUAAUAAUGCAUUCUUAGAUCCAAAUCACCAUUUCCAACAUGGUAUUUGGAUUUCCACCUUGUAUUUUUUGUUUUUAAUUUUUUCAAUAAUCAAGGACAUUUUAGGGAUUAUUAAGUGACAAUAUUCUUCAACUCAAUUUCCCACAUUAGUUAGGUGUAAGGCUCAAAUGUGAAACUCAUAUAGAUGUUAGGCCAAUCAUCAAACUCAUUUGCCUUGAAGCAUAAUUUCCCCUUUUUAAAAUAGUUGUUAAACAUCUAUCCCCAACACUUGUAACCCUUUGAAGUGCUUGUAUGUUAACCUUGUUUCCUUUUUCUCAUGAAACAUGGCUUAUUGAUUGUUGCAUUGAGUCAUUAUCAUUCACCAAAUCCAUGCAACUAUGAACUACCUUUCAAAUCCCUCGAACAUAAAUGGUAAUUCCAAAACAACUCAAGUAUAAUCUUUCCAAGCCCUUCAAAUGAUUUAAUUAAUUGAUGUUUGAAUAUACUUCAUAUAUUUUUUUAGAGCAAUUUUUUAGGCAUAUAACAUAAAUCUCUAAUUUCAUUUUAUUUUUUUUAUAAAAGGUUUUAUAUUUUAUAUUACAAUUUCCUCUCUUUUUUUUCAUCUAAAAAAAAAAACAUAAAACCUUCGUAAACGAGUUUUGUCACAAUCCCUUAACAGGUAAUCUAUUUUUAAAAAUUACUUUAACAUUUUUAGAUAUAUUGAUUCAGUCUAAUUUAAUUUUAAUAUUUUUUAUAAAAUAUUUUUAUUUUAUAUGAUUAUAAAUUAAUUACUAUUGAUUGCAUAUUAUAGAAUAUAUAUUCUAAAAUAUAUCCUAUUCACAAUAAUAUCAUAAGAUAUUAUAUCCAUAUCCUAACAUAUUAUAUACUUUUAUUUUGUGCAAUUAGCAACAGGGUGGAAGACGGCUUAGGCGGGAGACGGCUUAACGGAAAUGCCGUCUGCCAUGCGUGUCCCUUCCCUUAGUGAGUCUGAACAGCUCCAACAUUUCCGACACGCCCUUCUUCGCUUAGCUCUUAAGUAUUUUCGUCCCGUUUUCAUUAACCCCAUCACAUUUCGCCAUGUGGAUCUAAGCCUCAUGGUCCUUUCGUUCGUACGAUGAAUAUUCCCCCAAUUCCUUAUCUACACUAAACCUCCAUACUCGCCAUCUACUCAACCACUUCUCUACUCUAGAGUCUGGAUCCUUUAUCUCUGCACGUGUCUAUGGCUCUUCACCCCAGCAAGUAUGGCAUUACAAGGGCAAUAUCGUCAUUAAAGACCCAAAAGGCAAACGAAUGGCAUUAUCUCCCUUUUGGGUCUAUUCUAUUUAUAUUGUAAGUUUUUCGUGAUGACUUCUCUCAUAACAGCUAAAAACCACUCCAACAGAGCACACUUCACUUCUUCGUUUUUGUCUUUCCUCUUUUUUUUUUUUAGAGAAGCUGAGAAAGCCCAGCUCGCCCUCAACUCCCCGAUGGGUUUGAUGAAUGUUCUCAAAUUCUCAGCUGCAUGCUUUGAUCUUCUUGGUUGGUAUGUUGUCUACGCAUUUUCUCGUCAUUGGAAAAUUUUGGAAAAUGAAGUGGAAUUCUAUGUUUGAGGAGAAACUGGGAUUUGCUUUGAUUUCUCCAUGUUGGUUUUAUCCCUUUUGUUUGAAUUGUCCAGAUUCUUGUCAUUGAUUGUUAGUUAUUUGUUUGGAUUUCUACUUGCAGGCCUCUGUUUGCACUGGGUUAUCCUCUGUAAGUCUUGGUCUUACACCCCAAGAUAUGAUGGUUCAUUUACUCUUUUCUUGUUCUAUGAAUUCUUAGUUCAGUUACAUUUAUUGGGUUGGGAAACUGAAAAGGGAAAGGAUUAUUAGUUAUUAUCAUAAUAAUCAUCAAUAUCAUCUCGGUUCUUCACAGAUGUGCUUCAAUUCGGGCAAUUGAGACUAACUCAAUCUCAGACGUUCGGAAGUUGGUGGCGUAUUGGGUUCUAUUUUCCUUGAUUUCACUCUUUGAUCAUACUUUUGCCAAGCUCCUUGAAUGGUAAUUUUGCUCAACUUCAUUCUUUGCCCUUCAGGAAUUUGGAGUUGCUUUUUUCAGUUUUCUUCCUUGUGACAAUAAUCGAGAUGUUUAAUGUUCCAGGCCUCCAUGUAUUUUAUUUUCCUUCACUUCUCUGCUUUGAAAAAUGCCCACAAUCUGAUCAACAGAAAGGUUAUAACAUUUGAAAAAGAAAUGCUUUGUUUUGGUUUUUUAAGUGCAACAAUUUUCAUUUGGAGAAAUGAUCUAAAGGGUAUUGGUGUUUGGCCGAAUUCAUGGAAUUUUCUCGCUAAUUUGGGAUUUAUUCUCAAUUUCAAGAUCACUGUGGAUAUUUCAGAAAUUAAUGAAAUAUAUAUGAUGGAAUGUGAUUUUCUUGUUUAAGAAAAGUUUUUCUUUGAAAAUGUGGGUGACCCCAACCUACCUUAUUGUACUACUUGGAACACAAAACAAAAGUUUUUCUCGCUAAUUUAUUAACUAAAUUGCACACUUUUUGAUAGUUCAAGGAAGUGGUGUCAGCUUUGGAAAUAAGAUGGAUGAUUGUAGGGAACUUUAUUUCUCAUCUUUAUAGGGAACUUUCCAUAAUAUAGCUUAUAAAUAUCAUAAUCACAGUGAUGAAUGAUUGUCUUGUUUGAAAGCAUGGUUGCACUUAUUUCCAGGGAAUUUGUCUGCGUUGAAAUUAAAUUAAGCUUUAUGCAUCAUUUGGAUGCUGGGAAACAAAUGGAAAUAGAAAAUUCAGAAUCUGACAAGUUUGUGUAGGGCAACUGGAUCUAAUCUCUUAGUCGAAGCUUAAUAGGGGCAAAUGCUGAUCAUCUUUGAACCUAUUGAAGGCUCUAAUCUGUGCACAAUUCUAAUGUUUUUGUUUUCUUCAUUUCUUUUUCAACUUUUCAUAAUAGAUGUCAAAAGUUAAAACCGAACUUACGUAGUCCAUCCAAGUGGAUGCAUAUAAAUUUAACAGAAACUGAAAUUUGAAGAAAUUUAUUUUCCCUUUUGUAAAUGGUGUUUAAAAAGUCUGUGUGUAGUUUGGUUUUUUUCCUGGAAGAUCAGAUGAUUUCGUGAUCAUUUUUUCUAUUUGCCUUAUCAUCAUGAGAUUUAAGUAUUUUUUUUAAAAAAAUAUUUUAUUUUCUUAUAUAAUGCAUGUCAGGAUACCAUUCUGGCCUUACAUAAAGCUGAUGGUCAUCUGCUGGCUGGUGAUACCGCAUUUUGAUGGUUCCUAUUAUAUCUAUCAAUACCUAGUUCAUCCACGCUUGUCCAUGGAUCCACAAGUUGUCAUGAAUUGGCUCUUCAAUGAAUCAAAAAAGAAGUUUCAUAGCAGAGAAAACUUUCUUGUUUCAGCAGACCAAUAUAUUAAGGAGAAGGGACCUGAAGCUUUGGAGAAACUACUUGCAAGGAAGGUAUGCCAUUAUAAGUAGGAUUGUCAACAAGUCAAAUAGAGUUUUAUUUGAGAUGUUCAAGUAAAAAAUUACUAUAGCAGGUCAUCUAGAAUUAUUGGUCUAAAUUCAUGUAUAUAUCUAUAUAUAAUUGUGUUCUCUUUUUUUCACAUAUGCAUGUGCAUUUAGAUUUACGUAAUUAUAUAUGCAUAAUCAGAUUCAACUGUGAUAGCCCAGGAUUUAAUUCAGUAAUCAACUCUUCUGGGAACAUGUUGGUUAUGGUUUCUCUCUCACUGUCCUCUUAUUUAUACAUGACUUUGGCUUCAGUUGAGGAGCACAAAGCCUAAUGUUGAAGUGAAAGAGAUCAAAGGACCUGCAGCACCGGAGAAAAAAGGGGAACAGGUAUGCACUCUACUAUUUUAUUUCUAUGGAGGCAGAUCUCCAGAGAAAUGUUGCUCAUGUAAAUUAGUGAUGCAUUUAAAAGAAAAACCACUUUAUGUAUGUUUCUGUGAAAAAGAGAACAAGUUUAUGGAUUAAGUGAUAUUUUUUAUGGUGAAAUAAUCAAUAAUUUUCAAAAUAAUAAUAUAUUCGUGCAUGUUUUUGCAAUUCAUGAAUUCCUUUUACGAUUGAUUCUUCUCACCUCAGUGGAAGUGUGAAGAGCCUAAUGUUGCAGAAAAGGAGAUCCAAGUAGUCAAAGUAACAGACAUAAAAAAUGGGGGGGAUGGAGCAAAGAGGGUAAGUUUUCCUUUUUAUUUAUAAGGAAGGCUGUCUUCACGCAAGGAUUAUUGUUAUUAUUUUUAAGACAUGAAUGUUGAAUGCAUUUGGAAUUGUCGUUGAAUCAUGUGAAGUGUGAAGGUGCAAAUGGUGCUAAGAAGGAGAUCAAAGUGAUGGAAGUAACACAGAGAACAUUUGGUGAUACAGCACAGUGGGUAAGGUUUCUUGUCAUACUUAAAUGGCACCUCAUAUUUCACUAGGAUUAAUUUUGGCCUACAAACAUAUUUGGCUACAAGUUGAAGACAGCUUUCCAGAUACUGGUAAAAGUUGAGACAUAAGUAAUGAAUGAGUUUAGAAACAUGCACAACUCUUGUGUGAAACACAAUGAGAGUGGAAAAUAGCUAAGUUGAAAAAUGGCCAAAUACUAUUUUGUAGUUCACCCCACCACUUAAGUAAUUUUUGUCAUCCUUUGUGAAUGGAAAAUGCAGUCCCUUCAGUAAUUCUGCAUAUAACCAUUAGUGUCUUGUCCUAAGUUGACCUUUAAUGAUGGUCCAUUGAGAGGGAUCUGACUUUUGUCAACCCUCUUAUUCCUUUGAUCAUAGAGGUUAAACAUACGGGGCUUAACCCACUUUUCAAUCUCAUUGGAUAUAUGGCAUGUGGUAUCCUCUUCAUCUUGAAAGAGUGAAGUGGUCAUACUCUUUCCUGAGUCCAUCGUGGCCAUGCACUUCUGGCUCAUUGGGCAGAGUGAAAGGAUUCCCUUCUGCUUCAAAUCAUAGAGAGAUAUGCCAUGGUCAGCCUCUUUAAUUUGAAGGAUUGAAGUACUCAAAUCGAUUUCUUUGCAUCCAUCUUAGUCCUGCUUUCAUGUCUCAUGGUUAACCAGGAAGAUCAAGCUUCCAUCCAUGAGAUCAGCAUCUGCAGGGUUAUGACACCACCCUUCCUUGGCAUAGGAAAGCGAUCAUUAAGCCACAUGUCGGAUGACAGAAGUCGUCAUUCAGGUUAUCUUGCGAACUAGGGAAGUUGGAAUUCUAAUUAUUGCAUAUGGUUCUUGAUGUUUAGCCAAUAUACUAUAGGAUUUUAAGCAUCCUGCCCAUGUGCAUUGUGGUUUUUUAUCAGCUAUAUGGUUUACCAAACUGAGGGAUUGAUUAUAGUCAUAAGUACCCUUUUCCCAUUAAUUUCUUGCAUGUGCUUUGCUGAGAUUAUGUUUUUGACAGUGCUAAUCAGGGCAAACCAACAAACAGCUUUAUGUUAACUUUUACAAACUGCCACAUUUUCAGGUUGAACGAUCAGAGAUAAAUCUUGGUGAAACUAGAAGUAAUACAACCUGUGCCGUGGAGAUAAAAGAAAGGGCAGCAGCACUGGUGGCUGCAGAAAUUGAGGCAUGUAGAGACGAUAGAACCCCCAAGAUACCUCUUCAUGAGAAAGUCCAGAAAGAGUGGGCUUGUGCUGUGUGCCAGUUCACAACCCAAACUGAAGCGACCUUCAAUUCCCACCUUCAAGGGAAGAGACAUCAGGCCACUUCUGAGCAGUUGACAGCCAAAAACCAGGCAACCAAAACCAAUUGUUCCCCAUCUGCUUCAAAGGCCAAGAAAUCUGAUCAGUCCACCAAAGAGGAGCAACCGAAGUGUCCUUCCAACAAUCUGAAUUCCAAAAACAAUGGAAUCUCAGCUGCUUCAAUAGUGAAGAAAC
rnacentral:lncRNA from 1 species